rnacentral:lncRNA from 1 species
UGAUUAAUUUUUAAAUAGAACGUAAAUGCAGAUAAGUCCUAACCAUUUUAAGAUAACCAAUUGAAAGCAUCUAAUGCGUGACCGCCAAACAUGGGAGGUAAUAUCAAUGUUUUUCCAUGACAAAACCGAUGAAUAAGGUAUACCGUGAAAGAUGCAACACAUGUUCCUCGUGCCAUUAAAGGAGAAAAUUUCCUAACAUGGGGAGCAUAAACAAGGCUUAUUAUUUAGUGAUGUGCACCAACACUUUUUCAAUUCCAUAAAUUGGCUAAGCAAGCAUAUUAGGAGGAAAUUCACUUUCUUAUUCUAUUUCUAUGUGAUACUUGAUGUAAUUUGCUAUGUGGUAACUGCAAUGAUUUUCAAGAUUCAAGAACCUUGCACUUUCAGCACAAGGUUGUCCAUCAAGGUACCCCCAAUCAUAUUAUUGGAGUCCAUAGAAAGGGCAGCUUGUCAUAAGAAAGCAAAUAACCACCACUUUCCCAUCAACUUGGGGAAAGAAAAGGAGAUUCCCCCAUAAUCUAGUUUACACAGUCAGAAGUAAGAGUCUCGUGACACAAUAAACCUCACCAAAACCCUUCUUGGCCUGCUGGGUAGCGACUAUGUCUAAACAACGAACCUCACUGAGGGUCAUAGUGGGAAAAAAGAACCAAGUGGACUCAGAUCUACCAAGUGCUGUAGCUGCUGCCUUCAAGAAUUUCCAGAACUUGUAAUUUCCUAAUUGCCAUCAUUCUCAAAUAUUCAAAUUUCUCCAGUUUGCUGACAAAAUCAAGCCCAUCAAUGUGCAAAAUAGAAAAUUCAAUCGACAUUUGUUCACUAAUUUUAAAUUUCUAGAAGAGAAAUCUUCCUCUUAAUCAAAUGGUCAUAGAAGAUCCUCUCAUUCACACGCGAGGAAACUCAUCGAUCUUUUCAUCUUGGCCACUUCAGUAGUGAUGGCAGGAUCGCUAUAGGUAUUGUGAAAAAUGAUAUAAGAACACCUUGGCCACAGUGGGAGGAUCCUAGUCGAUGCUGCUAGUUAUACUAUUUCGACUGCUAGCAUAGAUGAAAGGACCUCUAUUUUUCUUUUAUUUUUUAAUUUUUGGUUGAAAAAGGUACCUCUAUUAAGUGCAUACAUAAGCAACAGAAAAAAGCACAAAUUUGUGAAAUGUCUGGAUUUAACAAAGUUUAAUAUAAAUUACACAAUGGAAUUCAAUCAACAUCAGUGUAGUUAAAAAGAAGCCUCUUACAGGUUGCUCAGAAGUUCCAAUGUGCUUAUUUAACAGCUCAUCCCUUUCAUAGAUAUGGAUUGAAGAGAACAAGUUGCUCCUGUUGUACGAACAAAGUGUGUCUUGCCAAAGACCGUACAUCCAUGUAAAACAACAUAUGACCAUGGCCUUAGAGGAGCUUGCCCAAAAACAUUUUAUCAGCAAAUGUAAGAAUAACUGACACAAAGAUCAAAUAAGUAAAUAAGUUUAUUUUAGAAGUUAACAUUAACCACAUUAUUAGCACAUAGACGUAGAGAGAGGAAAUGUGUAAUGAGACACCAGAAAGAAUAAACAAAAGCUACAACUUAGACACAACCAACGCAGUUAAAUAAACUUUCUUGAACAAAAUCCAUGCAUAAUCUCGCUCACUCACAAGAAUGCAUAAGGGAAACAAUGGUAGGUAGUUAAGCCCCAUAAUCUCAGGUAACCAAUCCUCUCAUUGAGAUUCUGCAAAGCCUAACCAUAAGCUCCAUCCACUAGAUUGUCAAUCUACAAAAAGAUGUUUAGACAGCUUACCACCAAAAGAUGACUUUGAUGUUACAUGAAAAGUAGAGCACUUAAUGGAAAACAGACACUUGGGAAUUGACAACAUAGAUUAGUAUUGCUUGUCUAGAUACUUGAUGAAAGACACUCACAAAACAAUAAUAAAAUGACAAAUUCCUCAUCAGCAAGAUAAAGUAAAUUAAGCGAUCAGACAGCAUGAAGUAUGUGGGAAGCACACUCAAGAAUAUGAAAGAAAAUGGCAGAUCUUUCAAGUUUCAGUCCUCAAACAUAUCUACUACUUGACAGACUUAAUCAUGAUCUAUGAAAUAAAUUAUGUACUUUGAUUAAGCUAAUUAUUAGUACUGAAAAUAAGUACUUCAGUAAACAAAAGCUAAGGUUAGUACAUUAAGCCAUUGAAUGCCUAAGCGGAAUAGGACUAUCAACGAGAAAAGGUUUGCCCAGUAAGCAACUUUAAGUUGCUCACAUAGAUCCCCAACCGUUAUACCUAAAAACAUUUAAGGACUCUACAGAAAUAGAUGAAGAAAGCUUAUAAUUAUUGCUGGAGAAGUAGAAUUUCAAUUUUAAGAAUGGGAAUACUUGAAAAUACUAUAACCAUAGGCAUCAAAUGUGGAGUAAAGCAAAAUGUAAUCUUUGAUUGUGCAACAUCAGAUAAUUCUUGCUCAAUCUCUUGAACUACAGGAAACAAAGAUGAUACAAAAGGGAGCAACCCAGGUAAUUGCAUUUGCCUUAUUGAAUUCAUCGAUGAGUCAAAGUCAUCAAAUUCCCACACCCAACUCAAAACAUUAAAUGAAAAAGAUAAAGAAAAGGACAUGUCAUCAACACAACAAAUAAGAAUCCAAGAAUGUAAAUGCCCCGUCAGGCAAUUUGCAACAUCUUCCAUAACUAUGUUUGCCAGUUUAAGAUGGGAGAGAAUGAACAAAAAGCAAACAACCAGAGAUGGAAAAUGUAAUUUCAUUGUCUUUUGGAGAUGAACAUUGAAGAGAGAUGAUGUAGAGGAAAAUCGAGUGAGUUGAUUUUGGAAACUAUGUCACGCCCUAAACCCCAGGUAUGCGCACAUCCCUCGGCGGUCGAUAAAAAAAAAUGCGACGUCUCAGGAUGCAUCGCCGAUCCAUUCGUUUUAUCUUUCAAUUAAGUACAUGCGGAAGUGAAUUAAAUAAACACCCGGCCAACAAACAACCACAUGGAUAGUAAAACAUGCUAGUGAUUUUCACAAACUACGAUUUAUACAUAUAUCAAGUUAACCCUAGGAGUUUUACAUACACAAGUCUGUCUCAAAAAGAACUCUUAGGCAACCACACCCCGAAUCCCUCCAACUCGGGCUCAGGAUCCUCCACGACACCGUCCGGUAUAUUGAUGUCCAUGGGGUGACCUACCUCCCCAUCCUCUGUUCCGAUGGGCGGUCUGUCAAAACCCUACAAGGGACUCUCCCGAGCAUCAUUACGCUCGUUAAGGAACCACGCUUUGAAGCGAUGAGGCACCAAAUGAAGGAGGCCCUCAUUGACCCAAAUCAUGGUCACAACUAACUCGCGAGUCUGAAGGUAGACAAUUUUGUUGGCUCGUAGUCCAUUUCCCGGGUGUGACAUCCUGAAUUUCAUGUUCUGAUUUCGAUUGGAUAAGAUGGGCCUUUCGUCAACGUUACUAUAGUGUUUUUCUCUGAGUUGGCCACUCAUGUGACAACUGGCCUAUUCGGUGAAGCCAUUCAGGGAUUUUAAACGCAAUAGACUUGAGAAUUCGACCAGGAAUCGACUACUCGACUGUGCUAGUUUGCAAGGGUCAUUACGGCAUUGUCAAAAUCGAUCAGAGAUCGGAGAUAUGUCGAUUCGACUGAGAUGUGUGAUCAAGUGUGGGUGAUGCCACCUGAUUGCAAAAUUCUCAUCGGUCGGCACUAAACAAAUUUUCUGUCAUUUUGGGUACCUUGUGCCCGUAUUUGAAACCUUGAGAUUUUCACGAACAUCGAGAGUCACCAAUGUGUCGGAUGGGUUCAUUGUGGUUUGAAGAAAAUCAACCAUGGGUCAAUUGCACAAGAAAAUUCCUAAAAGCUACCCGGUAGGUAAGGUCACACUAAAAGCACGUUCGAUUGAAAAUAACCGCGAUUGAAUUCAAUUUCAGAAAUUGGAAGUCCUGUCAUGUCAUGGGUCAUUCUAAGAGUGACGACUCACCAUUUGAGGAAAUUCUGAAGAAUCGGGAUCUUUUUCGGGAAAUCAAGAUGGACGAUUCGGAAAAUAAACGGAAAUAUGGAUUGGCCAAUUCGAAGAGAUAUUUGGCAUCUGGUGUAGGCGAAUCGGUAAAUGAAAGUUGUUUGGGCUUUUUUCAGAUUUGAAUUGGACCUCAAACGGAUUUGUUUGUUCAGAAUAUCAAAUGCCAAGAAAAGCGAGGUAAAAGUCAGAUUUGAAGAAAAUUCGUGGGAUUAAAGGACCGCCUUCAAUUAGAUUUCAAAUGUGCAAUUGAUGAAGAAUUUGGCCUAGGAUGACCAAUCAAUAAUGUUAAUUGAAGGUGAGUAUAAAGUGUUUUAUUCAGCAUUUUGGUUCCUUUUCCCUUGGACACUCUCGGCUAUGUAUACCUCUUCUCCAUCAUGCAUGCUUCCUGAUCAUCUGAAGCUCAAGCAAGAAUAUUUAAUUCUUUCUCAUCUCCCUAUUUCUUUUUUUUUUCUUUUGUUGUGUGCCCCUCUGGCCGACGUUGCCCCCGUCUCACCCGCACACUUAUUCUCUCUCUCCUUCCCCCCUUCCACGCACGUUCCUUUUUACUUUUCCUUGUGCGUGAAUACCAUCCGCACAUCCUCUCCCUCUCGGUUCAUGCCCCACCGACUGUCUCUCCCUGCAGAAUUCAAUUUCCCUGUUUGACCGAGUCUUUGCUUAUCCCAUAAAUAAAUAUCUCUCUCUCUCUCUUUCUCUUGGCGACGUGGACAAACGUCCCAUUCAGUUUCUGCACUGUUCGCCGUCUCCCUCAUCAAGAUCGAAGGAGUCUUCUCUCCUUUGGUGCGGUUGCUGUCCACUUCCUCGCAUGACUUCUCCCAUCUGCACGUGCUGUCUUUUUCCUUAAUCAGUCGAAGCAUGGUCCACCAGAAUCGACGACGCUGCUUCCUUUGAUUGUGCGGUUGUUUGUCCCUUUUCGUGCUUAGUCUGCCCCUCCACAGAAGUCGCGGACGCCCCCACUUUGGCAGUCAGCCCUCCAGCGUGUGGGACUCAUCUCCAACGUGGAAGUCGUGGCCCCUUCGGCAGCAACUUCUGCCUUUCUGUUUUCAGUAGCUCGGCCCAACCCACGUCUACACCGAUUCAAUUCUAUGAGGUCCGUUUGAGUGGAAGAAGGCAACCCAUUUCAGCAGUCUAUUUCUUCAGUUUCCAGCAAGGGUUUGAAGACCCCGUGGCCUGUUUUUGAGCCGUCUCGACCCCAGUUGUCAGAAUCGCUUUGGAGAGAAUCGAGCCUUGUCGCGUGCUCGUCGAUUUGAUCCGAUCAAAUCUUUAAUCAAGUGAGUAAUCUCACUAAUCCCUGCUUAGUUUAAUAAUUAUGCUUAGGGGUUGGUUAGGUUUAAUUAAAUGCAAUUAGGUGGUUAGAUUAGAGUAGAUUAGUGAUUAUUAGACAAUUGUGAUGCAUGUUAGAUAUUUUGGUUGUGUAUUUAGCAAGUAGACGUGGUCUACUAAUUAUUGGAAGUGCCUCGGGAUUUUUCCCGACCCUUAGUGGGCUUCAAUUAGGCUUUUCGGGCCUAAGUGGAAUUUUUAGUAUUUAAAUAUUAAAUUUCGAAAUUAAAUUAAAUAAUUAUUUAUUUUCCGAAAAUUCAACUGAGAUGGUCCGGAACCGGAAUUUUAUGCUGAUUGUCGUGGUGCAGUCCGUUUAUUUAAUUGAGCUUUAUUUUGUGCGAAAAUAAUUUAUUUGGGAAUUAUUUUAAGUAAUUUUGGAAAAUUAAUUGGAAAUUAACCGAGCAUUAGUUAAUGAUACCAAAAUGUUUUAGUGGAAUACAGAAUAUGAUGGGAUUUACAAAAAGGAGAUUAUUAUAUUUUGGCUAGGGUCGAUUGAGUACCCACUCAUGGCAUUUUAUCGGAAAUGAUAAAACUGGUUAUUUGAUUGUUUGCUUGGAAUGACAUGUAUACCAGCUCGAUGACUCUACGGAGCAUCUGGAGACAGUAUGGUAUGAUAAAUUGUGUGUAUACCAGCUCGAUGACUCCACGGAGCAUCUUGAGACAUGACGGUAUGAUCUACCGGCUCGAUGACUCUACGGAGCAUCUGGAGACAGUACGGUAUGAUAAAUUGUGUGUAUACCGGCUCGAUGACUCCACGGAGCAUCUUGAGACAGGACGGUAUGAUCUACCGGCUCGAUGACUCCAUGGAGCAUCUUGAGACAGGACGGUAUGAUCUACCAGCUCGAUGACUCUACGGAGCAUCUGGAGACAGUACGGUAUGAUAAAUUGUGUGUAUACCGGCUCAGUGACUUUAUAUGUCAUCUUGAGACAGGACAGUAUGAUCUACCGGCUCGAUGACUCUACGGAGCAUCUAGAGACAGUACAGUAUGAUUUGAUAGCUCGAUGACUCUAUAUGUCGUCUGGAGAUAAGAUAACAUGCUAUCUAUAUAUCACCUAGGGUGAGUAGUCUUGGAUGUUGAUCAGACUUAUAGAAAGUAUGGAAGGGGUCAUUGCUUUGAUAUGAUGCUGUGAAUUGAUUGAUUGGAUGGAAAUGACUGGGAGUGGUCUUGUUGGCUUGUAAUCGACUAGGUCGAUUUGAUCAAUGCUUCGAUCUAUGAUAUGAUUGCUUGGGUGCCUAUUAUGAAUUGUACUGACUUGCAGGGGGGAUCUGAGGCCAAGGUACUUCUUCUGCCCUGUGCGUGUAUAGGCAGCCUAUAGUAUAAUGGUUUACUAAACGGGCUUAGUGGGGUAGAACUCGCUGAGACGUAGUCUCAUCCCAGUUUGGGGAAAACAUUUCAGGAUCCCUAUGAGAAGUUGAGGAGGAGAAGUCUGGGAAGGAGAACUCGGAGGUAAAACCUGAGGAGAAGGAUUUUGGAAGAAGAAGAUAAUCCCGAGAGGGGCCUUGAGUACAACCCGGAUGGACUGAGAGUCUAUCUUCUUUUGAGAAUUCCAUUUUGAAGUGAAUAGUUAUGAAGUGGUUUGUGUUUUGUAUAAAAGUUUGGUUAUAAAUUUCAAUAUGAAAAAUAUGGCCCUGCUUUUCUAUCACAUUGUUUUAUUGUCUGGGGAUUUUAACUGCUUCCGCAUGUGCUUAAUAAAUGAAAGGGUUGGCGAUACAUAGUCCUGGGAUAUCGCAUUAUAAAAUCGACCAAGUGAGAAGGAUGUGUGCGUGCCCGAGGAUCAGGGCGUGACACCAGGGAUAGGGAAAAAGGUAGACUUUUAGUCCAUUUCCCACGGAACCCCGAACCGGAGUGGACGUAUCUCCAUACUAAGGACUUGAAAAAGGUUAACCACGACGGGGUGAGAUAAAUCUCAGUGAGUCAAAACCCUAAACCCCGAUUAGGUCGCAAAUUCGCCUCGAAGGUAGUCCUAAGCAUGCACCAUACAAAACUCACCUCGCCUCGGCACGUCCCUGCAUAUUAGUGCAUCACAUAUCCCAUUAUCAAUACAACAAGCGUGAUUAAUAACCGGAACACAUAGUUCUAGCCCUUCAAACAUUCAUAUGGGUCUUGAUUAUAAGGUAAAACUGUUAUGACACGUCACAUACCGUGCCACACAAUUUUGCCCCAUAAUCAAGCGCAAACUAUCACAACCAUUCAAGCGUGUUCUGAUUAUUACGACCCAUUGGCUAUGGCCAACUCAAAAGUUGGCGGUCAUCCGGCAUAACCGGGCAUCGUCCCGCCCCGUCAGGCACAACAACGUCUAGCACUACCCGCCUAGACGGCAUUCCAUAAAGGAGCAUCGGCUCGGCCUCCACCGCAACUUGGCAUCCGUUGACGUGGGGAAUCCGAACUUAAUUAGGCAUCGCCUCCCCAACUCUCAUCAGGUGAUGAGGUUCCAAUAGUGACCAUACGAGCACAUAUUUGGCCAAGGACACCAUGCUUUGCAUUCAAAUACCUCCUUUUCAAAUAAUGAACUUGGCCACUUUUUCUUCAUAUUAAAAAUCCCGGUAAAAUAAUCGUGCGUGGUCACGUAUUUAAAAGCGAACCAUCAAACCUGGUACUCUCCUAUUUUGAAACUCCACGAUUUUAUAUAGUAUAUAAAAAUUGGCGUCCAAAAACCGACACCUAGCAUUUUUCUAUUUAAAUGCCCAUAAAACCGAGUUUUACAGCUAGUGUGCUAUGGAAAGAGAGUACUUUUUGUUACCAUGUAAGACGAAAUUAUUACCUUGUCCCCGGUGACACAAACACACUGCUUAAAACUUCAACACCAUCUGAUUCAGUAAAAAACUGCACCAAUGAAUAACAUACCAUUAGUGAGUCAUACCAUCACAUGACCACUUUACAAGUGCCAUUGAAUGCAAGAAACUAACUGAUUGAUGACAUGGUCAGUGACCCUGUAUUAUCAUGCCCCCUCUUCAGCACAAUGGAAUCAAAUUCAUGAAAAAAGAGAAGGCAAGGUGCUACAGCUGCUACCUUCAAGAAUAUAUCUGAACCUGCACUUUUAUAAUUGCCGUUACUCCCAAAUAUUCAAAACUUCUCUAGUUUGUUCACAAAAUCAAUGCCAUCAAUGUGCAGAAUAGAUGAUCCAGUAGACAUUUGAUCACCAAUUUCAAAUUUUUAGUAGAGAAAAACUUCAAAUAUCUUACAUCUUAAUCUUCAUAGAGGAUUCUCUCAUUCAUGCGUGAGAAAACUCCAGAAGCAUUUUAACUUGGCCUCUUCAUUGGUUAUGGGAGAAUCCUCAUUGCUGUUGUUUAAAAUUAUAUAAUUAGAACAUCUUGGCUACAGAAGAUCCUCAUUGCUGCUAUUAGUUAUCGUAUUUUGACUGCUGGCAUAAAUGAAGGGACCUCUAUUAAAUGCAUACAAAAGCAAAAGAAGAAAGCACAAAAUUGUGAAAUGUAUGGAAAUAACAAAGUUCAAUAGAAGAUUGCACAGUGGACCUCAAUAAACAUUCGUGUAGUUGAAAAGAAGGCUAUUAGAGCUUGCUAAAAAGUACCAAUGUACUUAUCCAUAGCUCGCCCUUUUACUGAUAUGGAUUGAAGAGAACAAGUCAUUGCUAUAGCACCAACAAUAUGUCUUGCCAAAGCCUAGACGUCCAUGUAAAAGAACAUUUCACCAUGGUCUUGGAGGAGGUUGUGCAAAAAAGUUUUAUCAGCAAAUGUAAAAAUGAUAGAUACAAAGAUCAAAUAGGUUUAUUUAACAAGUUAACAGUAAGUACAUUAUUAGCAUAGAGAGAGAGUGUGUGUGACAUCCUGAAAUUCGACCCCGUUUCGAUAAAGUGAAAUGGGCAUUUCAUCAACGUGUUUACGGUCAUUUUUCUCUAAGCUGAUCACUCACGAGUUAACUAACCUAUUGGGUGAAGCUGUUAAGGGAUGUAUCUGCCGUAAAAUCCCUAAAAGCUACUCAAUUUGUUGGAUUGGACUAAAAUCACAUCUGAUCAAUUUUUAACCACGAAAUUGAACUCGAUUUCGGGAAUCGAAUUUUAAGCGCGGACAAUUCUUAUUUUUAGGAUCCUAUCUCAUCAUCCGUCAAAUUGUUGACGAGUUCGAAAUUUCAAUAAAGAAAUUAUCGGAGGAAAAAUUGAAGAUCGAAAGGAAAUAAAAAGGGAAUGAGAAAAGGAAAAUAAUAGAAGUAAUAAGAAAAUUAUGUUUUCUUAUUAAAAUAGUAUUUUCUUUUCCUUUUUCUUUUCUCUCUCCUCUCCCCCUCUCCCCUUCGUGCGAAUUGGCCCCCAUUUCCACCGAAUAGUGGGCUGUCCCCCACUUGUUUUUCCCCUUUCCCUUUGACCAUUCAAACCCAUCUUUUCUCUCUUAUCUUCUUCUUCUUCUUCUUCUUCUUCUUCUUCUUCUUCUUCUUCUUCUUCUUCUUCUUCUUCUUCUUCUUCUCUCUCUCUCUCUCUCUCUCUCUCUCUCUCUCCUUCGCACGCUCUCUCCUCCCUUCCGUGCAUUCCAGCGAACGAAGACAGAAGAAGAGCAGACGUUGCAGCUCGCCGUCACCGCCUGUCCCGCCACCCACGCGCGCACGCCCCGCGUCCGCCGCUCGCCGCCAUGCACUGCCUGCCCUCUCCUCCGCCCAGGCACCCCUUCCUUGCGCGAGACAGGCCGUUCGGCCUCUGCUCAGCCCUCGUUUUGCCCCGUCCGGCCACCUCCGGCCGCCGUUCAACCCCGCCGGACCUCCACCGGCCUUCCCUCGUGCCUUGUCGCGCUUGUGGAAGUGGUUUGUGGCUGUUUUGUGUAUGUUUUCAGCCAUUGCAGCCACCCCACGAAGUGGAUUUCCAGCCCCUUUCGGGCUCGUUUUGGGCCGUUUCCGGGCCCCAAACCUGAGCCGUGCUUUGGGAAGAAUCGUUCCUCACGCCGCCCCCAUCGGAUUGAUCCGAUUUGCACGUGAUUUGGUGAGUAAUCUCACUAAUCCCGGAUUAGUUGGCUAAUUAUGCUUAAGGUUGGUUUAGUUUUAAUUAAUUAUGUUUAGUUUUUUAGAUUAGAAUAAAUUAGCAAUUAUUAGUCAAUUGUGAUGCGAUUUAGAUAAAUUGAUUGCGCAAUUAGCAAGUAGACGUGGUCUACUAAUUAUUGGAAGUGCCUCGGGAUUUUUCCCGACCCUUAGUGGGGAUUUUCGGGCCUAAGGGGAUUUUUGGUAUUUAAAUAUUAAUUUUUCGGAAUUAAAUUAAAUAAUUAUUUAUUUUCCGAAAAUUCAACUGGGAUGGCCCGAGAAUGAAAUAUUAUGUUGAUGACUGUGGUGAAGUCUAUUUAUUUAAAUGAGCACCAAUUUGAGCUAAAUUGGAUUUAUUAUAAUUAAUUAUUAAUUCUCGAAAUUAAUUAAUUAAUUAAUUAAUUAUUUUCCGGAAAUUUAACUCGGAUGGCCCAUGACCGAAUUUUUAUGCUGAUGAUUGUGGUGCAGUCUAUUUAUUUAAUUGGGCUUUAUUUUGGGCUAAAUUGGAUUUAUUGUAAUUAAUUAUUAAUUUUCGAAAUUAAUUAAUUAAUUAUUUAUUUUUCAGAAAUUAAGACUGAGGUGGCUGACGACCGAAAUCUUGUGCUGAUCGUCGUGGCGUGGUCUGUUUAUUUAAUUGAGCUGCAAUUUGCAUGGAAUUGAUUUAAUUAGGAAUUUUUAUGAGUUAUUCAUAUUGACUUGAUGGUUAAUUAUUUGAUUGAGCAAUCGUUGGGUAUUGGUUAUUACCUGAAAGGAAAUACGUGGGCUCGGUGAAUCGGAAUAUCACCUGGAGAAUGCAUGUGUAUUCAGUGGUUGAAUAUGUCAUCUCGGCGAAGAGGUUGCCUUAGAGAAUGCUUGUAAAUUGUUGAAAGUUGAUCAUGCCUGUGUGGCGAUAGUUGAUCAUGCCUGUGUGGCGUAGAUUGUGCCUGCGUGGCCGUAUUUUUGUGUAUCAAGUAUCGGUUGCCAGUGAUAAAGGUAUUGUGGUAGACUACCGAUCAUACUAGAAAUUGUGGAAAUGAAAGUGAGUAUGUAAGAUGUAUGCUGACCUGAUGACUUGGCAUGUCAUCUAGAAAUUUGGUCAUGUGUAUCGUGGCUCGAUGAUCGAUUCCAUCACCUCAAAGAAUGCACGUGGCUCGGUGAUAAAUAAUAUCGCCUCGGAGAAUGCACGUGGCUCGGUGAUUGGUUAUAUCAGUUGAGACUGUAUAGCAAUGACUAGAAUGACCUAGAAAUGGUCCGGCUGACAUGUAAUCAACUAGGUCGAUUGAUCAUGAUUUCAUCUAAUGUUGUGAAAUGAUGGAUUGAAUGGAAAUGACCAAGAGUGGUCUUGUUGGCUUGUAAUCAACUAGGUCGAUUUGAUCGAUGCUUCGAUCUUUGAUUUGAUUGAUUGUGCAUUGAGAUAUUUGAAGUAUUUGUAUAUAACCUUGAAUUGCAGGUUGAGACUGAUGCCAAGGUACGUCUUCUGCCCUAUGUGUGUGUAGGCAGCCUAUAGUAUAAUGGUUUACUAAUCGGGCUUAGUGCGGUAGAACUCGCUGAGACGUAGUCUCAUCCCAGUUUGGGGAAAACAUUUCAGGACCCCGAUGAGAAGCUGAGGAGGAGGAAUCUGAGUGGGAGAACUCUGAGGUGAAACAUGAGGAGAAGAAUUUUGGAAGAAAAAAAUAAUCCCGAGAGGGGCCUUGAGUACGACCCGGAUGGACUGAGAUUCCAUCUUCUUUUGAGAUCUCCAAUUGAUGUGAAUAGUUAUGAAGUUCUCUAGUUUGCGUUUUGUAUAAAAGUUUGUUUAUAAGUUUCAAUAUGAAAAAUAUGGCCCUACUUUUCUAUCCCAUUGUUUUAUUGUUCGGGGAUUAUAACUGCUUCCGCAUGUGCUUAAUAAAAGAAAGGGUCAGCGAUAUGUAGUCCUGGGAUAUCGCAUUAUAAAAUCGACCAAGUGAGAAGGAUGUGUGCGUGCCCGAGGAUCGGGACGUGAGAGAGAGAGAGAGAGAGAGAGAGAGAGAGAGAGAGAGAUGAAGAAAGCUACAUAAGUCAACUAAAAGAAUAAACUAAAUCUAGUCUUCAACGACACAAGGUCCUCUUUCCUAACACCAUAAAUUGCAGAAUGCACAACUUGAUGCAGCUAAACCUAGUCUUCAACGAAAUGGUGGCUUGACCAUAUUGACAAGUUUACUCUAGUAUCAAUUGUCACCCAGCACGAAUUUCACGCAUAAAUGGCUAAAUACUAGAAUGAAGAAGGAUAGUUCACAAAUCACACUGUGACUCAAGACUUGAAGCUUCUCCACUUCAGUUCAGAAGUAACCAGAAAACACCUCCAAUUCUUUGUGAAGGAAAUAACUAAAUCACUCAUAUUGCAUAAUAGGUAUCAACGAUUCACUCUUUUGCUAACCAAGUAUUAAUUCCUUUAUUUCAGUCCUCACAAAUCAUGAUUGUUCUCUUCUGGUAUUGAAAACACUCCAUAAGGUGAGACCAGUACUCUCAAGUCUCAACCCCCUCAGCCUUACAACAAAACCUAGCAUUUGUCAGCAUUUUUAGUGUUCUUACUAUCUAAAAGUUCCCUUCCACUUUAUCCAUUUUUUCUAAGCAAAACAGGUGCAACGAAGCAUGUCACUCCCGAUGUUAUGCUGGUGCGCAACAUAAACCAGCUAAGUAUCACUAUCAUCAAGUCAAGGCAAGUCAAAGUAUCACACAUUUAUGAUACAUGAAAGAGGAUUUUCCCUUAGAGACAACAAGAUGAACUAAUGCAAGAGGUGGUUCUAGAACCAAGAUGAAAGGUUAGUUGAAGGAAAACUCACAAAACAGGACAUAACAAAAAACAAACUCUAGUUCUAUGGACUUACCAUCAUCGACUAUCUUUGCCAAUCAAUUGAUACAUAUCUUAUCCAUCUCUAUUAAACCUCGGGCAAUCAUGGACAAUUAGUUGACAAGAUUUUGGCACACCCAGCACCCUCUCUAGUGAUUCACAUCCAUAGAACCGCAAAAUUUUCAAAUUUUGUAGAUUAGAAAAAUCAUAUUCGUUUAAGCUUUUGAUUGAAUCGCAUAAAAAGAUCUGCAAAAACCGCAAUGAUUUCAAUUCUCCCAAACCCUAAAUCUCAGUUAGCUGAGGCAAUCCAAAUAGUAACAAACUCUGGAUCUCCUUUUAAACAGGCAGAACAGGUAGCAUCUUGAGCAAUGGACAGUCAUACAUACUCAAUUCGUUGAAUUUCCGUAGCUCUCCAAGCACCUCGAAUUGAAUCUCUCUCGGUGAAUAUCCAACAAUACACAGCUCCAACAAAUUCUCCAAGUUGGAAAAGACUGACCAAUCUAUCGAUGACUGGACAUCCCAUAACCGCAACUCUCAAAGGCUGGAUGGGAGCCCGACAAGAGAUUGGGGCUCAAAAUAUCUUAUUUGGAGUCUUUGUAGCUAAGAGAGGGAACUGAAAUCAAUUGGGGGCAUUCUUCCAACGUUCAGGUUCAUUUCCCUCAAAGUAGUUAGUCUCAUGAUCCCCUUUAUGUUGGGUUCUUGCAUUGAAUUGCUAAUUAUCACAAGGUCAAGGCCAACUAAAUUGGUUAGGUUUGAGCAGUCGGGGAUCGUGGUCACCGAAUCCGAUGAAAGGGCUAAAGACGCUAGACUCUUGGGAAGCUUAGGCAGCCGUUGGAUUGAAUUACAGUCCUUUAAAUUAAGUUUUUGGAGAUUUGUAAGCCGAUUGAUGGUUGUCGGCAAUCCACUAAAGCGACCUUGAGAUAAGUCUAGAACUUUCAAUGAGGAUAAUGCCCCAAUUUCACUUGGAAUUUCCCCCACCAAAUGUUUAGAUUCAACCCAUAACUUUUCUAGAUUUUCCAACAUUCCUAUGGUUUUCGGAAGUUCACUUAUGCGGUUGAAUAUGAGACUUAGUACCUUCAACUUUUUUAAAUUUCCAAUACAAUCAGGUACGAUCUUGAUACUUGACCCAAUUAAAUCCAAAUUGACCAAUGAUUGGAGCCUCCCAAUCGAGUAUGGUAGCUUUUCUAGGGGGCAAUGUGAAAUGCGUAAAACUUUCAACCUUUCAAGAUUUCCAAUAGAAUGAGGUAAUUCACUGAUAUUUAAACAUUGGACAUCUAGCACAAGUAGUGACUCCAAUUGUCCGAUAUAGUAUGGUAGCUUUUCUAGGGGGCAAUGUGAGAUGCGUAAAACUUUCAACCUUUCAAGAUUUCCAAUAGAAUGAGGUAAUUCACUGACAUUUAAACAUUGGACAUCUAGCUCAAGUAGUGACUCCAAUUGUCCGAUAGAGUCGGGAAGCUUUUGAAGUUCCCUGCAUGGCAAAAUUAGAGACUUCAUAUAUACCAAAUUAUCAAUCAAGAGAGGCAUCAUUGAGGGUGUCCAAUUUAUUCUUAGCACUGUCAAAGAUUUUAGACCGCCAGUGGACUCUGGUAGUGACUCAAUAGCUUCACUCUUGAUCUCAAGGUAAUCAAGAUGUUUUAGAUUGCCGAUGGACUUGUCAAUCUUUCUUAGUUGAAGGCAUCUAAGAAUCAACUUCUCCAGUUGCGAGAUUGCAAAGAACUUGGGCAUCCUUCUAAGGAAUGGACAAUCCUCAAGCUGUAGGAUUUUCAAUUGUUUUGCUAUCUAUAAAGUAAUUGAGUAGACACUCAGAAAAGAGGAGUAAAUAUAAUGCAAAAGGAUGUCAUGAGAUCAUACCAUGAUUUGACACCAUCCUCCCCAAUCUUCAGUAACGUUAUUCCCAGAUAGCAUGAGAAUCGUUAAGUUCUUCAACCCAAGGUUGGUAGCUUGGAAUUUUGAAGGGUAAUUGCUCCAAGAGAGCCAUCUCAAAUUAGAGAAAACAUUCUUAAAGUCUCCUUCUAAGUUUACGUGGUCCAAUUGAAGGAACCUAAGGUUGACUAAGCGCACAAAGUGCUUGUGCUUAAAUCUGUACGUCUUAUUGUGAUCAGGUGUACCAAGAUUGAGCACCACUAUGUCUCUGGUUCCCUGGAAAAUAAAAAGUAGCAACCGAUGAGUAAAUAUGUAAGUUUGACUUGAAAUUAGAUAAAAAGGUGAUGACGCUAAUGGAUGUAUUGGAAAACAUGUAGAGGUAAAGAUUACCAUUUAUGUUUGCACUACAUGAAAGGCAUCCUCGGGAGACCACAAUCUGCUACCCUUCAUAUGGAUUUCGCCACUUUCCGGAUGGACAAUACUCCUUCCAAGGUCUCUAAGUUGGUCGUGCAUCCAUAGUUUAUUAUUGUUGCAUAUUUUUAUCAGAGACAUUUGUUUGAGGAUAGUCAACUCGAUUUCGGUCGAAUACCCAAAAAUCGCAUCCCAAUAUUUAACUAAAGUUGUUUUCUCUUUGUUGAAGCAGAAACAUGCGAUAUCAAGAUAAAUUUAUUGUUGACUAGGCUCCAAUGCUUCAUAGCUUAUCAUUAGCUUCUUCCUGACAUCCUCAUUCAUCACAUUCUUUAACUUAUGUAGGGUGUCUUCCCAUGUUCUUCGGCAUUUUCCACAGAGCAUGGAACCUACGACAUUGAGAGCUAGUGGAAGUCCUCCUAGCACAUUGAUUAGCUUAUAUGCAAUAUCCAUGUAAUCAGUUGGAGGCUCGACACAUCCCAAGGCACGCUCACUAAAAAGUUAAAAAGCAUCAUACAAAUUCAUCACUGGCAUAUUGUAGAAUGAAAAUUGUCCGCUAAUAGAGGCUAGGACAUUGUCAUCCUCACCUUCCUUUACUAGGAAUUCAAUAUUCCUAGUUGUUAUGAUGAUUCUACUACCCCCACCAAACCAGUUGGGCUCACCAGCAAGUCUCAUGAUUUGGUCUCGAUUGUCAAUGUCAUCAAGAACAAUGAGAACUUUCUUGUCAUGAAAUCUCGUCUGGAUCUUGUCAGCCCCUUCAUCAAUGAAGGAUUGGUUUGAGCAACUCAAAUGGAAUAUGUCUGACAACAAUUUCUAUUGUAAGUUUAUUAUAUCAUGAGUCCAAACAUCCUUAAGAAAGCAGCAAUGUCUUUGAAACUGAGGGGAGAUUUGUCUAAAGACAGCCUCAGCCAGUGUUGUCUUUCCAAUGCCACCCAUACCAUAAAUCACGAUAAAUCAUACAUCAAAAGCUUCUAGAUCUAACCGCUUCAUAAUCUCAUCCAUUUGAUCUUUAAUUCCCACCAAAUGAUCAAGCACAUCUGUCCUUCUUGUCCAUAACAAACUAGAAACCUCUUUGAUUGUGAGAUUCAUAAGUUCAUAUAGGCUGCCACAUGCAUGACAUGCAAUCAUCUCAGAUUGAAAAACCAUAUAUAUGGAAACUGUGCACAUAUUAUGUGGCACUAGAAGGUUACCAUCAAGUUCAAAAUAAUUUGCUUUAAAAGAAACCAACACAGAAAAGUGAUCUUUCAAGCUGUGAGCCGUUUGAAAAAAAAAAAAAAACAGAUGUUUUCAAGAGAGGAGGAGGAGAGGGGACUUUAUUCAUGGUUGAAAGCUAAUCCUAUCAAGGUUCGUUGGUUUAGUCAAGAAUGGGAAAAGGUUAUUUUGUGACAAGGGUCUAACUGGGCUUCGACUAGAAGUCAUUGGCAAAUUGUGACUAACUAGUGCUGUGAGCUGUUGUGUUGGAAUAGGUUGUGGGCCUUUGUUCCAUUUUUAUGGAAAAAUUAUGAAAUCAAUCUUAAAUUAUUAUACAAAUGUCAAUUCAGUCAUAAACUUUUCAAUUUCAAUAAUAUUAUCCUAAACCUUUAUACAAAAUUUCAAUGUAGUCCUUGCAGUCAAUGUCCACCGAAAAUUGCUGAAGUGGCAAUCUAUGUAGGAUGUCAUUUCAAGUAAAAUUGUCCACGUCAACUAGCCACGUAGGACAAAGGUGAUGAAUAGAUGUCAUGUUAGUAAUUUCUCGCGGCAAUUGGGCAGAAAGAUUACAUUAAAAUUUCACACAAAAUACUUAUGACCACAUUGGAAAAAUUAAAAUGUCUAGUACUCAAAUGUCAUGCACAAUGAAUUUAGAACUGAUUUGAUAAUUAUGCCUCCACUUCAUUUUAUACUUUUUCACACCGGUUGGUUUCUUCUUGUUGCACACAGCUAAGAGCGAGACCUCUAGAAGUUUGGUUAAAUAUCAAGUCCUUGGUAGCUCGGUCUUGAUAAUCUCUUCAAGCAAUAGGGAUGAGUUUGAAGGUUAACAGAAAAGAAAAAAUCUCACUCGCAGUUGCCUUGAAUAUCGGAAACGAGAAUACUAUCUCAAAAGCAUUUUUCUUAACGUACCGAUGGAGUAGAAUGCUAACCGAAAAUGAGGAAGAUUUUCUGGAAUAUAUAUCAACCUUGAUUCGAGUUACCAAUAAACAUUUCUCCAAAUAAGUUAGAAAUAAUUUUAGGUUACCCAUUCUUUUUAUGAUAUUGGUAAUGGCAAACUAGUUGGUACCUCUUUACCAAAAAAAAAACUUAGUUGGUACUUUAAUCAGAACAAAUUGGUGAGUAACUGAACUUAGGAUUGGUAAUUUAACGACAGAUUUCGUUGCCUAAUGAUGUUCAUAACCAGUGCAAAUAAAAGUUUCUGCGUUAUUAACGAAAGUUUUUAUGAAGGUUGUUAGUUUUGAAACAAAUAAUAACUACUGAUAAGUAGCUCAAAUAAGAAUGGGUAGCUUAAACUAGUUGUUAACUUCAUUAGAGAUUAGUUAAUAUGACAAUCAUAUUAGAGUUAGUAAUUCGGUACAAGAUUUGGUAAUUUUGAAAUGUGGAGUAAACAAUAUGGUGAGUUUGUACAGAAGUUGUAAAUUGGCAAACAAUCUAAUAAACUUAGUAAAUGAUUCACAAAAAAGCCGGUAAGCUAAAACUUGUUUGUAAAACAAUGGAAAAAGAAGUUGGUAAGACACAAAUUAAAGUUGAUAAUUUCAUAUAAAAACCGAUAACUUUAAAAUUAUGGAUGGGCAUGGAGCAUUGAAAUCCGCACCUCACAGUGGCCUGCCUUGGAUGAGGCAAUUUUUUUUAGGAAAUUUUUUCUCAAAACAAUUGCCUCCCUAGGAAUGUUGCACGACACAAGUUGGGCAUGGGCAGUAAUAGGCUAGCCCUUCCGUUCUCGAGGAUUGAAACUAUUAAUGCGUUUACUUAAAGAUAGAAAUCGUAAGCUUUAAUGAAGAAGGAUGCAAGUAAGCAGAGAGUAACGGCUAGGGUUUAUAGAAAAACUAUCACAAACUAGGAUAGAGGGUAGCUCCAUAUCUCAAGGUAAUUUAUGACUGUUAAAGUACUUAUCCAUUUUCUAGAGGCUUUUAGAUUUCUCCAACCAUAACUACAACUACUUGGUGAAUUUUUAGUUAAUCAAGAUUUGAGGCCAUGAAUAGGUCCAUGUUUAAAGCAAUAGCAAGAACCAAUUUUUAUGUUUUAACAUUCUACUAUAAAUCUGUCACGCCUCGAUCCUCAGGGACGCACCCAUCCUUCUACUGUACCGUGGUGUUGCCAGACCACUUUGACCAAUAGAAUGGUCUUUGUACGCAGAACUUGCUCUUUGCGAUCGACAAUCUGGACCGGUCUUUCGACGUAUGACACACGGUCAUCCACCUCAAAUUCUUCAAAAUUGAGCACGUGGGUCGGGUCAGGCUCAUACUUCAUCAAUAUUGACACGUGAAAAACAUCAUGCACUUGCGUCAAUCUUGGCGGCAACGCAAGACGAUACGCUAAAGUCCCGAUUCUCUCGAGAAUCUCAAAUGGACCUACGUACCUCGGACUCAAUUUGCCUUUCUUUCCAAAGCGCGAAGUUCCCCUCAUUGGUGAUACUUUCAAAAAAACGUGAUCACCAACUUGGAAUUCCAAAGACCUCCGGUGCUUAUCUGCGUAACUUUUAUGCCUGCUCUGCGGUGUCUUUAAUCUGUCUUUGAUCACUGCCACGACAUCUACUAACUGCUGAACCAACUCUAGGCUUGUAAUCUUUCUUUCCCCAACUUCAUCCCAACACACUGGUGUUCUGCAUGCUUUGCCAUAUAACGCUUCGAAUGGAGCCAUUUGAAUACUCUGUUGAUAACUGUUAUUGUAGGCGAAUUCUACUAGAUGAAGUUGAUCUUCCCAACUUCCCUUAAAGUCUAUUACACAAGCUCUUAGCAUGUCUUCGAGGGUCUGAAUUGUCCUCUCAGAGUGGCCAUCCGUCUGAGGAUGAUAUGCCGUACUAUACUAAAGCUUUGUACCAAGAGCACUCUGCAAGCUCUUCCAAAGAGCGGCUGUAAACCUCGGGUCUCGAUCUGACGUUAUCAUAACUAGCACUCCAUGCAUUCGAACCACUUGACGCACGUACAGGUCUGCGUGCCUAUCUAGACUAAGGUCCUUUCGAACUGCAAUGAAGUGAGCCGACUUUGUUAGUCUGUUGACUACUACCCAGAUCGAAUCAUUCCCUCUCUGACUUCUUGGUAGUCCAGUCACGAAGUCAAUCGUGAUAUGCUCCCAUUUCCAUUCUGGGAUCGUGAGAGGUUGUAGAAGUCCUCCUGGCUUGCAAUGAUGAGCUUUUACUUGCUGACAUGUCAAACACUUGGCCACAUGUUUGGCGAUAUUCGCCUUUAUACUUGACCACCUAUAGUGUUGACACAGAUUAUGAUAUAUCUUAGUGCUUCUAGGAUGAAUGUUGUAACUGCUACGAUGUGCUUCAGAUAAAAUUUCUUCUCUAAGCUCUGCAUCGUCAGGUACAACCAAACAUCCUUAGAACCUUAGAGUCUCGUCAUCAGCAAUCUGAAAAUCAGCCUUCCUUUUAUCUGCGUCUUCCUGAAGAAUUCUCUGUACAUCUGGGUCUGUCGGUUGGAGUUGUUUAAUUCUGACUUGGACAUUCGGUUCAAUUCUGAGGGCGGCCAUAAAACUUGAAAGGUGGCCUACCUUAAAUUUGAAUAUCAAAUCUCGAGCUCUCUCGAUUAAGUUCCACUCCUUAAUCAGUAUAUGAGCCAAUCAUAGUCGUAGUCCUUCAGUAAUUCCAUCCAUUGGCGCUGUCUCAUGUUCAACUUCUUCUGAGAGAACAGAUACUUGAGACUCUGAUGGUCCCUGAAGAUUUGAAACUUUUCCCCACACAAGUAGUGCCUCCAAAUCUUCAGGGCAAAAAUAAUCGCGGUAAGCUCUAAGUCAUGCGUCGGAUAGUUCAAUUCAUGAGGUCUCAACUGACGGGAGGCGUACGCAACAACCCUACCAUGUUGCAUCAGCACGCAACCUAACCCUCUAAAUGACGCAUCACUGUAGAUCUCAAAUCCUCUAGGACCAGAUGGAAUUGUCAGCACAGGUGCGGUAGUUAGCUUUUCCUUCAGCUCUUGAAAAUUACGCUUGCACUUGUCUGUCCAUAUGAAUUUCUCGUUUUUCUUCGUGCGCUUAGUUAGAGGCGAUGCUAAUGUUGAGAAACUUUCUACAAACUGUCUGUAAUAACCUGCCAAUCCCAGAAAACUUCUUAUUUCUGUCACUGAUGUCGGUCUCUGCCAAUUGAUCACGGCUUCUAUCUUGCUCAGGUCGACGGAGAUUCCUUCUCCGGAAAUCACAUGACCUAAGAACGCAACACGAGUCAACCAAAACUCGCAUUUGCUAAACUUAGCAUACAACCGAUGCGCCCUUAAAGUUUGGAGCACUAAUCUCAGAUGAUUCUCGUGCUCUUCGUCACUUCUCGAAUAGAUCAAGAUAUUAUCAAUGAACACGAUCACAAACUGAUCUAGAUAUUCCUUGAAUAUUCUGUUCAUCAUAUCCAUGAAAGCAGCUGGAGCAUUCGUCAACCCAAAUGGCAUCACUGUGAACUCGUAAUGACCAUACCGAGUACGAAAUGCUGACUUAGGAAUGUCCUCUUUCCUAAUUCUCAACUGAUGAUAUCCCGUCCUCAAAUCAAUCUUCGAGAAUAUUCGCGCUCCUUGCAACUGAUCGAACAAAUCAUCAAUCCUUGGGAGUGGAUACUUAUUCUUAAUGGUCACUUGGUUGAGUUGUCUAUAAUCGAUGCACAAACGCAAUGAACCGUCUUUCUUCUUUACAAACAAAACUGGUGCUCCCCAAGGUGAUGCGCUAGGACGAAUAAAUCAUUUGUCUAAUAAUUCCUGCAUCUGGACUUUCAAUUCUUUCAGUUCUGUCAAUGCCAUUCUGUAUGGUGCCUUUGAGAUCGGCUCUGUUCCCAGUGCUAGUUCAAUCACAAAUUCAAUUUCUCUUUCUAGCGGUAGACCUGGCAAUUUUUUUGGAAAGACAUCUGGAAAUUCUUGAACUACUGGAAUGUCUUCCACUUUCAAGUCCUCAACUGUUGUAUCCACCACCGUUCCCAGGUAACCUUGACAACCCUCGUCUAACAGACGAGUUGCCUCUGGUGACGAGAUUAAGGAAACCGUGGGUCCUCCUCGAUUCCCAACAAAUUCGAAACUCUUACCCCCUAAUGGGUCAAAUUGAAUCGCUUUGUGAUAGCAGUCCAUUUUAGCUCUUUGCUUGGUGAGCCAGUCCAUGCCAAUUAUUAAAUCAAAGUCAUACAUGGUUAGGACUAAAAGAUAUAUUUUCCCCUCUUGCUCACCAAUCACUAACUUGCACCCCGAACAACCCAAAGCAGUAAUAACUUUAUCUUUCAAGGGUGUAGAUAUGCACAUUGCCGACUCCAAUAAUAUAGGAUUGACUCCUAUCAACUUAACAUACUACUCAGCAAUAAAUGAGUGAGUUGCUCCCGGAUCAAACAAAGCAUAAGCAGGUUGGUUGUUGAACGAAACCAUACCUGUUAUCACAUUAGGCACAGCUUUCACCUGACCUUGUGUGAUUGCAUACACAGUGCUCUGAACUGGAGGUCUCUGCUGUCCUCCUUGCGGCACGUUCUGAGGGGCAUACCCUCUUAUCUGUCCUCUCGGUGGUGGCGGUGGCAAUUGCGGUUGUCCUCUCUGCUUCUUUGGACAAUACCUUGCAAUGUGGCCCUGUUGGCCACACUCGAAACAGGCUCCUGUCCUUGCUGGGCACGGAGCUGUACCGUGUCGCCUUCCACGAAAGCGACAUAUACUCGUGUUAUUGGACAUCUGUCUAUUGAAUCUGCUCCUCUUGAAAAGUGAUGCAUGGGAUCUGCCUCCGGGCAUGGGUCUUUUUCCCUAACGAAUAUUCUCUCGAUGAGAGUGAAAUCUGGACCCAGAUGAGGUUGCUUGGUCAUUCUGAUCUCUCUCGAUCAUCUAAGCCCUCUCAUAAAGGUCAUUAUAAGUCCUCGGGUUCAGGGAAAUCAAUGUACUUCUUUAGUCUGGCUUAAAUCCUUCUCUGAACCUCCUCGCUCUAUUUAUUGGAUUCGCAAUUAAUUCAGGAGCAUACUGUGAAAGUUCAGCGAACUUCGCCUCAUAUUGAUCGACAGUUAGGGAACCCUGGCGAAGACGUUGAAAUUCUGACAUCUUCACCUCUCUAGCAUUUUUUGAGAAAUAUUUGACAUUAAAAGCCUCUAGAAAGGUGUUCCACUUUGGAAUAACGCCUUCUGGGAAUAUGGUUCCUCGAGUCGUCUUCCACCAAGUAUCUGCAACUCCAUCCAGUUCGUAAGUUGCAAGUAGUACCUUUUCAGUCUCAUUGCACAUUAGUAGUGCAAAAGCUUUCUCCAAUUUCCGGAUCCAUGAAGUAGCAGCUUCAGGGUCUCCGGUCUCGGUAAACUGAGGUGGAUACAGCUUUAGGAAUUGCUCUACCAACUGAUGAAUUGGUCUGUUCCCGACCACUAUUCUGGGUGGACCUUCAGCUUGAGCUGCGGCAGGUGCAGCGACAGUUGCGGCAGCAGGUACAGCGGCAGCGUUGGCAACGGCAGUGGCGGCGGCUUCAACAGUGGCAGUAAAGGCAGCAAUUGAUAUCGGGCCUGUUGCCCCAUCAUCUCCCGCAUAACAUCUAGAAGCCUGGUUUAUUCCAACAGUCCCUUGCUCACCCGGGGCUGCUACCCCNNNNNNNNNNNNNNNNNNNNNNNNNNNNNNNNNNNNNNNNNNNNNNNNNNNNNNNNNNNNNNNNNNNNNNNNNNNNNNNNNNNNNNNNNNNNNNNNNNNNNNNNNNNNNNNNNNNNNNNNNNNNNNNNNNNNNNNNNNNNNNNNNNNNNNNNNNNNNNNNNNNNNNNNNNNNNNNNNNNNNNNNNNNNNNNNNNNNNNNNNNNNNNNNNNNNNNNNNNNNNNNNNNNNNNNNNNNNNNNNNNNNNNNNNNCAAACAAUUUUAGCACUCAACUAACACAGACAUGCACCGGCAUGAAUUUAAAGGCAUUUCCUACCAACUAUCCCACGGUCAACGCUCCUUAUCACUCCAAUCUUAAACUUCGCUCUGAUACCACAAAAGGGGAUGUUACGCCCCGAUCCUCAAGGACGCACCCAUCCUUCUACUUGGUCGAUUUUCUUGUGCGAUAUUCCAGGACUAAGUAUCGCCGACCCUUUCUUUUUAUUACGCAUGCGGAAGCAGUUUUAAAUCCCCAGACAAUAAAACAAUGGGAUAGAAAAGCAGGCCAUAUUUUUCUUAUUGAAAUUCACAACCACACUUUUACUAACAGCACAACUCAUAGUAUAUUUACAAUACUAUUUACAGCAAACAAGUCCCACACCUAUCUGCACUAAGAUAGGGUGAACAAAAGGGAUGGGAUCUCAAUCCACAUUUGGGUUGUACUCAAGAUCCCUCUCUGGAUCAUCUUCUACUUCAAAAUACUUUCUUCUCUUCAGGUUCUUCCUCCUCAGCUUUUCCUCAGGGUCUUGAAAUGGUUAUUCAAUAACCAAUGAGACCACAUCUCAACGAGCCCUACCCCCUAAGACUCGAUUAGUAAACUAAUACGCCAAACGGUUGCCUAAGCACAACACGAGUCGGAGGACUUACCUUGGCCUCAGUUCCAACCUGCAAUUCAAGGUUAAACACAGAUAUUCAAAUAAUUCACGACAUCCGAUCAAGCACUGGUCAAUCGACAAAGUCGAUUACAUGUCAGUCAAACCCUCUCUAGGUCAUUCCCACUCAUAUCACGAAUUCCCAGUGGUGUACUCAUUCACCAAAUCACAUGUGUUUCUCGGGUGUUGUUUUCGCCAAUGACAUACCGAUCACCGACACCGUGCGUUCUUUAAGGCGCCCUUUUCAUCAGUGAUAUCCUCGAUCUCCGAACCACGUGUCCUUUCUAGGGCGUCGUUUUCGCCAAGGUGACAUCGGCAAUAGACAACAUCGUGAGUUCUUUAAGGCGUCGUUUUCACCAGUGAUAUUUCCUUAAUCACCGAACCACGUUUGUCUAUAAGUCAUUCACAUGCGUUCUUUAAGGCGCCGUUUUUGCCAGUGAUACUUCCAAUCACCGAACCACGUAUGUCCAAUAAUAUCGUACCUGAUUGGUCUCAACCAAUAAUGUUCUCAGUUAGCUCUCACCAUUCUCCCUACUAUAUAGCCCAUCAACGUACUGGCGCUAUAUACCCAUGCUUGGCCAUUACCAAUCAAAUAUUCAAUAACAAACAAUUAAGGAUAAAUCCUCAAAUUUCACAAUUAAUUCAAUUCCAUACAACGUAGAGCUCAAAUAAAUAAAUGGGCUGCACCACAACAAUCAACACGAAAUUCCGGUCACCGGCCAUCCCGGUUGAAUUUCCGGAAAAAAUAAUUAAUUAAAUAAUUAAUUUUGAAAAAUAAAUAAAUAAAUAUUAAAAUCCAAUUUAUGCUCGUAAUGCCUGAUUGUAGCCCGAAAUGGCUCGGGAAAAAAUCCCGAGAUGCAUUCAAUAAAUAACCGAACCUUUCUACUUGCUAAUAACUAGGUCUAACCACCUAACAUGCAUCAUUAAGUCAUUAAAUUAAUUGUUCUAACCUAAUCUAACCACCUAAUUGCACUUAAUUAAAUAUAACAAACCAUAAGCAUAAUUAGCAAACUAAUAAAGCAUUAGUGAGUAAAACUCAAUUGGUCAAAAGCGGGGAUUGAAUCACCACGACGGCGGCGCGACGGCGGCCGAAAUUGGGCUUUCGACAACACCGGCGAGCUUGGACCGGACUUAAGACUUGGCCCUACAAACUUCAGCAAGGCUGGGCUUUACUGUUGGAAUCUUGGGCUGAACUUGAUCUGGACUUAAUUCUGCUUGGGCUGAAAACGUGGUUCAAACUAUUGUUCACUUGGGCUGGAAUUCUGCAAGCUGAGCUGGAACUUACAAGCUGAUGGGCCAAAUUUCGUUGGGCUUUGAAUGGGCGUGAGGUUCGUGGACUGUUGCAGUGGAAUUGGAUCGAAGACCUGAAGACGCUACGCUGCUUCAACGAAACGCCGGUGCUGGACUGCUGACCUCAAUCGGCUUGGUCGACUGAACGCGCGGCAGAAAGAAGACGCGGCAACAGCUCCAUUGAGUCCUCCAGCUACUUCGACUGACUGACCAGAGGAAGGCACGAGAAGGCUGGUGCUCGUAUGGGUCUUUGAGGAGAUGGGCUUCAACGUGGCAGCUUUGGCGAGGCUGUAGUUGGGUAUCGUGUCUUCGUCGGCGGCUGAGUCGAAGACACGAACGAAUGGUGGAGUCAACGAACGAAAAAGGAAUUCGUUGGUGGAGGCUUGCGGAUGACAAGAAACUGAAGAGAAUCAGCUGCGUGAGACCAUGUGGGGCUUCGAUCUUCAGAGAUGGGCUGGUUUGCUGACCUUCGGAUGAAGACACGAAGAUGAGUGGUCUUCAACGCUGGUUUGUUGACCAAACAACCAGCAGACGCGGCGAAGUGGCAGCGUGGAGAGGAGAGAACUUCGGUGGGACGUUGGCAGCUUCUGAUUUCUGGCUUCUUCGCUGCUGUGCGUGAGAACAUGAGCGAAUGGAGAGAGAGAGAGAGAGAGAGAGAGAGAGGGAGUUCACGAGUAUGGAUAGGAACGGAGGAGAAGGCAGAAGCGGUGAUGAUGAAGACAGCGACGGGAGGGACCCAAAAUCAACAAACCUAAGCCAUUCCCUUAAUUGCUUGUCCCCCUCCUUUUUCUUUAUCCUUAUCUUGGUUGGUCUCUAAUACUUUCUUGUAAAAAUCUUUAUAAACCAAUCAAAUUUGAAGCCUAAAAUUGCUGUCACUUUCCAAUCCGAAUUUCACAUAUUUAUCUUUAACUUCAUCACUCAAUUUCCCAAAUUCGACGUCAAAUUUUGGUGUAGAAAAAUCCCAAAUGAUUUUCUAUAAAUCCCUGACACACAACGGCUCAGUCUGGAAGUCCAAUUUUCUAUCAAUUAAGCCCAUCUGAAUUUCUGCCAAAUUUUUGCGACGUCCGAACCCAUUUUCCGUAAAAAUCUUGAGACCUCCACAAAAUCUUCUAAGACUGAGUUGACGUUCCUAGAAUAGCUCGUGACACCAUAGAACUUUCAAUUUUUGAAAUCGAACUCAAAUUGACGGUUAACUUCACUCUGGCACUCUUUUAGCGUGACCUAGACUACUAGGUAGUUUUCAUAACUUUUCAGGGCAAUUAACUCGUGGUCGAUUUUCUUCGAGCCACAAUGAACCCACUCGACACAUUGGCGACUUUCGAUUGUCGUGAAAAUCUCGAUGACUCAAUUAUAGACACAGGGUACCAAAACGAUAGAAAAAUCAAAUUAGUGCCGAUCGAUGAGAAUUGUCCAAUUUAGUGGAGUCACCCACGAUCGGCCACUCAUCACAGUCGAACCGACCUAUCUCUGAUCUCAAUUCGAUUUUUAACUGUGCAGUAAUGACCUCUAAAGAUGAGCACGGUCGAGAAGCCGAUUCCUGGUCGAAUUCUCAAGUCUAUUGCCUUAAUAUUCUUUAAUGGCUUACCCAGCUAGUCUAGUUAUCUCGAGAGUGAUCAGCUCCGAGAACAACCCUAUAGACGUGUCAAUGAAAUGCCCAAUUAAUUUAAUAGAAAACAAUACUGAAAAUUCUUGAUGUCACAAAAUCACUAUAGAAGAAUAUUCAGUUUAAGGUUGCAGAUCUUGUCUAUGCACAACUUGCCACUAGAGGAGCCGAUGACCCUUGCCCCAUCACAAUGAAAACAAAAGCCCAAGAUUGAUAACACACCUGAACCUAAGUCAAUCCUUUGCAAAUUAAUCAAGAAUUACUCUAAUCAGAAAUAUACAGGAAGAUUGAACCUCUAACACUUACAGAGAUCCUUUUUCUUUUUCUUUUUUUGGUUCUUUUGGAUAAUGGCAUACAAAGAUCUUUGCAAUGUUCGGUCUUGUAUACUCAAACCAAAUAUAAAAACGAUGACCCAAAGUAUCCUCUUACGGGGUUAUAAAACUAUCAUCAUAAAAAUCUCCAUUAUUUUUGUGUAACUCGGUGGUGCGACCGUAAUUAGCCGGUUAUUUCAAGGAAAACAGCAGCAAAGCAUAUGAAUUCCCUAGGGCUGAAACCAAAACCACAAGGAUCGGUCUUUUCCUCUUGGCCGUAAGUUUUGGGAUAUCGUAUAGACUGCGAUAGACUAAGUCUAUGCUAUAAUUUCUCUAAGUUUCCUUAAUGUAACAAAAACAGAAAGAUUUAACAUCAAACUCAAUCUAAUUUUUCAGGAAAACAUUAUAGGCAUAGGUCAAGGAAAAUUACACCAAAAGUCCUUAAAUUCAUAUACGCAAUGCAAUUGAAGUUAAGAAACUUAGAUUUUUUAUUUUUCACAAAUAUAUGGUCUUACUAUUUUAUCACAUCUUAGAUCUUCGCAGAUAUCUUGGUUUUUUUGCAUUAUAGAUUAAUUAAUUAAGUUUCGAUGCCUUAACUUUAAUUGUUAUAAAAAUUUGAUAGUAAAAGUGAAAAGUCAACUUGUGCAAGAAGCCUCGUCCUCUGAGCAAAAUUUCUAGCUCCCUCAUUGCGUCAAGUCCAACAAUAUGUUGCAUAAGGUUGGACAGCAGUAAAUCGAAGAACUAUUCUUUAAAGGAAGAAGAAAUCGAAAAUUUUCAACAAAGAAAAUAAAGUCAAUGGAUAGGCAAAUAAUACCCGUGAUCUUUUAGAUUCCUUCCUCUAAUUCUGACAACCUCUCUUAAAGCCUUCUUCCACUUCUUUGCUAAUUCUUUCCCAUAUUCGCUCUUGUGCUUCCAAAGGGCUUUCCGAUAUAACUUAGUCUUAAGCUUGACAUCAUUCACGUCCACGUCGUAAAAUAUAGGGAGGAUAACUUUCUCAUCGUUACCUCUCGAUAGCUCCACUAUGUGUGCCAGCUCACGGAGGCACCACUUACUUGAAGCAUAGCCUUUGGAGAAUAUCGGGAUGUAAAUUCAGGAGUCAUUGAUAAGCUUGCAAGAGACCGCAUUCGAUCUCUUCGCCAAAUCGAAGCUCUUCGCUGUCUUUGAAAUCAUGGAUCCCUGCACCAAUCAGGCCAUUGUAGAGACAAUCAGCCAUGGUUAAACGGGUGUCGGGACCUCUGAAAUUCAGGAACACCUCAUAGCCACUCCCCGACCUGUCAUCAUGGCUACUGCUUGUUGAAGCUGCCGUCUCCGUCUCUUUUUCCUCCCUCUUUCUCUUCAUUCUGAAAGGACGAUGCAGAGAUGGAUCUCCGAAUUGAGUCUGCCCGGUGACUUGGGAGGUCUAAGUUUGAUCUUUGUAACAACUUGACGAAGCAACGGAGAGAGAUCUCUCACUUACGCUGCGUUCGCCUGGAAGUUACCUGCGGCCUUCCUUCGCAAGUGAAAAAACCAUUCAGAUCGACAAAAUAAUUGCUUCGAAGAGGAAACACGGAAGGAGAGAGAGAGACAGAGAGAGCUGUGCAUCAGUUUUCACCUUCAAGCAAUGAGUGGGGAGUGGAGGACCAUCGCUUCCAAUCUCGCCAAGCCCAGAUCCGGCCUCGUCGGCUUCGGGCGACCUCAGAUCUGGUGUUGCCCACGGCCACGAAUAGACGGAGCAAGGCUGCCUCGAGGAGAUAGAGUCGGGGACAGAGAUGGUGGCUUGGCCAAGACGGGACGCGAAACGAUCGGCGCAGGCGAUGGCGAGGGGUGACGGCACGGGAAGGGGAUACGACGUCAACGGCGAUGCAGCGGCGAGGUGGCGGAGGCUUGCGGUGACCGGUUGGUGGAGGGGAGAGACUGAGGGAAGAACAGGGGAUUUUUCAGAGUCCGGAUUUUUUAUUUUUUUUAUGGAAAUUCGUCAAGAAGUGAGGGUAGUUUGGUCAUUUAGGAGGGGGUAACCGCACCAUGGGGGAAAAGAGACUGCCGGAGUCGCGCGUUUGAAGUGCUUUGCGAUAAGAAAGGAUUAAAGCUAAAAGGAAACGGAGUGAGGGUCAGCUAAGGAUUGCACAUCUAAGGUGAAAUCGGUUGACUUUUUUGAUCGGUUUCCAUCUUUUACCUAUUUUCUUCUUUUUCUAAUUUUUAUGUUUUCUUAAUCACCCUGUCAAAGAUGGAGUCACGGUCAGCUAAGCCGCACUCAAACUAAAACGAGGUACUUUGCCCAAGCUUUAUGUGGACAUAUAUUGAUAAAUGUACUUUAAUUAUGUUUGUUUUCAUUUUUAUUUUUAUUAAUGUCAUUAAUUUGGGAUUGUUCAUGACACUCCGUUUGUUAUCCAUUAGGUAUAAAAUUACCAAGUAAAACCAUUUGUCAAAUCAAACAUGAAAAAUAUGUUCUAUAGUCAAGGGGUAAUUCUACAUCUUAAAUUUUCUUCCUAGAGUAGUUGAUACCAUAUUUAACAUAUUAAUAAUGUCAUCAUGUCCUGAACAUAUUAUCAUGUCAUAUUCAAAGUGGGUACCGAGUUUGAGAAUCUAACAUUAUGAGAUUGUAUAAAUGUAAAGCAGACAUAUGUGAAAUAUUUUAUCAAUAUUGAUGAUUAACUUCACAUAAAAAAUUGGUUUCUCAUACAUGCGCCUCAAGUCGGGAAACAAGAAGGGAGAAGGAAGAGGCAAAGGAAUCCAUUGGGAUUGUAUUUAAUUUUUUUUGGCGUGGAUUUGCAUUGAAUUAAAUUAUGCAAAUUAAUCAUUGCGUGAAUCACAGGAUCCGCAAUCUCAACCCUUUUCCUAGUGCCUCCCAAAAAUAAAAUAAAAAAAAUGGCGCGUUCAAUACUAUGAUCAGCCACAUCAUCUAAUGGCGAAGGCAGAGUAAGCCCACAUGCGCCAGAUGCAUAUUAGACCUUGCUCCUUCUACACGCGCAAGCUCCCCAGGAUGAUGCCUGGAAGAGAAAACGAAAGACCUACAUGGAGCAAUGAAGGGAAUGACCAUUCACCGGAGUUUAUAAUUCUACUUACAUCAAUUAUAUUUGUUCGUAAGCCUAUUUUAUUUCUAAAUGAAGAAAUAGUGACUCCUUAUAGCCAAUAGAAAUAAUAGGCCGGUUGUUAAGGCCAUUAGGGAGCAUACGUCGGGGACCACACGAAGGCAACGACUGAGAAAUUCACAAAAGAGAUUAUUUUAUUUGGCGCCUUAGCUCCACACAAAGACCAAUCGGAGUCGAUUGCAGUUCGGGCUCCCGCCAUUUGCGGAAAUGAUUGUCGGCUUUUAUCAUAAAUAAAAAAUACAUUCGAAAAGUUGCAAUUAUUUACUUAAGAGAUGAAAAAGAUCCACAGCCCUAACAUUAAUCAUGUGAUGCGAUUAUUUUCAUCCAUUACAUAAGUGGUAAAGUGAGUCUACACAAUCAUGCCAAUAUACACAAGUACGUUUUUCAACAAUAUGCAUGAAUUCACAGUUUGUUAUAGGUUUGUUAUGUUUAAAAAGAAAAAGAAAGGCUAUUAACUUGAUUCAGUUACAAUUAGCUACAUUUUAGGCAGCUAAACAUUCAAAAAGGCAAAAUGCCAAAUAAAGCACCUUUGACUUCAGCUUUUUGGCUCUUCAUUAUCAUAUCAUCUCGCAAAUUGCUUUGCGCUCUCUACCUCCAUUAUUGAACUCCGUCCAGUGAAAGCUGAGAAAAUUUACGAGUGCAUACACCAAAUGAUGUUUUCUUCAAGAAAAGCAAACGUCAUGUCAUUAUCAACAAAGCUUGACUUGAAUAACUACUACUGUCAAUCCAACAGCCCUUUUCAUCAUCAUAUGAUGUCUAAAAAAAAUUACAAAUACAUGGGGCAUUAAUUCAUGUAUUAGAAUAUGUUUGUUUUGCGAAAAAUAAAUUAUUGAAAAAAUAUUUUCCUAAACAUGAUUAUUUACAAAAAUGAACAAAUGAAAUACAUGAUGAAAAUAUUUGAACGUUAAUUAUUGUCAAUAGCAAAGAUAUUUUACACUGACUAAUUAUUUUAAGCAAGUCAAGCUAUUAUUUGCUUCAAGCAUUUUGUAAUAUUUCGUUUAUCCUCCAUAAAUUCAACAUCAUACAAAUAUAUUGUUUCUCUUUUUUUGCCUCUCCUCCUUUUACUCCCCAAUCUAAGGUAAUACACUAAGGCAAUAGUACAGUUUUUUUUUUUUGGUCGAAAAGGCAAGAGUACAAUUUGACAUCAAAUAGUUGACGUGUUAUAUAACAGUUUACAUAUCUUAAUUUAUUUGGGCCAAAAUUACUUUAUUUAGUCGGCCCCUAAGCUUUGUGGGAUAUUGGACCUCACUAAAUUUGUUAAUGGGUUUAAGGUUUCGACUUUAACUUACAUACUUUCUACGGUUGAUAGAAAUAGUGAUUAAGUGGCCAAGUGAUCCCUUCUAUUCAAUUUCUUCUAAUGCAUUGACUACCAAUGAAAUCUACACUAAUUGACCUUGGGGUGAGCAUCGGUCCAGGGUCAACCUUGGACCGACCUUGGACCGGCCCAACCCUACCGAUCCUGGUUCAGUUCCCAGGGAGACUAGGUCGGUCCUUGUGUGACAUCCCAAAUUUUCAACUCUGUUUUCUUCAGAAUGAAUCGGGCAUUUCAUUGAUGCGUCUAUAGGGCUGUUCUCAGAAUUGAUCAUUCUAGAGAUAACUAGACUAGCUAGGUAAGCCAUUAGGGAAAUUUAAGGCAAUAGACUUGAGAAUUCGACCAAGAAUCGGCUACUCAACUGUGUCCAUCUUUAGAGGCCAUGACGACACAGUUAAAAAAAAAUGAUUUGAAAUCAGAGAUAAACUGGAUCGAUAGAGAUGUGUGGCUAAUCGUGGGUGACACCACUAAAUUGGAAAAUUCUCGUCAACCAGUACUAGACUGAUUUUCUUAUUGUUUUGGUACCCUGUGUCCGUAUUUGGAUCAUCGAGAUUUUCACGACAACCGAGAAUCGCCAAUGAGUCAAGUGGGUUCAUAGUAGCUCGAAGAAAAUCGAUCACAGGUCAUUUGCACUUAAAAAUUUCUGAAAGUUACCCGAUAGUCUAGGUCACGCUAAAAACGCGCCAAGUUGAAAUUAACCGUGAAUUCAAGUUCGAUUUCAGAAAUUGAAGUUUCUGUCAUGUCACAAUAAAUUCUAGGAGUGUCGACUCAGUCUUAGAAGAUUUUUCUGACAACCGAGACUUUUUGGGAAAAAGUCGUCACCGGGUCAUUUUUGUGUAGAAAAAGGCCGGUUAUUGUUUUUGAUGGCAAAUUUGAGAAGCAUGAUAGAUGUACGAGCGAGGAAAAUUGUCGAGACGGUCAAUAGAUGACCGAUUGAUUUUAUGGAGGCCAAUUGAGAUGGAAUUGAAGUGGAAUAAGCAAUCGACUGAAGCCGUUUCACUUCAAAUUCGUAACAUCCCCACACCUUAACAAGAAUGAACCGUUUGAGAGGUUAUAAGGGACAUUUUUGGUGUCCUAAUGAAGACCAAGUAAAUAUACAUGGCCUAGAAUGAUUUUUGGAAGAUAUUUUGCAAAAUAUCAAGCCAAGUGGAGCCCUUCACCUCUCAUCUCUAUCCAUCUCUCUUCCUCUCACCCUCAACCGGACAUCUAUCUCUCUCCCUCCCCAUUUCGUGCGACGCCUGCAGCUGAAGAAGACCGAGUAGCCUACUGAAGCAAACCCUGGCCGCAACUCCAUCUUUUCUUCGAGCUUCGUUGCCUUCGUCCGCGUGGCCUUCGAUCGCAACAACAUCCGCGGCUUCGCUCCUUUGUCCCUCCAUGCGUCCUCUUCGGUCAACAACCACACUCACAGAAGCCACCUUUGACCGAAGCUCCACCGAGUGCAGCUGUCUUCAGCCACGCGUCUCCACCGAUCCACCAGCGUGCGUUUUCUCUGUAGCAAACCGAUCAACACUCUGUAGCACAAAGCAGCCGGUGUUGACCCCAAGCAUCCAUGCGGCCAAUGCAUGCCAGCUCACAUCCACCACCAGCCGGUGUCGUCGAAAGCUCAAUUUCGGCCGCCGUCACGGUGUCCCGGUCUCCGCUUUUAAUCAAGUGAGUUUUACUCACUAAUGCUUUCUUAGUUUGCUAAUUAUGCUUAAGGGUUGGUUAGAUUUAAUUUAGUACAAUUAGGUGGUUAAAUUAGUUUAGAACAAUUAAAUUAGUGACUUAAUAAUGCAUGUUAGGUGGGUAGACUUAAUCAUUAGCAAGUAGAGAGCUUCUAAUAUUUAUUGAAUGCAUCUCGGGAUUUUUCUCGACCCGUCUCGGGUUCCAAUCAGGCAUUACGGGCCUAAAUUGAAUUUUUAGUAUUUAUUUAUUAAUUUUCAAAAUUAGUUUAAUUAAUUAUUUAUUUUUCGGAAAUUAGGCUGACAUAGCCGACGAUCGAAAUUUUGUGCUGAUUCUCGUGGUGUAGCCCGUUUAUUUAUUUGAGCUCUACGUUGUGUGGAAUUGAAUUAAUUGUGAAAUUUGAGGAUUUGUCGUAAAUUGUUUGUUAUUGAAUAUUUGAUUGGUAGAUGGCCGAGUAUGGGUAUAUAGCGCCAAUUACGUUGAUGGGCUAUAUAGUAGAGAGAAUGGUGAGAGCUAACUGGGAAUAUUAUUGGCUGAGACCAAUCAGGUACGAUGUUAUUGGACAUACGUGAUUCGGUGAUUGGAAGUAUCACUGGCGAAAACGGCGCCUUAAAGAACGCACGUAAAUGACUUAUAGACAUAUGUGGUUCGGUGAUUAAGGAAUAUCACUGGUGAAAAUGACGCCUUAAAGAACACACAACGUUGUCUAUUACCGAUGUCACCUUGGCGAAAACGGCGCCCGAGAAAGGACACGUGGUUCGGUGAUUGAGGAUAUCACUGGUGAAAAUGGCGCAUUAAAGAACGCACGGUGUUGGUGAUCGGUAUGUCAUUGGCGAAAAUGACACCCGAGAAACACAUGUGAUUUGGUGAAUGAGUACACCAUUUGGGAAUCAUGGUAUGAGUGGGAAUGACCUAGAGAUGGUCCGAUUGACAUGUAAUCGACUAAGUCAAUUGAUCAACGCCUGAGCUAGUGUCGUGAAUUGAUUGAAUGUUUGAUGUAUUAUAUGAAGAAUCUAUGUAUAACCUUGAAUUGCAGGUUGGCGCUGAGGCCAAAGUAAGUCCUCUGACUCGUGCUGUGCUUAGGCAAUCGUAUGGCGUAUUGGUUUACUAAUCGAGUCUUAGGGGGUAGAACUCGCUGAGACGUAGUCUCAUUGGUUAUUGAAUAACCAUUUCAAGUCCAUAGAGGGAACGAAGGAGGAUUACUUGUUGGAUGACCUCGAUGACGAACCGGCAGAAGAUGAAGAGCUUGAAGAAAACGAGCUUAGUGAAGAAGAGUCUGAGGAGGAUCGGAAUGAUGAUCCCGAGUACGACCCGGAUGAGGAUUGAGAUCCCAUCCGGUUUUGUGAACCUUGUGUACUUGUGGAUAGGUGUUAGAUUAGACCUAUGUUAAUAGUAUUGUAAGAUACUAUGAGGUGUGUGUGUAUAAAAGUGUGGUUGUGGAUUUCAGUAUGAAAAAUAUGGCCUACUUUUCUAUCACAUUGUUUUUAUUGUAUGGGGAUUUAUAACUGCUUCCGCAUGUGCAAAAUGAAAAUGAAAGGGUCGACGAUACAUAGUCCUGAGAUAUCGCAUCCUAAAAUCGACCAAGAAGAAAGAUGGGUGCGUUCCAGAGGAUCGGGGUGUGACACCUUGGUCCUAGAAUUCUUUGACCAGCACUAUGUGGGUCGGUCCUCGGUCCUGAAAGUUUCGGGUCGGUCUAAUCCGGACUAACCCUGAAUAUAUAUAUAAUAUUAUUUAUAAUUUUUUUACAUAGAGAAAACCUUAAAAUAAACGGCAUCAACAACAUUAAACAACUCUUUAGUGGAGAGUCCAAGUAAUUUUACAUUGCCCUUUAAUAACUUAGAUUUUUAAUGUCUUUUACGGUGUCAAUAGUCAUAAUUUAUGAAGGAGGAAGAUGUUUUUGUGAGGAGUCCUCACGGCAUCCAAAAAGGUAUAAACAACUCCUUAUGGCAUCCUUUUCUAGUAUUCGUUAUUUUCUAUCUUAUUUGUCCUCUUAGUCUUUAAGGUAACGCAUAGGAACAUUUCUGUUCCUCCGGAUUUUCUAUUCUUUUGUUCCCCGGAACAAAAAAAGAACAGAAAUCCAUUUAGUAACGCCAAGUUGUUUUUCUGUUCCUCGGAAUAGAAAGUUAGCCUGAGAAUAGAUUUGGAGCAGAAACGAGAAACAAAAAAAAGUUUAUUAUUAUUCUCGAGAACAAUUUCUAGAAAUAAGCCAAUUUUCUUUUUUCUUUUUCUUCUGUUCCUCUCUCUUGCCGCGGCCCCCUUCAACCGCUCAGAGCUACUGUUGUCGGCCGUCGCUUACAUCGUCGUCGGCCGGCCACCGUCGCUGCACGACUAUCUGCCGCCGACCGUCACCGUCGACCGCCGUUGCAUAGCCCAUCAGCCGCCACUUCCCGCAUCGACUGUGGCGGCCGAUGGGCUAUGCGGCGGCGGUCGGCGGUGACAAUCGGCGGCCGGCGGUCAUGCAGUGGCGGCGGCGAGCAGCGAUGGGCGGUCAGCAAUCCGUGAGCAAGAAUAAAAAAACGAAUAAAUACAAAAAGAAAUUGUUUCGUACCAAACGCAUUUCUAUUAUUUUUCUAUUUUUGGAGUAGAAAUUUUGUGUAGUUACCAAACACUUUAUUUUACUCGAAAAUUGUUCUCCAGAAUAGAAAUAGAAAAUAACUAUUUCUAAAAAAAAAAAAAACUCUUCCCCAGCCAAAAAAUGUUGUCAUGCGUAGCCUAAUUUGCCAAAAUCGAGAGAAAUAACUUCUCGGCUCGCCACUCCACACUUGCCUCACUCAGUUUGGGUCACUCAUGCCUCUCGCCGCCCGAUGCUCGCUUGGCUUGUUGCUUCCCGCUCGACAUUCGAUGCUCAUUUUGUUCAAUGCUCAUCCCGCUUGACCCUCAUCGCUUACUUUUCUUAGCUAACCUCGCUCAUCAUUGAACCCGUUAGGUUGGUACGGUCCUCGAUUGCCAUUUCAAGGAGUACAAAAAGUGAAAUAAAAAAUUAUUGAUUAGUUGUGGGUUGACCUUGAAACCGUAUUGAACCCAUUGGGUCAAUCCGAUCCUCAAUCGUAUUUUUAAGGAAUACAAAAAAUGAAAUUAAAAAGUUAUCGGUUGGUCCUGAGUUGACCUUGCAAUCGAACCGAACCCAUUGGGUCAGUCCAGUCGUCGAUCCCAAGCUCAAUAGGGUCGGUCCUCAGUUCCAAAAAUUGAGGAUUAGUAUUGUGCGGGUUGGUCUUAGAGUUAGGGGGUGGACCGGCCCAACCCAGACCAUGCUCACCCUUAAAUUGACCAGUUAAAAGAAAUGGUCCCAUUUUUCCCAAUUAUAAAAGAUUAAUUAGAUGAAAUCAGUAAAAAAGAGGUCUCUCCAUUUCACGAUGCCUCAUUUUUAAGCCAGUCACCUAUGCUCUUGUGCCUUGAUAUAUUCAUGAUUUAUUUGAAUUACUUCAAUUAGACAACAAUUUCAUAAAGACUCUUUCAAGCCAAGAACAAGAAGAAAAAAGCAUAUUCACAUAAAGACUCACUAUGACAAUACUUAUGAAUUGUGCCUUGAAAUAUCAUAUCAACAGCAAACAAAAUAGCAUUAUAGUGCAGAUGAUUACAUUAUAAUUUUUCUGAUAUGAAGUUUUUUGAAAGUAGAUGGUGCACCAUGCUAUUGACCCACCGAAGAGAUUGUUCUACCCGGCUAGAAGUACUCAGGCUCAUGUCCCUUGCCAACGCCAGGAUCUCGAGUCCACGAUUUGUUACGCUGCCCCUCUUUGAAGGUGAGCUCGUAGAGGUUGCCUUGAAAGACAAAUUGAGACCUAAAUUUUGACCAUGCACAUGCACUGAAUGAUUGAUUUUUUUUUCUCGGAAAAUGAAUCCCGUUUUAAAAUGUAGUUUAUAUGAUGCAUGGAAAUGCUAAUGUAAAUGCAUAAUGUGAAAGGAAAGAAUGUACCUACAGUUACCUACCAAUCAGUGCUGUAAAGCAUAUUGAGGUACAUGAUAAAUCCCCAUUUACUCCACAAGUACUCAGUUUUCACUUAGGUUCCUUGAAGAGUCUAACAUGUAAUAAAUUGAGACAUCGAGACUGAGAAGAACAUUCACAUCCAAAGUGAAAUGUUCAACAAAAAGAAUUGAGACAUCUAGAUCCAAACUGAGAUGUCAAGAUUUUUUUAAAAACUCGAAAUACCUAGAUCCAAACUAAGGUAUAACGAGAAGGAUCGAAAAACAUUAACAUCCAAAGUGAAAUGUUCAAUGAAAAUAAUCAAGACAUCCGGGCCCAGACUGAGAUGUCAUGAUUUUUGAAGCUCGAAAUACCUAGAUCCAGACUGAGGUAUAAUGAGAAAGAUUGAAAAACAUUCACAUCUAUAGUGAAAUGUUUAAAUAAAAAUAAUCAAGACAUCCGGGUCCAGACUGAGAUGUCAUGAUUUUUGAAACUCGAAAUACUUAGAUCCAGACUAAGGUAUAACGAGAAAGAUCAAAGAACAUUCACAUCCAGAGUGAAAUGUUCAACGAAAAUUAUCAAGACAUAUGGGUCCAGACUGAGAUGUCAUGAUUUUUGAAACUCGAAAUACCUAGAUCCAGACUAAGGUAUAAUGAGAGAAACAUUCACAUUCGGAGUGAAAUGUUUAACGAAAAGAAUUAAGACAUCCAGAUCCAAACUAAGAUGUCAAGAUUUUUGAACUCGAAAUACCUAGAUCCAGACUAAGGUAUAACGAGAAAGAUUCAAAAACAUUCACAUCUAGAGUGAAAUGUUUAAGAAUUAAGACAUCCAGAUCCAGAUUGAGAUGUUAAAAUUUUGGGACUCUGGGCUACGAAAGCACGCUAGGUCGAUAAAAGAAAUCCGGGUUACAGAAGCACGCCGGUUCGAUAAAAGGAACUCUGGGCUACGAAAGCACGCCAGAUCAAUAUAAAUGGACACUGGGCUACGAAAGCAUGCCGGGUUGAUAAAGAGGGACUUGGAACUACAAAAGCACGCCAGGUCAAGAACUUCAGGCUACGGAAGCACAUCCGAUCUAUUAAAAGAAACACCGGGCUACGGAAGCACGCCGAGUCAAUGAAAAGGGACACCGGGCUACAAAAGCACGCCGGGUCAAUAUAAAUGAACACCGGGCUACGAAAGCACGUCAGGUUGAUAAAGAGGGAUUCUCGGCUACAAAAGCACACUAGAACUCUGAGCUAUGGCAGCACGCCGAGUCUAUUAAAAGGGACAUCAGGCUACAAAAGCACGCCAAGUCAAUAAAAAGGGACACUGGGCUACAAAAGCACGCCAGGUCAAGAACUCCGAGCUAUGGAAGCACGCCGGGUCUAUAAAAGGGCUUCGAGGAGCAACUUGAACGUCAAGUAUUACUCGGUCUUCAAGGAAAUAUUACCCGUUAGACAUGAUUAGAGCAAAAACGGAUAUGCAUUCAUUAAAGACGUAGACAAUUUGAGCUACUCUAGAAUGCACACUUCAAAAUUCAAUGAGAUUUUCAUCAAUUCAAUCAAGUUUUCAUCAUUUAAUAUGGUAGACUUUACCAUAUUUGCAUCACCAAAAUUUCCACAGGUUAGAAUUGUCGUUCAAGACAAUGGCAUGGAUCUCCUAAGAAUACUAAAUGAGAGACUUUCAGUUAGCAAGGACUUUCACUCACUCUCAUUCAGAAAGGCUAUUUUAGGAGAAUCACUCAAUCUCACUAUCAUCAUACCAACAAGGGUUCGAGAAUUCUCACAAGCAGUACGACCCUACCAAUCUGAGAGGUCUUUAAUAGGGACCGUAAUGCGGGCUUGGUCAAUGGCUUAACAAAGGGACUCUUCGAGUCAAGGCAAUUGAAAGAACAAUUUUGUAAUCAUCUCCAGGUUUACAAGUCAAGAACCCUCCAAAUGAGAAAGAAAUAAUCUUGCUCGCACUUCUUCGAGCGAUGCUUAUAAACAUAUGAACUCCCAUGUUAAUUCAAGUGCUCUAAUCUGAAGAGACUUUGUAAGGGACGUAAUGUAGGCUGGGUUCAUGGGUUGAGAAAUGAAAAGAUCAUUAGGCUCAAAAUGUGUGUAAAGGGUGAGAGUUGAUGAUCAUCUUGGCAUUGCCACCAGUUUUCUUUUUCACCCAGGAUUGUCAUGCACUAUUGACCUUGACUCAUUGGGUACUGAUCCAUUGGGAUACAAUUUUGCAAUUGACAGCCAUCUAUUUGACAUUUCUAUGGUCAUUAGCCUUGCUUUUACCGGGCGUACUGCUUUUUUUGCUCCAAGUUUUCAUUCAUUUUUUUUUCACUUCUUUUCUCAUGGACAUUGGCCUUACUUUUACCAAGCACACUGUUUUUUCAUACCCCUUAAUUCUAUUUUGAUUUCGAUGCAUGCGUCAAGCAAUUACACUUUGAAUGACACUCGAACUUUCAAGGGUCUUCAUCUGCCUUUUGCCUUGCCCUGGUGUGGGGGAUGAUCACCAACUGGAUUUAAAGAAAUGAAAUUGCAGGCUCAAGUGGGCUAUGCAAAGGAUAUAAGUAUAUAGGAUAGAGAAAGAAAUGCUCUUCGUCAUCCUAAGGCACUUAAAUUACCACAUGAAUUCAAUGUAAUAGCACGACUUGAAGAUAAAUAUAAGUGAGCAAGAAAAAUUAUUUUCAUUUUCCUCACCUUAUGAUGCCAUCUUACCUCCCAUUUGCCCUGAUGUGGAGUGGUUCUUGACAGGGGUAAUUUGAAAAGAUCUUCACAAGUGUAUAAGGCUAAAAAAGAGUUAAGCAAUGGAUCACCUGUAGUGUUUAGAAUGGAGAAAUGAAUUUCCCCUCAUCAUUUUGGUCAUCGUACCUUUCGCAAGAAAACUCUUUAUCUUGUAGAUAUGAAAUUUUCUACACUCAUCUCACAAAUGUAUAAGUAGGGGGAUUGUGUAUAAGAUAAGGCUUGCCUUUCAUCAUCCUGACACGUCUCAUUCAACAUGCUCAAUCUAUUGAAUUGUCCAUCUUGACAAAUCUCCACAUGAAAUUAGUGAGCUAAAUAGGCAAAAUUACUAUGGAAAUUCUCUUUUCAAAAGAGUCCAGCAACUUUAAGCAUGAAAAGCUUUUGUGACUUCAAACAGACAAUUUAUCACACUCAAAAAUGUUUUCGUAAGUAUGAAAAAUAUGAUUUCAAGCAUUCAUUCAAGGAAUUGUCCCACAAAGGGAUUGUCUCAACAAUUGGUGUCCUUGAAUUGCCCCUAUCGAAAGGGAACAAACACACAAAUGAUCAAUCAAGGCUAAAAAUUCGAUUUUUGAUUUGAUGAAUUCUUACUUUUGCCCUUACACAAAACAACGUGCAUGAAUAGGAUACUAUGCAACAUCAAAGUAAAUGCACAUGGAAUAUCCAUUUUGGUUUUGGUCUCUUAGCUUUCUUCUUCAAGUUGCAAUUUCUCACUUGUUUUGAUCCAUCAUUUUAGCUCUUGAUCGUGUACGGAUGGGUGAGCAAGAUCGCUUUACAAUCACCUAAUUCAAAUGAACGGGAACAUGUAAGCAUGAGGUGUAAAUAGAAAGUCAAUCCAUGACAAUGAUCUAAUCUAUUUUUAGUCACGAAAAAUCCACACAUGAAGAUAAUUUCCUAAAAAUGGACUAGGAAGAUAAAGACAUGGGACGCCCUAGCAUGGACUGGAAAAUCAGGAUAUCAAAUUCCUGAACAUGAACUAGGAAAAGCAAAAAUUUGAAACUCCCUAAUUAAAACAAUAAGGAUAUGAAUAGAGAAUAAAUUCUCUAAAGUUUUUUUUUUCAAAUGAUUCAUUGCAUGACAAUUUUCUCAUUUCAUUUCUGAUUGACAAAGGAAUUAGAUCAACCGACUAACCUAGAUUGUCAUGGAUGAACCAAGAGUAUGACAAAGUAAGUAAAUUGCAUAGUAUAGAGGUAGAAGACUUACUUCACCAAGAAAAAUUGACAGCAACCACAUAGAUAAGCACAUGAAAUGUGGGGUUCGAUUUCUACUCUAGACAGGCUUAGCAAAGUGAAGUUAGUAGGGUUGGAUGACUAGUUGUAGCCUCGCAUACUAAGUCAAGUCCUCCUAAUUUCGGCUUAGUAAAAAAUGACACCCCAAUGCGACGCAAUCUCGCGGGCAGAGGUAAACAUUAUUGACAUGAAGAAAAAACUUUCAGGAUUGAGUUGGGCAAUCUCUACUACACGGCCUCGCGGUCAAAGUCGUAUCCAACUCAAUACCAUCAUAAGUGUCCUAGUGCGGCCCAGGUCUGACGGCAGGUUGUGUGGGCAAAAGUGUAGUGUAAAAUGCAAAGCAUGCACAACAGUUUAUAUCAAGCAGCACUUCAUAUAUGAAAGUAAACCAUUCAUUCUACACCUCCCUGCAAAACAAAUGUUAGCAAACACUUCUCCUUAUACCUCUCAUCCUGCAAGAACAUUUAACACCUUAAAUGUUAGAGACGUACUUGGGAUCAUCGCUGCCAAACAAAAAUAUUUUUUCAAAAAGAAAAUUGGCCAAAGCCCACUAAGAGUUUUAACUCAAGUCCCUAGUGGAGUCGCCAAGCUGUCGCGACCUAAAUUUCGGGUGCACCACCUAAAUUUAGGUUAAUGGACUACUAAGUCUAACUUGGCUCGGGCUCUCCCAAGCCCAUACUAAUUCGCAACUUGGGUUCAAAUUUUUAGCAUGCAAAAGGGAGUCGCCACUAAUCAGUUUGCGGUAGGUCGAUUAGACACCUAAGUAAAAUAAUGGGAAAAUUAUUUUACUUCUACGAACUAGAGAUUGUGAGUUCGGGAACUUGAUUGCGCUAGAUUUCUCUAAUGCCCUUUUGGUACCUUUCUCUUUAUUUUGAAAAAAGUUUGGCAAGCAGCUUGAAUUGAUUUUACUUCCCUAACAAGUGAGGUGACCAUGCGGGUGCGCAAACUACCAAUUUAACAACCAGAUAAAGCAGUGAAUAAAUUGCAGGACUUACCUCAUAGCAACGAAAGCAUUUGUGAUGUUAGAUCAGAAUUCACAUCGACAAUCCUAGAUAUGAUUUCUAAUUAACACGCAAUUUCUUUUUUUCUUUUUUUUUUCACUUGUUUAAUGAGAAUCAUACUUUAUGCAAUGCAUUCUACUAAUCUAACAUGAAAUAAUAUGACAUGACAAUAUGACCUAAGCUAUAUGACAUAAUAAGAUGCAGUCUAUACUAAAAAAUGGAAUCAAUUUAUUCUAAGGCAUUUUUUUGGGUAUUUUCCCAUUCGAAAUUAUAAAAAUGCGAAAAUUAUCUAUCUAAAUUAAAAUAUCAUCUAAUUUGUAUUAGGAAUGAGGCUAAGCCAAAUCCUAAUUUAAACUAGCAUGUUAUACUAAGUUAGAAAUCCCUAACUAAAAUGUAAUCUAUCUAAAAUUAUCUAAACUUAUAAUAAAUUAAAAACUAUUAUCUAGAAUUAAACUAUAUGAAAUUUUACCCUAAAAUGCAAUGACAUGUAAAGAAUGCCCUAAUUCUAAUUUUUUUUUUUGUGUUUUUGUAUUAAUUUCGAAAUUAAAAAAUUGCCCCAUAAUUAAACAUGCAACUUAAAUCAAACAAAAACUAACGUCCUAAAUGAAUGCAUUUUUUGGAUUUUUUAUUUCGAAAAUUCAUGAUAAAUAAAAUGCUUAGUCUAAAUAUGCAAAUAACCCUAAAGCAUGCAACAUCUUAAUGUAAAUCUAAUCUAGCUCAAACAUAUUUAAAGAUAAAUAAAGCAAUCAAGACGAGACGACCAUUCAAAUCAUCAAAGAUAUCAUACAUCGUUCAGAUCAAGGGAUGGUAUCUCGCUAGUAAAAUCAAUAAAUUGAUCUUAAGCCUUAAAGAUCAAGAUAUCAAUUUUAUUCCCGUUUGAAUAAUUAUUCUAUCUAAAGCAUGGAAUAAAAAUUUGUGCGGUUGCGAAUUGGAUGCUACAUCAGGGAUUUCAAUUAGGCAUCAAGAAAUAUUUCAAAAAAUGAGACAAAAUACCAAAAACUAAAUAAGAUAAAAUGAAUCUACCUAAAAAUAAAGUAAAUCUCUACCUAAAUUGGAAUUUUUUAAAAAUCCGAUUGAUUCAAGUAAACCACGAUGGAGGCUCGGCGCGACCGCGCCAAGGACGGGGGCUGUGAUGUUGGGUCAACCACGGGCUCCAGUGAGGGUGAUGGCACAGUCGUUGGAGCUCCAACGAAGGGCGGCAGCCAACAGACCAGGGGAGUCCGGCGUCGGGGCAGUAGGGCAAUAACUGGACUAGCACUAAAACAAGGGAGACAGCAGGGGGCUUUGCUCAGGCUCGAGCAGAGGGAAAACCUAGCAGCAGGGAGGCUCGGCGAGGGGCCCUGGGUCGCAGGCAAAGGCGUCACAAGGGCUUCAUCGCAGCCGGGGAUCGGCGUUCGGUUCGAAAAUUGCUGUAACAAACAGAGUAGCGUCGGGUCGUUGGAGAAGAGGCGGAAUAGCUCAGGUUGCAGUGUCGGGUCGCUGGUCAGAGGUCACGGUGGUCGGAUCUAAGCGGGCUCAGACGGAGCAAUAGCUGCGUCACAAGGCGUGGUACGGGGCUUGCUCGACGGUGGAGCGACGACUGGCUCAGAGCUGCCAUCGUUGAGGCUUCUGGGAAUGCAAGCAGAAGCAACGUCGUGGACCGGUGCGGACUGGAGGCAACGCAGGACGUGGCUGUGGUCGACGGCUUCGCGGUUUUUGGGAAAGCGAGCAGCAGCGUCGUUGUGGACCGGGACGGGUUCACGGGUGAGGAGGAUCUCUGGCAACUGGAGGGGGCGCGGAGGUGGCUAGCGAAGCUGGUGCCGGCAUGGCGGCUUCGCAGUCUUCACGGACAGGAGCAGCGUCGGUCGCUGGUGGAGGCUGGCAAAGAUGGACGUAGAUCUGCUGCAGAGGCGGGUGUCGGCGAUAGGGCUGUGCGUCGUGGUGAGACCGGCGGAGCGGCGGUGCUAGACUUGUGAAUGGCAGAUGCGGGCAGGGGGAAGAAGAUGAAUAAUGAUUGCUUUUCCCCUCCUUUCCCUAUUGUUGGACGUCACACCCACGUCCCUCUCUGUAUACCUUCUUUUGCUGCCUUUUUCUCUCUUUGCAUAAGCAAAAGCUUCUUUUGGUCCAGCCUAGGGACCUUAAAGCAAGGCCGUCUUGACUGGGGUUUCCCGGACGUAAAACGGGAACGACCCCCGCAGGGCUCUCCCGCCACACCCCCCCUCGAAAGAGGUGGGGAAGGGACCCCCCCUCGGAUCCCCGCGAUGCCUUCCCCCAGGUUGCUGGGGCACGGUACAGGGAAAUGAAGAGGCCAGGCCUAACAGCCUGGUGUAAGCUUCUUUUGCUAUUGUCUUUUCUCCUCUUCCCCAAAAAGCUUUUCUUAAGGAACGAACGGAGAAAACUCAAAGCUUUUCUUCUCUUUUCGUGAUGAAUUUUUUUUUACCUAAAACUCGAGAGAAGACCCCUUUGGUAUGGCCGUAUGUAUCAAUAUGUGUGGCCCCCCGAAACCCUACGCAUUUUACCUUUUUAUAGGCCACUGAUUAGGUUUUUUUUUUUAAAAAAAAAAAUCCAAAUCAAUAUCCACAAAGAUUCUUUUUCGCAAUAUUCACUUUUCCGAACGCAAUAUUUGCUUUUCACAUCUGCCCUAUCCAAAAGAUUCAUCAUAUCCUGGAAAAAUUUCAAAUUCUUAUUUUUCACGAGAUAAUUAAAGAAAAUGGGCUUAGGCCAAUUUGCUCGCUUCGUGCGCUUAGUCCGGUCCGCCAAGUUAAAGCUCAAAUUCACUAAUUUGAACCCAUCCACCACCGGUCCAAUAAAUAAAUCCAAAAAAUGCAAAUGCAAAAUAAAUGCACCUAAACCUACAUGCUACGCAAUUAAUAUUUUUUCAGGGAUAAAAUUAACCCCUAAUUUUCUAUGCAAUAAAUAAAUGAUCGGGCCGCCAAAAUUUAGGUGUCAACAGUUACACUUUUUGGUUUCUCAAAUGAACAACAUUUGGGUAGAGGCAGAAGCUUAUUACAAUAAGAGAUGAAACAAUACAAAGAUGGGGUUCCACAGCUUUCGUCGAUUAUUACUAAGUGGUAAACAUUGUCUCCUCACUUUGAAUGUGAUGCUCAAAGCCAAAAAAACCCGUGGAAAUAGCAGCUGCUAUGAAAAGGCAAUCUUUUCAUCCUCAUUUCUUCGAUUUUCUAAUGCAAAAGGAUCGCCCCAGCAACUGCUCACCGUUUGAAUUUUCAGACUGUAAACUGAAAAACCAACCUGAGCUGGCCAUCUUAUUGAUUCACUGGCCAAGAUGAAUAUCCUAGACAUGAGGAUGAGAAUGUUGUUGGCAAGGAUUAAGCUGUUUGACAUUAUUGGACUCACAAAAAUUAAUAGUCGUAUAAACUACGAGGCUGGGUAGACUAUUCAGAGGAGGUAUGCCGAUCAAUGAUCUACUGACGUACAAAGAUGCAUUAUAAGUGUUAGGGAAAUCCCUUAUGAUGUUUUGAAGAUGACAAAAUAAAUCAAAGGCUACUAACAUGUUUGAUGGUUGAGUAAUAGACCAUGCAUAUAAUAGAACAUGUAGAGGAUAUUAUCAAAGUCUGAAGACUGCCAGACUCGAGACUCAAAGUCUGAAGACUGUCAGACUCAAGACUCAAAGUCUGAAGACAGACUCUAUGCUGAAGCUGAACUGGGUACAGACUCAGAUUGUAAAGUCUACAGACUCAGAUUGUAAAGUCUAAAGACCCAGGUUGUAAAGUCUCAAGACUCAUAUCGUAAAGUCUCAAGACUCAGACUUUACAUCCAGAUUCGAUGAAUCGUAACUCAAGCCCAAUCAUACAACGGCUAGUGAUCUGGUUUGGAUUCCACAUCAAGAUUGAUUUGAUUGAAGACAAGAUCUUUCUAUACGAAGAAGCUUUACUUAUGGAAACCAAGAUUUCGUUUGUAUGGGCGAUCGGAAUCAAUUUGGGAUUUUACCUUUGUCACUCAACGGCUACCAAAUCUUCUAAGAUACAGAGCUGUCCAAUGGGUAUAUUGGAAGACGAUUCUCCGGGAUGCUGUCCAACGGUAGUUUGGAAGUGGAGGAGUAUUUAAGGAGAUCAUGGACCGAUGAGCAAGUAAGAGACGGAGCGUAGAAUUUAUAAUUCCAAAGUCUAAGCGACUUUAGAUCAUAUACUUGUCUCUUGAGAGCUUAAACGUUUGUAAUCGUGAGAGAAAUACCAAGAGAGUGACUUAGUGAGAUAGUGUGAUCUACUACUAAGUGUUUGCACUCGGAGUUGUAAUCUCUUGUUGAUUGCAUAGUGGAAUCCAGCCAAGAAGGCUGUUAUCGUGGAAGAGUGGACGUAGGCUUGGAUUAAGCCGAACCACUAUAAAUCUCGUGUUCUUAUUCUCUUCCCUAACUCCUUUAUUUUGUUCAUACUAGCACUCUCAAUAAGUAACUGUCAAAUUCCCCAGUUGAAUUUUUUGAUUGGAGAUGCACAAUUUGUAGUUUUGGGUAGAGAUGAUAGAAUUUAAAGAAUGAAAAUAAUUUUUGUGGAGUCUUCUCUUCUCGGCAAAUGAGAUUGACGAGCUGGCCUUUGAAGCAGGGAACUUCAGAAGAGUCCAUUAUAACUGUCUUUCCCAUGCUUGAUAACUCUCUCCGCUUGCAUCUGUGCAUCUGGAAGCAGAGCUUGAAGAACCGUUGAUUAUGAUAUAGAUCGAUUAGUGUAGCAUCCAAGUCCAUGUCACUGGCCAAAGGAAGCUGCAUAAGGGCAUUAAAGCAGACAAUUAGCAAAACUUUAGCGACGCCCAUCGUUGCCAUUUUAAUUGCCUGAUUAUGCUGAACUGGUGUAAUAGGAUUAAAUGAAUUCGCACAACAUCUUCCUAAUUAGUCUCAAGAAAAUAAAAGGAGAGGGAUGACAAUGUCUUUGAAAGGUUUAUACAAGAUGAUACCCAAAGGUAACUCCUAGUCCUGUUUCAUGGAAUCAGCUGUAAAGGCCUUUUCAUUUUUUUUUUAGCAACAUCAGUAGGUGUUAAAUCUGUCAGUUUCAAGGUCCGAGGUUGAAAGUGAUUUACUAUUGCACAUCUAAACUUACCUAAGCCUCACCCAAGCAGGUUGUAGAUCCAACCCACAAUGCCUUUUACAACGUUUUCUUUUAAAAGUAUUGUGUCAGAUGCCUCGAGUUCUAAACAGGAUCUUCAGCUGCUCAAAUUGACUCUGUUUCUAGCUCUCCCUAUUUUUCUUUUUUUAACAAUUCUCUGUUCAUAUAUAAUCUUUCUUAUGCAUCUUCUCAAAAAGUAAUGUGGAUAUGAAGUUGUUUAACAAAGUAAUCUCAUAAAUUUCAAUCUGUACAACUUAUUUUCGAACCAUGUCAGAGAUGAAAUAAACUAAAAGCAAGUGUUGGCAGAUGGUGGAAGCUAAUUUUUUACCUUCCCUGAUAAAACUUCAAGGAUAUCCAGGCUCUCCUGUAUUGAAGAAAAAUCACAGAAGUGUUCAAGCCUGCCAGGUCUCAGAAGCGUGCCAUCAAGUAAGGCCCGGUCUACUACUUCACACCAAAUGCAACUCGAUUAGAACUGAAAGCACAUAACUGAACAACUACAAAAUAAAGAAACAGGAUCCCAAGAAGGGAAAGUGAAUUGGAGUUAUUAAGAGAUAGAUGAACUGAUGACUCCUAAGGAAAACAAAAGACCACCUCAUGCCACAAAGAUGUUAUGAUAGAUAUGCGAAAUCGCCCUAUGCUUGAUGUCACAAGACUAUCAAAAUCCAUUGAUGGUGUUGUAGAUGCACAAGUCUAGCUUAAUACACUUCUUGCACGCUACUUCAGCAACUGAAGAUUUAUGCAAUCCCAUCUUUUGUUACCUUCUUUGAUACAUAUGUAGUUUAUCCAAUACUGUGUAUCUGAAGUUAAACAGUUCUAAAUCAAGUAGAAGUCAAGUCUAGCAUUUUAUAGUCCACCUUAAAGGUUAAUAACAUAGUCUCCAUGCUAAAUGCUUGGUGGAAAUAUUUGUCAAAGCAUUCAUAAUGGCUGCGCAACUUCAAAUAGUAGUUUACAGGUAGUGUGCUAUUGGAAGAGUGUACUUUUGUUACCAUGUAAGAUGAAAUCAUUACCUUGGUUGCGCGAACGGCAAUGGACCAGUUAACUUCAACGCCAUCUAAUAUAGUAAAAAACCGCACCAAUGAAUAACAAACCAUUAGUAAGUCAUACCAUUGAAUAUAUUUCACUUGACCACCAUAUAAGUGCUGUGAAUGCAAGAAACCGACUUGAUUGAUGACAUGGUCAGUGAAACCCUUAUUAUCCCUCUUUGGAGCAUUGGAAUCAAUUUCAUUGAAAAAGAGAAGGCAAGGAACUGCAGCUACUGCCUUCGAGAAUAUAUCCAGAACCUGUAUUUUCUAAUUGCCAAUACUCUUGAAUAUUCAAAAUUUCUCCUUUUUGCUGACAAAAUCAAUGCCAUCAAUGUGCAAAAUAGAAAAUCCAGUAGACAUUUGAUCACCGAUUCCAAAUUUUUAGGAGAGUAAACCUCCAAAUACUUCACAUCUUUAAUAUUUCUCUUAAUCAAAUGGUCAUAGACGAUCCUCUCAUUCAUGCAUUAGAAACUCAUCAACCAUUUUAACUUGGCCUCUUAAUGGUUAUGGGAGGAUCCUUAUUGUUGUUGCUAGUUAUCCUAUUUCCACUGCUAGCAUAAUUGAAGAGACUCUAUUAAAUGCAUACAAAAGCAACAGAAGAAAGCACAAAAAUGUGAAAUGUCUAAAAAUAACAAAGUAUAAUACAAGAUUGCACAAUGGAAUUCAAUCAGCAUCAGUGCAGUUGAAAAGAAGCCUCUUACAGCCUGCUCAGCAGUACCAAUGUACUUACUCAACAGCUCAGCCUUUCACUGAUAUGGAUUGAAGAGAACAAGCUGCUGCUGCUGCAGCACCACCAAUAUGUGUGUCUUGCCAAAGCCCAGACGUCCAUUUAAAAGAACACUUGACCAUGGCCUUAGAGGAGCUUGCCCAAAAACAUUUUAUCAGCAAAUAUAAGAAUGAUAGACACGAAGAUGAAGUAGGUUUAUUUAACAAGUUAACAAUGGCCACAUUUUAGCUGAGUAAGAUAGAGAGAGAGCAAGAUGAGGAAAGGUGUAAUGAGUCACUAGAGAGAAUAAAACAAAGCUACAGCUAAGACACAACCAAUGCAGUUAUACAAACUUUCUUGAACAAAAUCCAUGCAUAAUUUAGCUCACUCACAAGAAUGCAUCAGGGAAACAAUGGUCGGUAGUUAAGCCCCACAAUCUCAGGUAAUCUCAUCAUCUCAGUGAAGAUUCUAUAGAGCCAGACCAUGUGGCAUUCCAAAAUUUCAUGGCAAUUUCUAGAGGCAUUACGACCUAUGGAAAAGUGAACGGUUGUGUCGUUGAAGUAUGUUGUGACCUCUAGACCGAAGAAUUGUAAUAGAUUAAGGCCGAACACUUUAAUGGAAAGGUAUCUUAUGUUCUUGGUUUAUCAAAGUUGGUGCUAUAGGAUAAUUUGAUAAUGAGAAUUUUGUUCUUGGCUAUGCACCUUAUGGAUUUGAUUUUUUAUGGAUUUAUGUUGCAAGCUUUAUGGCCAAGUGAAUAAGUGUAAUUAGGUAAUUAUAUGAUGGGUAAUUAGGUGAUGAUUAAAGGGAAAAAUUAGAGAAGAGUGGGUUGAAUUUUUAGGCCCAAGACCAGCCCCACCAUUCGGCACUUUUGGCGUGGCCUGAAAAGCUCAAAGGAAAGGAGCUGCUGUCGACCAAGGGGAGGAGGCCUGGCCCAUGAAGCCCAUAGGGCUGUCGAUGGAAGGAGGGGUGGCCCAUGAGAGGCCCAUCCUCUUGCAUGGAAAUUACCAAGUGGCAAGGGGGAUUAUCCAAGUGUCCCCUUGCAUGUUUUGUGAUGAUUGCAUGCUAAUCAUGAGAGGGAAGAAAAGAAGAAGGGGCGGAUUGAGCAAGGGGGGGCAUCACACGAGAGAAAGGGGAAAGAGAGAGAGAGAGAGAGUGAAACCGGGAGAGGGAAAGCAAGCGAGCGAGAGAAGAAGGGGAAGAGGGAGGCCGUUUGCUGCCAUUCGUCGCCGCCGUUGAGCCGCCGAGUCCCGCCUUGCCCCGCUGUCUUUGCUUGAUGUGUUGUGCUCGGAUUAGAGGCAAGUAGAGUCCAUCAAUCUACCCUUUGCUUGCUGUGAUGUGUGUGUAGAAAAUGGUAAAUUUCGGAUGUGGAUGAAGUGUGAAAUCUCGAAGCUACAAGAGUUGUGAUCUACCCUAGUGUUCUGUUUCUGGAAAAACAGUCCGACCUUUGAUGAUUUCGUGAGUUGCAUGCGAUGUUCUAGUGGGGAUUUGGCUUCGACUUCUUGAUGAAAGUUUUAAAGAACUUCUUGAGGUAUAACAUGUAAAAAUUUCAGAAUAAAUGAACAAGUAUAGACCGGUGAAACUAUUUUUCUUUGAAGAAGUUAGAUCUGGAAAUCGUAAUGCUGACCUAGUGUGAUUCUGUUAACUUUAUAAAAUUUUCCGGUUGAAAUAUGAUUUCUAGUUCUGCAUGAAAUAUUUACUUCUGGACCUUUUCUAUAACAUAUAAAAAUUUCAGAAUUUUUGGAGCUGAUUUAGGCUUUUUACUGAAUUUGUGAAUGAAACUGUGUAUGGCAAUAUUCCGAAAUUAUAAAGACUGUGAUGUGUGGACUGUACCGAAUUGUGUGAUGUUCUUUUGAUAUGGUGUUAUUCACGAAAUAUCUUCCUAUAGAUCUUUUAUAUAACAUGUAAAAUUUUUGGAAAUUAUUAAGGCUAUUUGCUAAUUUUUCAAGAAUUAUGACCAAGGGAGUGCAAUCUGUUUUUAUCCGAAAUUUUGCUGUAUUUUCAAAAAUAAAUGAAAUUGCUCCAUGUGCUAUAAUGUCUUGAGUGGUUGAUUAUGCUGCAUAUGUGGUGACAUAUGGCAUGUUAUAUGACAUCAAAAGUUGGUUGAGAUCUUUGAUAUUGUUGCAUCAAAUGCCAUGUUGAAAUUGAGAUACAUGUGUGAAUAUAAAUUAUGAUAAUGAUGAUACCGUCGGAGGUGUGAGCCGACGAUGCCCCGGGAGUGUUGGGAUGCCCGGAGUGUGGGUGCCGGAUGCCCGGAGUGUGUGUGCCGGAUGCCCCGGGAGUGUUGGAAUGCCCGGAGGUGUGUGCCGGAAGCCCUGGAGGUGUGUGCCGGGGGCAUACCUCGUGAUGCCAGUUGGGGUACGGGAUGUCCGGAGUGUGUGUGCCGGAUGCUCGGAAGUGUGUGCUGGAGGCCCUCGCGAUGCCAAGUUGGGUGCGAGCGAUAAAUUGUGGGAUGCAAACACUAGUCCUUGGGAAGAAAAAUGAUGUGAUCUAAUUUAAAGAUAAAGAUCGAGAAUUGAAUCAUGUGCAUAGAUGUGUGCAUAUGGCAUGGGAUGAACCUCAUGGGAAGGCAAGCAUGAAGUGCAUGGUGGUAUGUGCACGUUGCAUGGUGAUAUAUGCAUGGCUGCUUGAUGAUACAUGUAUAAGUGCAUGGUGGUAUAUGCAUGUAGCAUGGUGAUAUAUACACGUAGCAUGGUGAUAUAUGCAUGGCUGCUUGAUGAUAUAAGUACAAGUGCAUGGUGAUAUAUGCAUGGUUGUAACGUGAGGUAUGCUUGAAUGCAUGAUGAUAUGUGUUUUAUUAAUGAUACAUUGAUUGUUCUGUUUGAGGCAUAGUGUAGUUUGUUGGAUCUUUACUGCUGAGUGGUUAUACUCACCCCUUUUGGGGAUUAACAUAUCAGAUUAGAAAGAUGCCCCUUUCACCAGUCGCGCAUGGUACCUUCUAUGGCAUACCUACUGAUGUUGAGGUGGAGUGCAUGGAGCAUUCCUGUGUUAAUGUACCUGGUCUGGUGUAUGUCCGAGUCCAUGUCGUGGUGAUGUACGACGUGGGCUUUGCUGAUGGCCCUGUUAUUAAAGAGUUUUUGUCUGUUCAUGUCCAGCGUGAUGGAGUGAUGCUAGGGAUGCUGCCGCCGCCGCCGCCGCCGCCGCCGCCUGAUGCAUCGGGUUGGGUGUGAUGGCGCGUAUGACUAGUGGGAGCUAACACUUUUUGGGGAUAGCCAACGCUUGUUGAUGGAGGGGUGUACAUGUUUGAUGUAGGGUCGAGUUCUCUUUUGAGUUAUAACCAAGUAUAGUUAAAAAUCUUGGCCUUUUGCUGUACCAACCCGAGAUGUCCAUCAUGAAAAUGUAAAUAAAAAGCGACUCUGCUUUAUCGUUUUAUAUGGUGAAUAGUUGGUGUGCAAUUGCAUUAUUGUUAUUGGAGUAAGGGAUGGUGAGACUCGUUUAUGCUUCCGUUGAUGAGCUGCGCUGGACAGAUGGAGGUAGGACAUAGUACUACUUGCACGCUCUGUCUGUGUUUUGGCAAAGAGGCUGAGAUGCCUGGCUACCUCGUAGUUGAUUUUUUUGAAGGACUAAUGGUGUGAAAUAAAUCUAGCAGAUUCUUGUGCACUACAGAGAUAUGCAAAAUAACAGCACGCAAGUAGGAAACUCUAUUGAUGGCAGAAAGUACUGGAAUGUACAAUUUACCAUUUGCAUGGAGAAUGGUGACCAGAUGAGAACAAGAUUGUCAAACACACAAGUUAGCUGGUGUGAAAGAGAUGGGGAACGACUAUCCAAAGCAGGCAAGGGCUAUUAGCUGCUUACAAAAUGAAAACCACAUGGGACCAUUCGGCACCGUAGGUUUUCCACAAGUGAUUGCCUUGGGAGUGUUUAAAAGUAGCCGAUAUACAAAAAGAAAAAAGAAGGAUGCAUACAAAUCGAUACUAGCUAUAGCAAAGUCAAUGAGAAUCCUCAGGUCACCUGCUUAUUACGUUGCGAUUGGACUAAAUCUCCUCGGGACAUGGAUCUAUCAAAGAGCCGAAGAUAAGAUGGUGACCACGGAAUUGAGUCAUAUCCAAUUCAAACUCGACAUUUUUGUUAGUUGAGAGAUAGAAGAAAGAGAGCCUUUCAAUCUUGCAUUGAGGGAAGAUGGCUUUAGACUUCACAUUAUGAUUUACUCUUUGUACGAUUAAUUUCUUACCUCGACUUUGUCAAAUUCACUCUGGUUUAAAUAGCUCUGUUAAAAGGUUUGCUCCCACUUGGUGUGUUAGCAAUUAAACUAUCGCUUUCCAAAGAAUAUUACAACGGCAAGGAAGCAUUAUCCUAUUCGAAUGAUGGGACACAUGAAAGUUGAUACUACCAGCUCUGAGCUCCCUUAAGUGUUCAGUGAAAAAUUGAAAACAACCAAUAUGAAACAGUUUUAAAAAAGAGAAAACAAAAGAAGUCGUGAAUUAGACACAUUUCAACUUUCUUUUGUCACUUUUUUGAAACAAAAGUACUCAUGAACUCCACAAGAAUGCAUCAGGGAAAUAAUGGAGGGCAGUUAAACCCCACAAUCUCAAGUAUCCCAUCAUCUCACUGAAAUUCUAUAGAGUCUGACCACAAGCUCCCUUCACUACAUUGUCAAUCUGCAAAAAGGUUUAGACAGCUCACCACCAUAAGAUGACUCUAAUGUUACACAAAAAGUAAAGCACUCAGUGGAAAACAAACACUUGGGAACCUACGCCAGAGAUUAGUAGUGCUCAUCUAGGUACUCAACUAGGAAAGACACUCAUAAAACAAUAAUAGGAUCCUCACACGUAUUGAGUAUGAGGAACUACUCCUUUUUCCAACAAAAUAAUGAAUUCCUCAUCCACCAAGACAAAAUGAAUUAAGCAAUCAAACAACGUGAAGUACGUGGGAAGCACACUCGAGAAUACGAGAGGAAGUCGCGGAUCUUUCAAGUUUUAGUCCCCAACAUGUCCACUUCUAGAAUGACUUACCAAGAUCUAUGAAAUAAAUUAUUUACUUUGAUUAAGCUAAUUAUGAGUACUGAAAAAUACUUCAGCAAACAAAAGCUGAAGUUAAUUCUCAAUACAUUAAGCCAUUGAAUGCCUAAGCAGAAUAGGACUAUUAGCCAUACAAAGUUUGGCUAGCAAACAACUUUAAGUUGCUCAUAUAGAUCCCCACCGUUACACUGGAAGACAUUUCAGCACGAAUAGUUGACUGCAUUCCAGGACUCUGCAUAAAUAGAUGAAAAAAGUUAAUAAUUAUAGCUAGAGAAGCAGAACUUCUACUUUAAGAAUGGGAAUGCUUGAAAAUUGCAACUAUAACCAUUGGCAUCAGAUGUGGAGCAAAGCUGACAGUGAUCUUUGAUUGUACAGCAUCAAAUAGUCCAAUUCAAUCUAUGGAACUACAGGAAACAAAAAUUAUACAAAAGGUAGCAACCGAGAUUAUUGCAUUUGCCUUAUUUAAUUCGUCAAUGAGUCAGAGUUAUCAAAUUCCUAGACCUAGCUCAAAACAGCAAAGGAUUCAGAAGUCAUCGGCAAAACAAAUAAGAAUUCAAGAACGUAAAUGCCUUAUUGGGCAAAUUGCAACAUCUUCCCCAAUUGUCUUUGGUAAUUUAAGAUGAGAGGGAAUGAAGUAAUAGCAAACAAACAGACAGAGAAUAUAAGUUCAGAAGUAAAUAGAAAAGCACCUUCAAUUCUCCAUGAAGGAAGUAACUAAAUUGCUCAUGUUGCAUAAGAGGUAUCAACAAUUCACUCUAUCGCUAACUAGGCAUUAAUUCCUUUAUUUCAUUCGUCACAAAUCAUGAUUGUACUGCGGUGAAAUUGAAAAGACAUUCCAUAAGGUAUGACUAGUACUCUCAACCACCUCUGCCUUUCAAUAAAACCUAGCGUUUGUUAGCAUCUUCAGUGUGCUCACUCUAUAAGCAAGUUAUGUGCUGCAAAGCAUAUGUUGAUGCGCAACANNNNNNNNNNNNNNNNNNNNNNNNNNNNNNNNNNNNNNNNNNNNNNNNNNNNNNNNNNNNNNNNNNNNNNNNNNNNNNNNNNNNNNNNNNNNNNNNNNNNNNNNNNNNNNNNNNNNNNNNNNNNNNNNNNNNNNNNNNNNNNNNNNNNNNNNNNNNNNNNNNNNNNNNNNNNNNNNNNNNNNNNNNNNNNNNNNUGAUUCACAUCGAUAGACCCCAAGUUUCAGAUUCUGCAGAUUAGAAAGAUCAGAUUGUUAAGCUUUUGAUGGAAUUGCAUCCCCAGAUGGUCAAAUCCUGCAAUGAUUUCAAUUCUCCCAAACCCGAAAUCUCAGUUAGCUGAGGCAAAUCCCGUAGGAACAAAUGCUGGAUCUCCUUCAGACCAGGUAGAACGGGCAGCGUCUUGAGCAAUGGACAAUUGCACAUCCACAAGUCAUUAAAUUUCCGUAGCUCUCCAAGCACCUCAAAUCGAAUCUCUCCUAACGAAUAUCCAUCAAUAUGCAGCUUCGACAAAUUCUCCAAGUUGGAAAAGACUGACCAAUCUAUCGGUGACUGGACAUCCCUUAACCUCAAAUCUCGAAGGCUGGAUGGGAGCUCGAUAAGAGAUUGGGGCUCAACACAACUUAUGUGGAGGUAUUGUAGCUGAGAGAGGGAAUUGAAAUUGGUUGGAGGCAAGGCCAUUCUUCCAACAAGCAGGGUCAUUUCCCUUAAAGCAGGCAGUCUCACAAUCCCCUCCGUGUUGGGUUCUUGCAUUGAAGAUCCGAUUAUCACAAGGUCAACUAAAUUGGUUAGGUUUGAGCAGUUGGGGAUUGUGGUUAGCGAAUCCGAUGUAAGGACCAAAGACGUUAGACUAUUGGGAAGCCCCGGCAGCUGUUGGAUUGAAUUACAAUCCCAUAAAUUAAGUUGUUGGAGAUUUGUAAGCUGAUUGAUGGUUGUCGGGAAUCCACUAAAGCAGCCAUCGCUUAAGUCUAGAAUUUUCAACAAGGAUAGUGCCCCGAUUUCACUUGGAAUUUCCCCCACCAAAUUAUCAGAGCGAGCAUGUAACUCUUCUAGAUUUCCAACAUUCCUAUGGUUUUCGGAAAUCCACUUAUAUGGCUAUCAUUGAGAUUUAGUACCUUCAACUUUUUGAGAUUUCCAAUACAAUCAGGUAAGCUCCUGAUUCUUGAAUAGCGCAAAUCCAACUCGACCAAUGAUUGGAGCCUCCUAAUCAAGUCUGGUAGCUUUUCUAGAUGGCAUUGUGGGAUACGCAAAAAUUUCAACCUUUGAAAAUUUCCAAUCGAAUGAGGUAAUUCACUAAUCUUUGAAUAUUGGACAUCUAGCUCAAGUAGUGACUCCAGUUUUCCAAUAGAGCCAGGAAGCUUUCGAAGUUUCGGGCAUUCCAAGAUUAGAUGCUUCAGGUUCACUAAAUCACCAAUUGAGUAAGGCAAAAUUGAGAUUCUUUCAGAUUUAAUUCUUAGCUCUGUCAUAGAUUUUAGAUUGCUGAUGGACUUUGGUAGUGACUCAAUAUCUUCACACAUUAUUUCUAGGUAAUCAAGACGUUCUAAAUUGCCGAUGGACUUGUCAAUCUUUCUUAGUUGAGAGCACCUAAGAAUCAAUCUCUCCAAUUGCGAGAUUGCAUAGAACUUGGGAGUCUUUCUAAGGAAUGGACAAUUCUCGAGUUGCUUGACUUUCAAUUGUUUUGCUACUUAUAAAAAAAUUGAGCAAAGUCUCUCAAAAGAGCAAGAGUAAAUGUAAUGCAAAAGUAUGUCAUGAGAUCAUACCAUGAUUUGACACCAUCCUUCCCAAUCUUUACAAUGCUAUUCCCAGGAAGAAUGACAACCGCUAAGUUCUUCAACUCAAAUUCGGUUGCUUGGAAUUCGGAAGGGCAAUUGCUCCAAGAGAGAAAUCUUAACUCUGAUAUAAGAUCUUUAAAGUCUCCUUUGAAAUAUCCAUGGCCGAAUUGAAGGAACAUCAAGUUGACCAACCUCGCAAAUUCCUUACGUCUAAANNNNNNNNNNNNNNNNNNNNNNNNNNNNNNNNNNNNNNNNNNNNNNNNNNNNNNNNNNNNNNNNNNNNNNNNNNNNNNNNNNNNNNNNNNNNNNNNNNNNUGCGAUUCAUCUCCGGCAUAUCGUAGAAUGAAAGUUGUCCGCUAUUAGAGGCCAGGGCAUUGUCAUCCUCACCUUCCUUUACUAGGAAUUCAAUGUUCCUUGUUGUUAUGAUGAUUCUACUACCCCCACCAAACCAGUUGGGCUCGCCUGCAAGUCUCAUGAUUUGGUCUUGUUUGUCGAUGUCAUCAAGAACAAUUAAAACUUUUUUGUCAUGAAAUCUCAUCUUGAUCAUGUCAACCCCUUCAUCAAUGAAGGAGAGAUUUGUGAAACUCAAAUGGAGAAUGUCGAACAACAAUUUCUUUUGUAAGUUUAUUAUAUCAUGAAUCCGGACAUCUUUAAGAAAGCAACAAUUACUCUGAAAUUGAGGGGAUAUUUGUCUGAAGACAGCCUCGGCCAAUGUCGUUUUUCCAAUGCCACCCAUACCAUGAAUCACGAUAAACCGUACAUCAAAAGCUUCUAGAUUUAACCGCUUCAUAAUCUCAUCCGUCUGAUCAUUAAUUCCCACCAAAUGAUCAGGCACAUCUGUCCUUCUUGUCCAUAACAAACUAGAAACCUCUUUGACUGUGAGAUUCUUAAGUUCUUCUAGGCUGCCACAUGCAUAACAUGUUAGUGGAAGGUUAUCAUCAAGUUCAAAAUAAUUUGCUUUAAAAGAUACCAACACAGAAAAAGCGAUCUUUAAAGCUUUGAGCCAUUUGAAAAUAAAAGAACCAAAAAAAAAAACAGAUUUUCUCAGAGAGGAGGAGGAGGGACCUUAUUCACGAUUGAAAGCUAAUGCUAUCAAGGCUCUUUGGUCUAAGCAGUGGGAAAAGGUUAUUUCGUGAUAAAUGGUGUAAUUGGGCUUCAACUAGAAGUCACUCCAGCAAAUUGUGACUACCUAGUGCUGUGGGCCAUUAUGUUGAAAUAGGAUGUGGGCCUUUGUUCCGUUCAAUGUGAAAAUUACAAAAUUAGUCAUAAAUUUAUUGUACGAAUGUCAAUUCAAUCAUAAACUUUUUAAUUUUAAUAAUGUUGUUCUAAACCCUUAUACAAAAUUUCAAUGUAACCCCUCCAGCCAAUAUCCACCAAAAAUUGCUAAAGUGGCAAUCUAUGCAGGCUGUCAUUUUAAGUAAAAUUGUCAAUGUCAGCUAGCCACGUAGGACUAUGGGGAUGAAUGGAUGCCAUGUUAGUGAUUUCUUGCCGCAAUUGGGCGGAAAGAUUAUUUUAGAAUUUCACGCAAAUGCUUAUGACCACAUUGACAAAAUUAAAAUGUCUAGUACUCAAAUGUCAUGCACAAUAAAUUUAGAACUAAUUUGAUAAUUAUGCCUCCACUUCAUUUUAUACUUUUUCACACCGGUUGGUUUCUUCUUAUCACACACAGCUAAUAGCGACACCUCUAGAAGUUUGGUUAAAUAUCAAGUCCUGGGUAAACUCGAUCUUGAUAAUCUCUCCAAGCAAUAGGGAUGAGUUUGAAGGUUAACGGAAAAGAGAAAAUCUCACUCACAGUUGCCUUGAAUAUGGGAAACAAGAAUACUAUCUUAAAAGCAUUUUUCUUAACAUACCCAUGGAGUAGAAUACUAAUCGAAAAUGAGGAAGAUUUUCUGGAAUAUAUAUCAACCUUGAUUCGAGUUACCAACAGACAUCUCUCCAAAUAGGUUAGAAAUAAUUUUAGGUUACCCAUUCUUUUUAUAAUAAUGGUAAUGGCAAACUAGUUGGUACUUUAAUCGGAAUAAAUUGGUGAGUAACUCAACUUAGGAUUGGUAAUUUAACAACAGAUUUCGUUGCCUAACAAUGUUCAUAACCAGUGCAAAUAAAAGUUGGUGCAUUAUUAACGAAAGUUGUUAUGAAGGUAGAUAGUUUUGAAACAAAUAAUAAAUACUGAUAAGUAGCUCAAAUAAGAAUGGGUAGCUUAAACUGGUUACUAACCUAAUUAGAGAUUAGUUAAUAUGACAAUCAUAUUAGAGUUAGUAAUUCGGUAAAAGAUUUGGUAAUUUUGAAAUGUGGAGUAAACAAUAUGGUAAGUUGUACAGAAGUUGUAAAUCGGCAAACAAUCUAAUAAACUUAGUAAAUGAUUCACAUAAAAGCCGGUAAGCCAAAACUAGUUUGUAAAACAAUGGAGAAAGAAGUUGGUAAGACACAAAUCAAAGUUGAUAAUUUCAUAUAAGAACUGAUAACUUUAAAAUUAGGGAUGUGCAUGGAGCAUGGGAAAUCCGCGCCCCGCGGUGGUCUACCUUGGAUAAGGCAAUUUUUUUUUUUAGGAAAAUUUUUUCUCCAAACAUUGCCUCCCGGGAUAUUUUGCAAGACACAACUUGCGCAUGGGCAGUAAUAGGCUAGCCCUUCCCAUUCUCGAGGAUUGAAACUAUUAAUGCGUUUAACGAAAGAUAGAAACAGCAAGGUUUAAUGAAGGAUGUAAGUAAGCAGAGAGUAACGACUAGGGUUUACAGAAAACCAUCACAAACUACGAUAGAGGGUAGCUACAUAAGGUCCCUUAUAAUUGUUAAAGUACUUAUCCAUUUUCUACAGGUUUCUAUCCAACCAUAGCUACAACUACUUGGAAGUCCCUUAGAUGAAUUUUUGGUUAAUUAAGAUCUGAGGCCAUGAAUAGGUCCAUGUUUAAAGCAAGAGCAAAAAUCAAUUUUUAUGUUAUAAUAUUCUACUAUAAAUCGCUAUAGAAGAAUAUUCAGUUUAAGGUUGCAGAUCUUGUCUAUGCACAAUUGGCCACUAGAGGAGCCUCUGACCCCUGCCCCACCGCAAUGAAAACAAAAGCCCAAGAUUGAUAAUACACCCGAAGCUAAGUCAGUCCUUUACAAACUAAUCAAGAAAUAAACCUCUAACAGUUUCAGAGAUCCUUUUUUUUUUCUUUUGGAUAAUGGCACACAAAGAUCUUUGUAAUGUUCGGUCUUGUAUACUCAGACCAACAAGAAAAACCAUGACCUAUAGUUUCCCCUUAUGGGGUUGUAAAACUAUCAUCAUAAAGAAGCCCCAUUAUUUUUGUGUAACUCGGGGAUGCGACUGUAAUUAGCCAGUUAACUCAAGGGAAACAGUCGCAAUGCAUAUGAAUUCCCUAUGGCCGAAACUGAAUCCACAAGGAUCGGUUUCUUCCUCUUAGCCAUAAGUUUUUGGAUAUCGCAUAGACUAAGUCUAUGCUAUAAUUUCUGUGUCUCCAGCAUAUUUUUAUGUCUCCCUAAAGUACAUCAAACACUAACAAGUAUGAAAUAACUAUAAUCAUUAAUAGCUUGGAACACGUAAAGAAGCUCCUUGCUGAGCUCUCUUAUUUUGGGCCAAUUCUUCCUCAGCUUUUAUUAGUAUAACAAAAAGAAGAAAGAUUUAACAUCAAACUCAAUCUAAUUUUUCAAGAAAACAUUAUAGGCAUUGGGUCGGGGAAAAUUGCACCAAAAGUCCUCAAAUUUAUGUACGGAAUGCAAUUGAAGUUAAGAAACUAAAAUUUUAACAUUUUAGGCAUUGGGUUGGGGAAAAUUGCACCAAAAGUCCUCAACUUUAUGUACGGAAUGCAGUUGAAGUUAAGAAACUAAAAAAUUUCAUAUUUCACACAUAUAUGAUCUUACUAUUUUAUCACAUCUUAGAUCUUCAUGGAUAUCUUGGUUUUCUGGCAUUAUAGAUUAAUCAAUUAAGUUAAUAUACCUUAACUUUAAUUGUUACAAAAAAUUGGUAUUAAAAGUGAAGAGUCAAUUUGUGCAAGAAACCUCGUCCUCUAAGCAAAACUUCUAGCUCCUCGUUGCGUCAAAUCCAACAGCAGCAAACCGAAUAAGUAUUCUUUAAAGGAACGAGAAAUCAAAAAUCUCUACAAAGAAAAUAAAGACAAUACAGAAGCAAAAAAUACCCGUGAUCUUUUAGAUUCCUUCCUCUAAUUCUGGCAACUUCUCUUAAAGCCUUCUUCCACUUCUUUGCUAAAUCCUUCCCAUAGUCGCUCUUGUGCUUUCGAAGGACUUUCCUAUAUAACUUAGUCUUAAGCUUGACAUCAUCCGCGUCGACGUCGUAAAAUAUAGGGAGGACCACUUUCUCAUUGUUAUCUCUUGAUAGCUCUACUAUGCGUGCCAGCUCACGGAGGCACCAUUUACUUGAAGCAAAGUUUUUGGAGAAAAUAGGGAUGUAAAUUCUGGAGUCAUUGAUCGCUUGCAAGAGGCCACCUUCGAUCUCUUCGCCAAAUCGGAGCUCUUCGUUGUCUUUGAAAGCACGGAUCCCAGCACGGAUCAGGUCAUUGUAGAGACAAUCAGCCAUGGUUAAACGGGUGUCGGGACCUCUAAAACUCAGGAACACCUCGUAACCACUCCCCGAUCCGUCAUCACGGCUCCUGCUUGUUGGAGCUGCCGUCUCCAUCUCCUUUUCCUCCCUCUUUCUCUUCAUUCUGGAAGAACGAUGCAGAGAUGGAUCACCGAAUUGGGUCUGUCCGAGGUGACAAGGGAAGUCCGAGUCUGAUCCUUGUAGCGACUCGAUAAAGCAACGGAGAGAGAUCUCUCACUUUCGCUGCGUUUGCCUAGAAGUUACCUGCGGCCUUCGUUCGUAAGUAAAAAAACCAUUCAGACUGACCAAAUAAUUGACGAAAGUCUGCGAAGAGGAAAACGCGAAGAGAGAGAGAGAGAGAGAGAGACCGCUCUGCAUCACUUUCAACCGCACGAUUUACUUCUACUUCAAGCAAUGAGUGGGGAGUGGGGGCAAUCGCUUCCUCUUAAAAAAUAUCUGAUUAGCCGAUAAUAAUAACCACUUCAUUUUAAUAUUGGGUUAAUUUACUUUUCAAAUAUCGGACGCUUUUUAAUAUUCCACUUAAAAAUAUCUGAUUUCACCGUAAGUAUGGACAGCACAAUUUUGUUAGUAUAUAGAAAGGUCGAGUUGUUCCUUCAAUUAAUCCACAUUUGCUUAGGGCUAUUAGUUUUUUUAUGCAUAUAUCAUGCUCAAAAGAUUCAAUAGUGGCAUAUGCAUGUCCCUAUCAAACAUGAUUCUGCAUUAUGGAAAGUGAGUUAAUUAGGGAUGCAAAUCAAGCGGCUAACUUGAGCUCGGCUCAAUCUUUACAGUUUCAAAUAGCUUGGGUAUCAAAACAAGGAGAUUUUGUUCUUCUCUUCUGAUUCAAAACGUACAUAGAUGCGAAAUUAUCAAACAUGAUUGAAUGCUUCCCGAGUACCUCAUUGAGUAAAUUUUAAAAGAUAUGGAUGUUAGAGAAAUCACUCUUCCGAAAAAUUUAAGUAGUUAGGAAUCAGAGCAAUAAUAGUUCACCUUACAUGAGGGGGUAUGUCGAUUUUUACAUGCAUGACACGUGAUGUGAAUAAAAACAUACGAAAUAGACAACUUACAAAAUUUCCACACUAAAAAAUUCAUCCGAGAAAUGUGGUGUCAAAAAGGCAUUGUUAGGUCAAUUGCUAACCCUACUGCAAGCAUAAUAAAAUCCCUAAACCUUAUAUUUUCGUUUCCGCAUUUUUUUCAAGACAGUUGUCCUUCUUAAAUUUUUAGUUGACCUCCCCUUUAGAAAAUUUUAAAAAGUGCAAAAAAUUACACUGUUUGUAUCCGUCAGAGCUAUGCCAAAAAGAAAAGGCUACUAAUUAAAGUUGCUGAGCGGUAUGCUUGGGAAAACAUAUUUUAAGGGACCAGCGAAUAUGUUUUGCCAUCUUAUAGUGUUACGAUUUGAAUAUAAAUCAUAAGAUCCCGACCACGGGUGGGUCCCGGUCCUCACUGCUACGGGCAAGGGGUGCCCUCGCCUAGAUCUAGUCACAUUGUAAUUUUAGUUGGCCGACAUACUUAGAAGUUCCCUCACUUUAAAUUGACUUAAUUAUUCAAAAAAUUAGAAGACAAUGGUUAAAGUUUUCUAUAUUCUUUAAUUUCAAGUACAUGUUGAUUUUAAUCUUUCACGCAAUUUAAGUUUUGCUUUACAAACUAGGUGUACAGUAUAGAUCACUUUCAUUGAGAAAAAGAGUCCUCACCGAACUUUAGUUGAUUCUUGAUGGAAAUUGCUAAGAUAAUGUGAUUCCUCCUUGACAAUGAUGCGGACAAAGUUGAGAUUUUUGAAACAUUUUAUUCUCGAAUGAAUGUUUUUAUGCUUUUUUUUUUCAUGAUAUCAAUCCAUGUUUCCCGGUAUUUUCCGUGAGCCAAACACGUCAUGCCAGUCUUGUGGGUGAGUCGCCAAGUCUGUUUGAUGUGCAAUUUGGCUGUGUGCAGACCAACGCAUGCUAAGCAAAUUGACUAGAUAAAUGUACUUUAGUGCUUUUUCUUUGCCUUCACAAGAGGAUCAAACAAACACUUGACGAUGGACCUGCGUAUGUUCUAAGCAAAGACAAAAGGCCACAGAUUUGUUUCCAAUUCGAAUUAUGCAAUUCAAUCUUGGCAUGAAUCACGGGAUGCCAAUUGAGAGACUCGCCAUUAAUGAACUUUCUAUUGUUUUAUUCAGUUAAAUAUUUGUUAGUUACAGAAAAUAAAGGGUGAGAUAUUUAAAAUUUGUGAUAUACAUAUGGAAUUACAUAAAUGCAAAGGAUAAAAUUUGAACAUAUUGAGCUCAAACUUGAACUCAUUUUAUAACAUGAUUGUAUCGAGUCUACAUGAGCUUGAUAUCUCGAUUUUUUCUAGUCAAGCUCAAGCUGGAAAUUGAAUACUCAUAAUCAGGCUUUCUUUUUAUGGAAGAAAAAUCUAACAAUGAAAAAAGAAAUGGUGUUUUUAAUAUAUUUGAAACUCCUACAAUAAAGAAAAACUAAAUAUGUGAAAUUGUUAAUUAUGAUAAUUGAACCAUACAUUGAAAUAGAAAAACUAAAAAGAAAGGAAAAUUAAUGAAUUUGGAGCCACCAAUAAAAUUGCAAUUGAUGAUUUGGAGCAAUUUUGUCUUUUUAGUGAAAAUUUGGUAAAUUUAAUUUAUAGGGAUGAAUUUCUCCAUCAAAUUUUUGGUGUGGAUCAAGUGAGGCUUGGUAAUCACUUAUCAAGAAAAUGUGUGUAACUCGAGAAAUAAAUGCAGGCUUUUAAGGUAAGAAUGCAUAAAUUGUGGGAGUGGGGAUAAACUUUGCUAUAUGUGCUCUUUGAAGAUACAAACUUCUGAAAAAUCAGUCGGGAAUUGGUUAAACGAUCGAAACACCCAAAUCACCAUAAGAUCACAAAUAACAUUAGUCGGAUCAUCAAAUGCAUCAAUCCGGCAACGGAAAUCUCUUACAGCAGCCCACCUUGCUGCUACACAAUCACCACAAGAAUUUGUUGCACUAAUGGAGAAAAUCAUUUCCGAAAUUAAGGAGUCCACCAACAGUGAAAAGCUCCUACCAAUCAUAUCGUAGUGGAGAUACGAAAGAAGAUGACUGGUAUGGGGUCGAACUACUAGAAGAAGAACAAAAUCACCAAGAGAAGAUAGCCACCAGAAACUAUAGCAACAUAUGCAUUAAUACUAUUCCCCACCAAACAUUGCAACAAAAUUAUUGCUUACUUUCACUAUGCUAGCAGACUCCGGUACUGACAAACAAGAUGCUGUUCACCUUCAGAUCAUUGCAACAAAAUUUUUGCUUACUUUCAUUGUACAAUCACGUGCAAUUGGUUUUGUUUUGCUCAUUAAAUUCAAAAGGAUUAGCUUUUGUCAGUUGGAGCGAGAAUUCUAUUAUGCUUUUGCUAAGCCCAACAAAGCAGAUCUCCUUAUAUUUAAUUGCAUGAUCAAUUGAUCCUCGAUCAACUAGGAGAGUAAUUAUAUUUGUAACAAGUAUCGUAUUGAAAUGAAAUGCACCGUUAAAAUCUUUGCUGGUCCUUAUUGAUUAAUAACAAAAAUCUAAAGACCCUUUAAUUCAAGAUUUUGAUCUAACAAUUUGAAUCUUUAUUUUGAAAUAUGUUUGAUUUUAAGAAGAAUAACGAUUGCGUAACGCGCCUAUCAUGUCCUAAACAUGUUAUUAUGUUGCGACCUUAUUUUUCGGGGUUUGGACCACCUAUGGUUUGGCUAAUGGAUUGUUAAGCCUAAACUUAACUCGGGCUCUCCCAAGCCCAUACCAAUUCACGACUUAGGUUUGAAUUGUUAACAUGCAAAUUUUUAAUUAGGAGUCGCCACUAAUCUAUUUUUUGAUGGGUCGAUUAGAAACCCAAGUAAAGUAACGGGAGAUUUUACUUUACUCCUACAAACCAGAGACUAUGGGUACGGGGACUUGAUUACGCUAGAAUUCUCUAACGCCCUUUUGGUACCUUUCUUUUUAUUUUGAAAAAAAUGUUUGGCAGGCAGCUUGAAUUGAUUUUAAACUAUCUCCCUAACAUGUGAGGUGUUCAUGCAGGUGUGCAAGCCACCAAUUUAACACCCAAGAAAGUAAUUAAAUAAUGCAUGACUUACCUCCAAAGCUACGAAAGCAUCUGCAAUGUUAAAUUAAAAUCCAUAUCAACAACCCUAGAUAUGAUUUCUAAUUAACAAGCAAUUACUCAAUUUUUGUUUUUCUCUUUUUCAAUGAAAAUAUAGUCCAUAUGCAAUGCAAUGCUUCUAAUCUAAUAUGAAAUGAUAUGGCAUGGCAAUAUGUCAUAAACUAUAUGAAUGAAUAAGAAUUUUUGUAAUUUCUUAAUGAACAUGCAAUAAUUAAAUAUGCAAUCUAAAUUAACCAAAAUGAUUUAAUUCUAAUGACGUGCAAUGCAAUGCAACGACGUACAAAAUUAUUUCAACUAAAAUGACAUGUAACAUGCAAUUUAAUACGUGAGGUAUAUGUCACACGACAUUUAUUGAAUGACCCAAUCUAAUGAACCUAACAAUAAUCACUAAAAUGACGUGCAUUUUAUGAAGCUAAUUCUAUAUGACAUGCAAAUGACAUUUUUUAUUUUAAAAAUGCAAUCUAUCCUAGAAAUUGCAACUAAUUUAUCCUAAGACAAAUUUUAUGAAAUUUGAAAUGAUCUAGCUAGAUUAAGAUUCUAUCUAAUUUAAACUAGGGAUUAAGUCAUAUUAAAUCCUAAUUUAAACUAAGACAUUAUCUAAAUCUAAAAAAGAUGAUCUAAAUUUAAAAUGAAACAUGCAAUUCUAAUCUAAUAUGCACAAUGAUUUUUUUUUGUGUUUGUUUUUUUUUUUUAAGAAAUUCAACAUUAAAACUAACACAUAAUUAAACAUGCAAUUCAAAUAAAAAAACUAACAACCUAAAUGAUUGCACUUUCUUUUUUGGGAAUUUUUUUUUUUAAAUUCAUAAUAAGAUUGCAAUCCUAAAUAUGCAAGAUAACAACAAACCUAAUCCUAAUAAAGAUUUUUUUGAUUUUUUAUUUUACGAAAAUAAGAUUUGACUCAACCAACUUGACGAUAGAAAAUCAAACAAAAGAUAAGAUUGAUAUCCAAAAAUUGACGAACCAUAUCUCACGCAUGAGAUCGGAUUGGCCAAUUUUAAAUUAAAUCGCGAAUCAAAUCUCGGGCUUGAGAUUGGAUUGUCAAUUUUUGUAAGGGAUUGCGAGUCGGAUUUCGGGCGCGAAAAUCGAACUGUCAAUCCCUAACUUGAGGAACUAUUUCAUAUUGGGAUUUCAAUCACAUAUUUAAAGGGAACAAUUUUACUAAAAGAAUAAAAUAAAAAGGAAAGAUAAAAAAACAGUAAGUAAAUAAAUAAAAACUACUGGCGGCGGGGUAGAGGUUCGGAGGUGGAGCGGCAAGGCGGCGGCGCUGGUGCAGUGAGAGGGACAACGGCUACUGGCAGAACGGCGGUGGCGACCAGCGCAAUUAGCAAGGCGAUCGGGCAGCAAAGGUCUCCGGCGAAGGAGUCCCACGAAGAAGAUGCAGCCCUUUUCUCUCCUUUUCUUCACGUCCUUUCGCGGGUCUUCUCUCUCAGGUCUCUCUGUACUCUCUCUCCAGAAGCAAAAGCUUAUGUUGACUUUUCCCUUCUUUUUUUCACCGGUUUCUCUCUCUCACUUUUUCAACUUUUUCUCCUUUCUCGAUCAAAAGAAAAACCCAGCCAAAGCCCCCUUCGUACCUUGUUGCUUUUAUAGGGGGUAGGAGAUAAGUUUUCGAUUUCCCAUUCAAAUCUACAUCCGCGAUACCUUUUCACCAACUAAUCACUAUUGAUAAAAAUUCGAGAUUACGAUAAAUAUUUUCUCGAAAUCCAAAUCUCGCAAAGAUAAAUCACAAUAUUUUUUCACACGUGUGCUCUAUCAAAAAUAUUUAUAUCCCGGAAAAAUUUCAAAAUUUUUAUUUUUCACGAGAUAAUUAGAAAACAUGGGCUUGGGCCAACCAGCUCGCUUCGUGGGCUUAGUCCAACUAAUUUGAACCCAUUCGCACUGGUCCAAUAAAUAAAAUGCCAAUAACAAAAUAAAUGCAAAUAUAAAUCUAUAUGCUAUAAAAUUAACCCCUAAUUUCCUAUGCAAUAAAUAAAUAAACUAAAUCGUCAAAAUUUAGGUGUCAAGAGCUGCCCCUCUUUGAAGGUGAGCUCGAAGAGGUUGCCUUCAAAGACAAAUUGAGACCUAAAUUUUGACUAUGCACACGCAUUGAAUGAUUUUUUGUCGGGAAAUGUAUCCCAUUUUUUAAAAUGCAACUCAUAUGAUGCAUAUAAAUGCUACUGCAAAUGCAUGAUGUGAAAGGAAAGAGCGUACCUACAAUUACUUACCAGUCAGUGUGGUAGAGCAUCUUGAGGUACAUGAUAAAUCCCUAUUUACUCCACAAGUACCCAACUCUCACUCAGGUUCCUUGAAAAGCGUAACAGGUAAGAACAUUCACAUCCAAAGUGAAAUGUUCAACGGAAAAAAUUGAGACAUCCAGAUCAAAACUGAGAUGUCAAGAUUUUUGAAAAACUCAAAAUACCUAGAUCUAGACUAAGGUAUAAUGAGAAGGAUCGAAAAACAUUCACGUCCAAAGUGAAAUGUUUAGACGAAAAUAAUUAGGAAAUCCAGAUCCAGACUGAGAUGUCGAAAUUUUGGAAAUUGAAAUACCUAGAUCUAGACUAGGUAUACGAGAAUAAUUGAAAAAACAUUCAUAUCCAGAGUGAAAUGUUUGAAUGAAAAUAAUCAAGACAUCCGAGCCCAGACUGAGAUGUCAAGAGUUUGGGACUCGAAAUACCUAGAUCCAGACUAAGGUAUAACGAGGAAGAUCGAAGAACAUUCACAUCCAGAGUGAAAUGCUCUAACGAAAAUAAUCAAGACAUCCGGGUCCAGACAGAGAUGUCAAGAUUUUGAACUCGAAAUACCUAGAUCCAAACUAAGGUAACGAGGAAGAUCGAAGAACAUUCACAUCCAAAGUGAAACAUUCAACAAAUAGAAUUGAGACAUCCAGAUCCAGACUGAGAUGUCAAAAUUUUGGAAUGCAAUUUGUUUGCAAAUGGUAAAGGAACUUACCUGGAAUAUCUUACCUUCAAGGAGGGUAGAGUGAUUCAAGAUAGUUGGUGUUACAUGUUCAGGACCCGUACCUUUCUACGGUCGCCUAAAAUAGUAACGAAGAGACUACUUUCCUAGGACCCGUACCUUUCUACAGUCGCCUAGUAGGGCAGCAAGGUUUUGUAAGGAAACUAUUUUCCUAGGACCUGUACCUUUCUAUGGUCGCCUAGUAGGGCAGUGUUUGGUUGUGUCUAGGACCCGUACCUUUAUACGGUCGCCUUGACAAAAAAUCAAUUUUCCAGGAUCCGAACCUUUCUACGGUCGCCUGAAUGGGAAAAUUGUUUUUCCAGGACCCGUACCUUUCUACGAUCGCCUGUUAGAGCAAUAAAUGUUGUCUAGGACCCGUACCUUUCUACAGUCGCCUAAACGGGGAUUCACUUUCCAAGACCCGUACCUAUCUACGAUCGCCUGGAUAAGGAAUCAUUUUCCAGGACCCGUAACUUUCUACGGUCGCCUGAAUUGAGGUAAUUGCUUUUCCAUGACCCAUACCUUUCUAUGGUCGCCUGUUAGAGCAACAAGGUUGUCUAGGACCCGUACCUUUCUACAGUCGCCUAAACUGAGGUUUUGCUUGGCUAGGACCCGAACCUUUCUUCGGUCGCCCAACAUUACAGUAUAGAUUAUCUGACCAAGACCCAAACCUUUCUUUGGUCGCCUUAAUUUGAUUGAAUCUAGAGAAAAAUCUUUGGGGGACAACUCCAUCGAGUGUCGAUUAAAAUGGACUCUAGGCUACGAAAGCACACCAGGUCGAUAUAACUAGACAGCUUGACCAAGUCAAGUGUCGAUACACUUGAGAGAGAAUGCCUGCACAAUGACAAGUAUUUAAGGUAUGGAUAGAGAUAUACUUACCUGGUAUCAUCUCUAUUCCUGAGGGAAAUGUCUUCUGCAAAACAUGGUCAUAGGAGAAGCGAUAUGCAUUUAUGAUCACAAACAUGCAUUGAUUUAAGGGCGGUUCAUGCGUUGUGAUUUAUAUAAAGCCUGCAUCACCUAACUUCCAUUAGGAAGGAUUUCACAAAGAAUGUUCCAAUCUGAACACAUGAGUGUCAUGGAUGUGCCAAAUGGGGGACCUCUUGGUCUGAAAUGAUUUUUCACUCAUCCUCAUUAAAAUGGACUGUUUCAUCCUUACCUUUGAUGUAGGAUUUUUUACAAUCACUCUAUCUUUCAUCAUCAUGCCAAACAAGAAUUCAAGCAAUCUCGCAAGUGGUACGAACUUACCAAUCUGAGAGGUCUUUAACAGGGACCGUAACGCUGGCUUGGUCAACGGCUUAGUAAAGGAGACUCUUUGAGUCAAGGUUAUUAAAAAAUGAAUGAUAUUUCACCAUCAUCGUGGAGUUUACAAGCCACGAAACAUGAGAAAUGAGGCAGAAAUUAUCUUACUCGCACUUCUUCAAGCGAUGCUUCCAAACAUAUGAACUUUUAUGUUAAUUCAAGUGCCCUAAUUUGAAGAGACUUUGUAAGGGACGUAACGUAGGUUGGGUUCAUAGGUUGAGAAAUGAAAGGAUCAUUUGGCUCAAAAAGUGUUUAUGGGGUCGAAGUUAUUGAUCAUCUUGACAUUUCCAACAAUUUUCCUCUCCAUUGUCGAAGAUUUUCUUCACAUCACAACUCCACUGAUUGCAACAUCUCAACAUUUGAGUUUUUUUUUUUCUUUUUUGGGUACCACCUUGUUGGGGAUACGACUCACUUCAUCAAGUGUUUGAUUUUUUCUUUGGGCAUUGGCCUUGCUUUUACCAGGCACACUGCUUUUUCAUGCUCCAUUUUUUUGCACUUUUUUUUUACUUGCACAGCCUUCAUCUUUUAUCAGCAUUGUAAACCAUGCUACUUGAGUGGUUUGAUUUUUCUUUUCUUGCCCCAGUGUGGGGGAUGAUCACCAACUGGGUUUAACAUAAAAUGAAUUCAUAGUCUUAAGGGGCUAUGCAAUGAAUAAAGUGUAUAGGAUAGAGAAAGAACCACUCUUCGUCGUCCUAAGGCACUUUAAAUUAUCGUACAAGUCACACUGUAAAAGCAAUACUUGAAGAUUGAUGCAAGUGUGAGAAAGAAAAUUCCUAUCAUUCAUUUCAAAUCUUGUCCCAAUAUGGGACGACUCUUGACAGGGAUAAUUUAAAAGCUCUUUAUGUGUGUGGGCUCAAAGGGCUAAACAAUGGAUAUACCUUGAGUGUUUCGGGUAGUAGAAGAAACUACCUCUCAUCACCUUAGUUGACGUACCCUUGGCGAGAUCACCCUUUUCCUCGUGGGCAUGGAAUUUUUCACACAACUCGUUGGGGGUCAGUGUAUGAAACAAUGUAUGGAAUAUGGUUUGCCUUUCAUCAUUCCAAAGUAUCCCAUUUGACACAUUCAAUUUAUCUCACAUAAUUCAUCAAGGAAAACAUGCAAUAUUUGCAACAAGUUUAGACAAUUGAAUUUGCAACUCAAUGAGGCAAUUUAUUCAUCAUAAAAUGUUUGCAAUUCAAAACAUGACAUGGCAAAUUCUAUCAUGGGUAAUACUUCUUGACAGCGUCUGAAUUAAUUGGAGUAGAAAACUCAUGACUACCCAUUUAUGCUAGGACGACACCUCCUGAAAGUACCUUCUUUACCACAUAUAAGCUAUAAUUUGGAGCAAACUUGCCCCCAGGAUCUUCCACUGAAGAAUGAUGGUUCUCUUUUACUUGCCCCAAAUCUUUUUUCAUUGCAAGUGCGCUCUAAACCUGUUGAUCACAAGUUAAGUAUAUGAUCAUUGAAACUUGAUACACUAUUCUCAGAUGUCCCUUGUCAUAACAAGUUAUAUAAUUAUGCUCUAAGACAAGAAGCAAAUGAGUUAGAAAAACAAACAGGUUUAAUCUGCUACAAGCUUUGGGAAAAUGUUUAUCUUUUCUUUCUUUUUAACAAUGAAAUGCUUUUGCUUUCGAAAUUUUUUUUGAGAUGAAGCAUGAAAAAGUCCAGCCCUCAGGAUUCCUCCGUGGAUGAUAGUUUUCUUUUUCAUGGUUGGAUAUCGUCAUUGGACUGGUUUGGAGUACCCCGUCAUGCCCUCAAAAUAAAACUUGUAAUUUCAUUGAUAUUCAUCAAUCAAUUACAUUUAUUGAAUGGAAAAUGCGAAUUCAAGUCCUAAAAAGAAAGUGAAAAAGAAGAAAUUGAAAACAAUCGCUAAAUAGAGAUAAUAACUCCUAAAAAGCGAUAAAAUUCCUAGAAAGCGAUAAAAAUUCCCGCGCAGGGGAAUGAGCAAAAGUAAUAAGUUACUCUUGUGGGCCAGGGCCCAUUUCUUCCAAAGUUCCUUCAUCAAUGGCAUUCACCCUAUCCUCAUGCUCAGGUAGAGGAUUCUCUUUGACAUUCGGUUGAGCGGUACUAAAGGCAAAUGCCUUGGUGUCUAGUAAGUUUUGGACCUUAUGUUUCAAAGUCAAGCAUUCAUCAGUCGAAUGUCCUACUUCCCCCAUAUGAUACUCGCAUUUCUUGGAGGGAUCAUAGUUGGAAAGUUUUUCAGCAUUGGGUCACUUCGGCUCAUAAGACAGCAACCCCUUCUUUUGAAGAACCUUUAAGACUUGGGACAGAGGGCCAGGAAGAGGAGUGAAUUGCCUCUUAACAAAUUGCCGAGGGGCAGACGAUCGGCCUUCCCUUUGUUGAUUCUUAGGGACAUGAACAACUGGAGACUUGCUAGAUUGUGCAUAUGUGACAUUGACUUCCGUGCUUGGUUCUUUGUCUUUCUUCAUGGUGAACCUUUUGCCUUGAUUGGUUGGUUCAUUGCACCAUCCAUCUCUUAGCCCAACUUCAAUCUAUUCACCCACCGGGAUAAGUUGGUUGAAGUUCUCAACGUACGUGCUAGCCAUUCGGUUGCGAAACUCAAACGGGAGGGUCUUGACGAACAACUUCAUUAGCUCCUUGUCAGCAGGCUCCGGAGUGACUUGAGCGGCCAAAUUUCUCCACCUCACAGCAUACUCCUUGAACGACUCGCUUUUCUUCUUCUCCAUCCGUUCAAGAUCCUCUCGGGAAGGUGCAAUAUCCAUGUUGAACUUAUAUUGCUUUAGGAACGCAUCAGUCACUUCAAUCCAGGUGUCGAGAAGGUUUAUGUUCUUCAUUAUGUACCAAUUCAGUGCAGGCCCAAUCAAACUAGCAUGGAACGAUUGAAUCAUGAGAGGCUCAUUCUUGAUAUAUUGGGCCAUGCGUACGUGGUACAUCUGCAAAUGAGCUUUCGGGUAGGAAGUACCAUCGUACUUCUCGAACUCUGGCAUUUUAAAUUUCUUUGGCAUCUUGACUUUCUCAUACACUAACAAGUCGAAUGGAAGUGAGCUCCGUGAUCCUUGCAAUUGCUUCACCUUCUCUUCCAGCUUUGUGAAGCGUUCAUCUUGCUUCGUCUUAGGAACGUUAUCAAGCUUAGCCUUUUCAGUGGUGAUUAACGGUGGGUCAUCUUCCAACCCAGGCAUGUCGUCGUUAAUCGUUUGAACCUUGUUUGCUUACUUCGGGAUAACUACUUCAGGAAGAGCGGGUGCAGCCGUUGGAUUUGCUUGGAGGAAUUGGAGUUGAUCCGUCACAAGCUGUAUAGAGGCGAGUACUUGUUGGAGUUGAGUCUCCACAGCGGACAUACGAUCACACAUUUCAGCUUGAUCAGCCAUUCUAGCUCUUAAUCGAGUGAUGAUGGGAGAGCGUGAAGGAUCCGUUAUCACCUAAUUUGAAAUAAAUGAAAAUAUGUAAGCACGAUGUGUAAAUAGAGAACCAAUCCAUGACAAUAAUCUAAUCAAUUCUUCAUUUUUUUUUCAUGAAAAGUUCGUACAAGAAGGGAAUUUGACACCCUAACAAAAUCGAAUUUCAUAGUCAUGAAUCGAAGACAAAUUCUCCAAUUUUUUUAUUUUCCAAAUGAUUCAUUGCAUGGCAAUUUCCUCAUUUCAUUCAUAAUUGACAAAUGAAUUAAAUCAAUGAUUGACCUAAAUCGUCAUGGACCGACUAAAAAUAUGACAAAAUAAGUAAAUUGCAUAGUAUAGGGAUAAAAGACUUACUUCACCAAAGAAACGGCAAUCAAAUAGACAUGCACAUGAGAUGUGGGCUCGAUUUCUACUCUAGACAGGCUUAACAAAGUGAAACCAUAAGAAUGAUCGGACUAGCCGCGGGCAUGCGGAUUAAGUCGGGUCCUCAUGACUUCGGCUUGGUCAAAAAGCCGACCUGGGUCACGGGCAUGCGGACCGAGGUGGGUACUCUUGACACCAUGAAAGAAACUUCGAGAUUGAGAUAGGCAACUCAUACCGCGAGCAUGCGGUCGGAGUGGUAUCCAUCUCAAUACCAUCCUAAAUGAUCCUAUGCGGCCCAGGUCCGGCGGCAGGUCGUGUGUGCAAAGUGUAGUGAUAAAUGCAAAGCAUGCACAGCAGUUUAAAUCAAACAACACUUCGUUCAUGAAAAUAAACCAUACAUUCCUACAUCUCUCUGCAAAAUAAAGGUUAGCAAACACUUCCCCUUAUACCUCCCAUCUUGCAAAAACAUUUAACACCUUAAAUGUUAGGGACGUACCUGGAAUCCUCACUGCCAAACAAAAACUUUUUUCAAAAGAAAAGGAAAAUUGGCCUAAGUCCACUAAGAGUUUUAACUCAAGAUCCCUAGUGGAGUCGCCAAGCUGUCGUGACCUUAUUUUUUCGGGGUUUGGACCACCUAUGGUUUGGAUAAUGGAUUGUUAGGCCUAGACUUAACUCGAGCUCUCCCAAGCCCAUACCAAUUCGCAACUUAGGUUUGAAUUGUUAACAUGUAAAUUUUUAAUUAGAAGUCGCCACUAAUCUAUUUUUGAUGGGUCGAUUAGAAACCCAAGUAAAGUAACGGGAGAUUUUACUUUACUCCUAUGAACCAGAGAAUAUGGGUACCGGGACUUGAUUACGCUAGAAUUCUCUAACGCCCUUUCGGUACCUUUCUUUUUAUUUUGAGAAAAAUGUUUGGCAGGCAGCUUGAAUUGAUUGUAAACUAUCUCCCUAACAUGUGAAGUGUUCAUGCAAGUGCGCAAGCCACCAAUUUAACACCCAAGAAAGUAAUUAAAUAAUGCAGGACUUACCUCCAAAGCUACGAAAGCAUCUGCAAUGUUAAAUUAAAAUCCAUAUCAACAACCCUAGAUAUGGUUUCUAAUUAACAAGCAAUUACUCAAUUUUUGUUUUUCUCUUUUUCAAUGAAAAUAUAGUCGAUUUUUGUAAGGGAUUGCGAGUCGGAUUUUGGGCGCGAAAAUCGAACUGUCAAUCCCUAACUUGAGGAACUAUUUCAUAUUGGGAUUUCAAUCACAUAUUUAAAGGGAACAAUUUCACUAAAAGAAUAAAAUAAAAAGGAAAGAAAAAAAACAGUAAGUAAAUAAAUAAAAACUACCUAAUUUUCCCUUUUCCUUUUUUUUGUUUUUUGUUUUUNNNNNNNNNNNNNNNNNNNNNNNNNNNNNNNNNNNNNNNNNNNNNNNNNNNNNNNNNNNNNNNNNNNNNNNNNNNNNNNNNNNNNNNNNNNNNNNNNNNNNNNNNNNNNNNNNNNNNNNNNNNNNNNNNNNNNNNNNNNNNNNNNNNNNNNNNNNNNNNNNNNNNNNNNNNNNNNNNNNNNNNNNNNNNNNNNNNNNNNNNNNNNNNNNNNNNNNNNNNNNNNNNNNNNNNNNNNNNNNNNNNNNNNNNNNNNNNNNNNNNNNNNNNNNNNNNNNNNNNNNNNNNNNNNNNNNNNNNNNNNNNNNNNNNNNNNNNNNNNNNNNNNNNNNNNNNNNNNNNNNNNNNNNNNNNNNNNNNNNNNNNNNNNNNNNNNNNNNNNNNNNNNNNNNNNNNNNNNNNNNNNNNNNNNNNNNNNNNNNNNNNNNNNNNNNNNNNNNNNNNNNNNNAGCGGCUGAGCAUCAGGGAGAGCUGAGCGGUCGUCGGGUGUAGUGGCUUCGUCGGAUUGGUGGAGCUUCAGCGUCAGCGGGGCAGAGGUUCGGAGGUGGAGCGGCGAGGCGGCGACGCUGGUGCAGUGAGAGGGACAACGGCUACUGGCGGAACGGCGGUGGUGACUGGCGCAAUUAGCAAGGCGAUCAGGCAGCAAAGGUCUCCGAUGAAGGAGUCCCACGAAGAAGACGAUGCAGCCCUUUUCUCUCCUUUUCUUCACAUCCUUUCGUGGGUCUUCUCUCUCACGUCUCUCUAUGCUCUCUCUCUAGAAGCAAAAGCUUCUGUUGACUUUUCCCUUUUUUUUUCACCGGUUUCUCUCUCUCACUUUUUCAACUUUUUCUCCUUUCUCGAUCAAAAGAAAAACCCAGCCAAAGCCCCCUUUGUACCCUAUUGCUUUUAUAGGGGUAGGAGAUAAGUUUUCAAUUUCCCCUUCAAAUCUACAUCCGCGAUACCUUUUCACCAACUGAUCACUAUUAAUAAAAAUUCGAGAUUACGAUAAAUAUUUUCUCGAAAUCCAAAUCUCGCAAAGAUAAAUCGCAAUAUUUUUUUCACACGUGUGCUCUAUCAAAAAGAUUCAUAUCCCGGAAAAAUUUCAAAAUUUUUAUUUUUCACGAGAUAAUUAGAAAACAUGGGCUUGGGCCAACCAGCUCACUUCGUGGGCUUAGUCCAACUAAUUUGAACCCAUUCGCACUGGUCCAAUAAAUAAAAUGCCAAUAACAAAAUUAAUGCAAAUAUAAAUCUAUAUGCUAUAAAAUUAACCCCUAAUUUCCUAUGCAAUAAAUAAAUAAACUAAAUCGUCAAAAUUUAGGUGUCAACAAUAUAUAUAUGAUUUUAUGAGAUUACUACCAACUAUUCUAUUCUGAAAGUAUAAGCUAUUAGAUAAAAGCUUAUUUAAUAUUUGAAUAUUCUAACAAUAAAGUAAUUGUAUAUGUUAAAUAUUUUAUCGAUAUCAGUGAUUAACUUCACAAAAAAAAUUAGGCUUCUCAUACUCGUGCUUCAAUUUUGGAAACAAGAAGUGAGACAGAUGAGACUCACAACUCAAAUGAAAUCAUAUAUAACUUUUUUGGCAUGAAUCAAGGGAUCCUAAUUGAGAUGCUUUUUCUAGUGCUUUUGCUUUUAGACAAAAUUGAAUUAUGAUCAUUAUAAAAAAGAUGAUUUGAAUUGGUCACUUAGCUCCACUCAAGUCUGGCGUGACCACAAAGGAAGCAUAAUGGAUCCCCUUUAAUCUCUUUCUUUUUUUCGUUUUUAGGGAGGAAUCUCUUCCUUCAUUUCUAGGCUAGAAAAACAUAUUUUGAUUGCUUUUGUUUUCCUCAUUAAAUUAAGAAGGAUUAGCUUUUCUUAGCUAGAGCCAGAAUUCCAUUCUGCUUUUGCUAAGCCAAAGAAAGCAAAUCUUCUAAUAUUUAAUCCCAAUUUGCACUAAUUGGCAUGAUCAAUUGAUACUUGCCUUUUUUCCACUCGCUAAUCUUUUUCUUUUGCCAUGUAAAAGUUGUGAAAUGUGAAUUCGGCUCUAGGUUGCCUUCUGCUUUCAAGAGUCGUAGAACGAUUGAAAUGCAUGAAGCACCAUUAAUAGAUUAUUUGAGAAAACACACAAAUUUUCCCAAAUUUACUAAUGGCCUUCUACAUUCGAUCAUCUUGGUAUAUUCAUGAUCAUAGGAAUAAUUAGCAUGCAUAAUAAAUAUACAUUCCUUCUACAUAGAAACAAAAAUAUUAUCCCAUUGUGACUUUUAAUUGUCCCAUUGAAUUUUGAUAAUAUACUUUUUUCCAUCAAUUUCCCUAGAUAGUCGCGUUUAUUUGGAAGUCAUAAUUCCCCGAGAAGAUGUGCGUGACCCUCCUAUCAAGGAAGAGUUUACAUCACAUAACAUGGAGUUCAAUGUCGGAAAUACUAUUUGGCCCAUAAAAGUCCUCAUACAUAUAUCGGACUUUGCACGCCUAGUACUAGGGGUGAAGUUGAGUCCAACUUACGUCUAAUUCAAGCUUGACUUAAUUAUUAGUUGAUAUCAAUUGGUCUAGUUUCGAGUCAAGCUUACAUUUGGAGCUACGCCAAGUAUUUCAUCGAGUCAAGGUCAAGCUUACUAAGACUUUGCCUGAGAGACUCGCAAUUCUAAUCCAAUUUCUAUUAUUUUGUUCAAAAAAUAAUCGAUAGUUACGAAAAUAGAGGGUAAGAUUCUGAAAAUUGUGGUAUACCUCAAGCACAUAUAUGUAGAGGAUAAUAUUUGAAGUUAUUGAGCUUGAGGUCAAGCCCAUCCUUUAAUUUGAAGCUCGAGCCGAAAAUUUAAUACUCCAUGAGCAUCGAAUAUCUAAUAGGAGUUGAACUCGAGCUUGGGCACUACUAUAUUGGCUCGAAUCGAAAAUCUGACUUAGUAAUGUACCUAAAUACUUAAAAGUUGCAAAAAGUUUAUUUUAAUGAUAUAUAUACAUAUUGUCAUGGCACGGACUUUGUAACCAGACUAUACCUGCAUUGCUCUAAUAUAAUAGAAAUCUCCAAGAUCUGGCAACAAGAGACCCAUUAAAUUACAGCACCAACUAACUUGAUCCGAAAACACUCUGCCUGAUAUGUAUUCCACAGCGGACCUCAGGCAGGCCCAUGUUUUUCCCCCGAAUUCAAACUUAAAUUGGCUCUUACUAAACAUAAAUAGUCAAAGGUGAAACGACACAAAAUAGCUGGACCCCACAUUAACUCAAAACUGGUGCACCGCACACAGAAAGUGAAAACUCAAGCCCAAGAGGUUCUCAAUCAAAAUCGUUUACAUGACAGGCUUUGUGUGAUGCUGUUAAUCUAACUAAACCUAAGUAAAAUACUCAUAGUCAGGGUCUCAACCAUUGCGAUCACAAAGCGAUACAUAAUUCAUUCACCUAAUCGAAAAUAGUGAGAUCAAAGUCAUACUCUCAUCUCAGCCGGGAGCACACAUUCUGCUACCUUGAUCCGAGCUGAAAAGAUUCCUCUAAGAGGUCUUUGGCAGGAGCACCACCUCGACGGAUUCUUUUUUGGUGAACAUCCCAAUUAUACACAUGAGCAAUCGUAACCUGCCAAAUAAAAAUUCACCUCUCAAGGGCUGUUUCAAACACCCCCCCCCCCCCCUCCCACAACAACAAAAAAAAAAAAAAAAAGAGAAAGAAAGAAAAUUUCCCAGGGCCACCAACUUAAUUACCAUGAUAAACUAAAGGAUAUGGUCCUACAACAAGCUUUGAAUUUUUUCAAGUUCACAUACGUUUGAUAUCACCGCCACAAAUCAGCAUGUCUUCCCAAUUUAUAGCUUCACGCCAGUUACAAAAUUCAGAGCAACAGUAGUUCCACCCUAAUAGACCUACCCAAUUCUGACAUGGUAAACAGGUUGAAACAAACAUGGACCUCCAAGUUCCAAAUAAGUCUGACUUACCUGCGUGAUUGUUACUUGGUCCCUUAAGAAUUGUAUAUGAGCAACAAGAACUUCUAAACUUGCUUUAGUAUUUUCUAAGUUCUUUUGUAGAAGGGCUGUGGCCUGCAACAUAAAUUUAUGCAAUAAAUAAUAUACUUGACAUCAUUAUUGAAGAGAAAGGGACAUUGCUUAAACUCGAAUACAACCUCUUCACAAGAAUACUCCAACAUAACAUUUUCUCCCAGCCAUAAACAUACUGACUCAGCAUUUUCAAUUUGAGCUCGUGAAUGCCUUCAGAGACUUCAAAAUCAGCAAGGAGUGCCUGCAGACAAAAUAAAGAGCCAUAAACACCCGUCAGCUUGGUGCCUAAUUUGUUUUGCGCCGUAGAAGUUUGGAUAGUCUUAGGUCCUAAAGCCCAAUACAGUAAUCCUACCCCAUGUCGGUUUCUAAUUGGACCUUCAGACAUCGAAGCAACUAGCUAAAUAUUACUGGUGAUAUUCAGGUGUUCAAAUCUAAAACCACCUCAUUAUUGAGAUCAGCAUGGGCUCUUCAAAGGACUAACCUAGAUUAUUAGGAAUAUUGCUUCCAGAAGUGCAUUUGCAAAGGAGAAAAGACAAUCGGAUAUUUCAUAUCAUGUCAACCGCACCAAAAGUAGUUCCUAGUAUGGCAAGAAUUAAACUAGCUUAUCCUCCAUUUUGCUUUGUAAAGAAAGAAAAGGGGUGAUAUGAUCAGUUAAGAGAACAUCGAGGAGCAAGAAGAUUUUUUUAAGAUAAUAUUUUCUAGCAUAACACGAUCAUGAGGAAAAUUUAGUUGACAUUAUACAUAAAAGAUGACUGAUAGACUGUCGCGGAUUCCAGAUGAAAAACAGAAAAUGCAAAGUAAAACAUUGGUGGAUUCUAAGACAAUACAAAGAACCCCAGGGGAUAUGAUAAGCAAGAACUCCAGAUUGAAAAAAAAUAUGAUCUGGUCACGUGAUAACAAGUUUACUUUGUAAAAAGUCUCAAUAGUCAACAGCAUGAGCCUGACAGAUACCCAUUAAGUAUCCUCAGUAAAAAUACACGCGCCGAAAAGCGUUCAGCUUGAAUUUCCAAAUUAAAUUCCAGUUCUGAAGCCAUGAUUCAAUCUUACUGUAAUAGAAACACAUGCUUAUUGUGCACGCAUACAAUGGCAUCCUCAAUCACAGGUCACUGUGCUAUAACAACUAAGCCAGUUUGCUUCAGUCGUUAUGCAGCUUUACAUAUCAAAUAAACAAAAGAGGAAAUUGUUGAGGUGGAAUGGAGUGGUGAAGUAAUUGUUGCAACAAGGUGCCCCAAUUUGAAAUGAUUGAUAAAUUCAAAUCCUGGAUUUUUGUAUGGAGAGAUAUAUCAGAAAUGGUCAUAGCCUAUUUGAUGGACUACAAAGAAAGAUGGAGGCAGCACAUAAUAGUACUUGUGUUUGUGUGUGUUUGCGUGCGUUUGCAUGUGUCUGUUGAGAGAAAGAGAGAGAGAUGGAGGCAGCACAUAAUAGUACUUGUGUUUGUGUGUGUUUGCGUCCGUUUGCAUGUGUCUGUUGAGAGAAAGAGAGAGAGAGAGAGGGAGGGAUCUUGGUGGAGGGGUUGAGAAGUCUAGCAACCUCAUAGUUGAUGUUUUGGAAGGACUAAUUGUGCGGGAUAAAUCUCACAGAUUCUUGUCCACUGCAGAGAUAUGGAUUUACAGCACAUGAGCAGGAAACUUUGUUGAUGGCAGAAGGUAUUGUUAGGAUUCACCAUUUAUGCAGAGAGUGGUAACCAGAAGAGAAUGAGAUGGCCAAAUUUUUAGUUCUCUUACAAAAGAUAGCUGGUAGUAAAGAAACAAGGAAGGACUCUGUCCAAAGAAAGCAAGGGGAUAUUAGCUGCUUAGAUGAAAACAAUAUGGAACUAUUCGGCAUCACAGGUUUUCCACAUGUGUGAUUGCCUGGGGAGUGUUUGCAAAUAGCCAACAUACAAAAAGAAACCAAAAGCAAGAAGAAGAAGGGUGCAUACAAACAGAAACUAGCUAUCGCAAGGUCAAUGAGAAUCCUCAGAUCACCCACUGAUAUGUUGCCCUUGGACUAAAUCUCCUUGGGACGUAAAUAUGCAGGAAAAGAUGCAGAUAAGAUAUGGUGACCAUGGAAUUGAAUCAUACCAAAUCCAAAUCUCGACCUUUUCGUUAGUCUAGAGAUAGAAAUAAGAGAGCCUUUAAAUGUUGCAUCAAGGAAAAGGAUGGCUUUAGACUUCACAUAUGGUUAACAAUUUCUAAGACUAACUUCUUAUGCCAAGUGUGUUAGAUUCACUCUGAUGUAAAUAAGUCUGUUAAAAGGUUUGCUUGAUAAAGCUAUUGCUUUCUGAAGAAUAUUCAAUCAGCAAGAAAGCAUUCUCCUAUUUAAAUGAAGGGAUGCAUGAAACAAAUGAAUUGUUUAUUUCAUUCUAUACACAAGAUACUGAUACCAGCUCUGACCUCCCUCAAGGGUUCAGCGAAAAAAAGAAUAACAACCAAUGAGAAACAGUUUAAAAAGAACAAAAAAGAAAAACGAAAAAAACUCCUGAAUUAGAUAUAUCUCCGCCUUUCUUUUUCAGAUUUUUGCAAUACCAUUAACCAGGCUCUAAACAGAAUAACAAGCAACACAAUAUCUCUUCCUAUACUCUUGCACUUUCUCGAAGGAUGAGAAAUAUCCGCCAAAGUGAUUUCCUUUUCUGAAAAGAACCUAAAUGCAGGUAAUUCCUACUCAUUUUAAGAUAAGCGAUUGAAAGCCUCUAAUGCACGAUCACCAAAUAUGGAAGAUAAUACCAACGUUUCUCAAUGACAAAACCAUUUGAUGUGAUAAAGUAAAAGGAAGAUUUAUAAGAUAUAACAAGCAAGAUGCAACACCUAAUCAGCAUGUUCCCCGUACCUUUAAAUGAGAAAAAUUCCUAACGUGGAGAGCAUAAACAAGGCUUACUAUUUACUGAUGUGCACCGACAUUUCAUUUCCAUAAAUAAGCCAAGCAAGCAUUUUAGAAGUAUAGUCUCUUUCUCAUUCUAAUUACCUGUGAACAUCUUGACCUAAUUUACUCAGAGGUAAGUAACCGCAAUCAUCUCAAGAUUUAAAACCUCACAAUUUCAACACAAGGUCGUCAAUCAAUUGGACAACCAUCAACUAAAUUACCAAAAUCCACAGCUUGUUGUUAAAAAGCAAAUAACCACCACUUCCCUAUCAACUUGUGGAAAUAAAUGGAAAUUCUCCCAAAAUCUUGUUCACGUAGUCAGUAGUAUGAGUCGCGUGAGACAACAGACCUCACCAGAACCCUUCUUGGCCUGUAGAGCGGCGACUAUGUUUAAACACUUCUCAAUAUCAUGAAUUUUUUGCCUGGCAUUUAAUAUAGACAUUGAAUUAACAACCCAGUAAAAAGAAAAUGAACAAGUAUCAUGCUGACAGAGUAACAACAGGAUACUAACAAAGUGAUCAAGCUCUGUGGGAACAAAGAACCACAUGCACUCGGUUCUAUCAGGUCAAUGUAAAGAGAAAUUCAUUGUGAGACAUCAAGAGGUGCUGACCAUCUGGAUUUGUUUUAACUUUUUAUUCUAGAUUAGAUCACAAUAACUGCAACAGUAAGCCAAUUUCUCAUCCUUUUUUAGGGGAGAAGUAAAACUCCCUCGAAUUGAGACGAGGUUUAAUUUGAACUAGAAAAACAGAAACUAGAUGAAAGAAAUAAGGAGAAAGAAAUCUGCAAGAGAGUGUAGCAACCUUCAUAAUUGAGGACAUGCCCAUUCCACUAAUGAAAACUGCAAGAUACUUAAUAAACAAUGCACUACGAAAGACAGAACUCAGGGCGGACAAGCCUCUUGUUGUGUUGCUUGUUUGUCUCAACCCAGUAUAUUUCUUUUUCCUGAAACUAUAUAUUUAUCGUGAUUAAGCCUUUGGUAUCAAUAUCUCUAAUCAUGUCUUUAUACUAGGGGUGAGCAUGGUCCGGGUUGGUCCGGGCCACCCCCUAACCCUAGGACCAACCCGUACAGUGUCGGUCCUCAAUUUUUAGGACCGAGGACCGACCCUACUGAGCCUGGGACCAAGGACCGGACCGACCCAAUGGGUUCGGUCCGGUUCCAGGGUCAACCCGGGACCGAUCGAUAAUUUAUUUUGUCUUGUUUUUUAUACUCCCUAAAAAAGUAAACCUACAAAUUCAAAUUACACAUCCAUCGACAAUGUGGUAUUGUGCAACUAAACUAUAAAUACCAAUACAAGAUCUCAAAUGAAGCACAAAGUAGAUAUCACUAGUCAAGUUGUGUUUGGAAAGCAAGGGCAAGCUGAGCAUUAGGGUUUCUAAUUAGGGCUUCUUCUUUUUUCCUUUUGAUUUACUCGGCGAUAAGUGAGGCGACCGGCCUGAGUGGCGAGCGCAAGCGUCAAGUGUUGAGUGGGGUGAGCGUCAACUGGCAAGCGGCAAGCGGCAAGCGUUUAGUGAUGCCAGCGGCAGUGACGAGCGUUGAGCGAGCGGCAAGUGGUGNNNNNNNNNNNNNNNNNNNNNNNNNNNNNNNNNNNNNNNNNNNNNNNNNNNNNNNNNNNNNNNNNNNNNNNNNNNNNNNNNNNNNNNNNNNNNNNNNNNNNNNNNNNNNNNNNNNNNNNNNNNNNNNNNNNNNNNNNNNNNNNNNNNNNNUGAGGAGAUUUACGGCAUAAACUUCGCGCCAUUUUGGACAUUGCGAGUCCAUGACUAUGAGGAGUCCUUGGUCCUUCGCGCCAUUUUGGACAUUGCGAGUCCAUGACUAUGAGGAGUCCUUGGUCCUCACGGUGAAGAAUGUACUCUGGAGUCUAGACUAUGGAGGAGGAGGCCGUGAAGACCUUUACAACGUAAACUUCAUGCCUUUUGGAAUUGGAUGCCAUCUGUCUAUGACUGUGAGCAUGAGGAAUCAACAACUUUAACAUCAUUUACUUAGGUUUGAAUAUAUAAAAGAAUUAUAUAUAAUAUAAUAUAACAUAAAUUUUACUUAAGUUUGAAUAUAUAAAAGAAUUAUAAAUAAUAUAAUAUAAUAUACAUGGUUGGUCCAGGGUUGGACCGACCCAAAACUCUCAGGACCGAGGACCAACCCGCACAGUGUUGGUCCUGGAAUUUCAGGACCAAGGACCGACCCAGUCCCCUUGGGAACCGGACCAAGACCGGCAGGGUUGGGCCGGUCCAGGGUCGGUCCAGGGUCGACCCUAAACCGCUGCUCACCCCUACUUUAUACCUCUUGAGAAUCAAGAAAAAAGUUGCACACUUAAAUGAUUCAAAGUUCUAAAAAUUGCACGUACGCCCACCUGCAUGGUAACCGUUGCACAACCGUUUAGCACUGCAUUGGUUGUACUAUACUAGAAAAAAAAAAAAAAACAACAACAACAAAAAAACAAAGAAAGAGAGAGAGAGAGAGAGAGAGAGAGAGUCAAGGUCCGGUGGCAGCACAAGGGCAGAGAGGAGGGAUAGUGUCUAUGGUAUUCAACAGUGCAUCUGGGUCUUUGUUUGUGAUCACACGAAGAAAAUGAACAACGAAAUGUAACUCAACAGCGAAUUCAAUAGCAGAUAUCAUGAUACAAAAUAAUCAGUCGAUGAGAAAUUAUACACAAACAUCUAUAGGGAUGUCGAUAAUAACAUCUCCUUCACCAGCACCUUCAGCCUAGCGGAAGCAAAAGCCCCAAACUCAGGAACACCUCGUAACCCCUCCCCGAUCCGCCAUCGCGGCUGCUGCCUGUCCCAGCUGCCGUCGCCGUCUCUUCUCCCUCCCUCUUUCUCUUCAUUCUGUGAGGACGAUGCAGAGAUGGAUCUCCGAAUUGGGUCUGCCCGGUGACUUGGGAAGUCCGAGUCUGAUCCUCGUAGCAACUUGAUCAAGCCAUGGAGAGAGAUCUCUCUCACUUUCGCUGUGUUUGCCUAGAAGUUACACGCGACCUUCCUUCAUUAGUGAAAAAGCCGUUCAGAUUGACAAAAUAAUUGCUUCGAAGAGGAAACACGGGGAGAGAGAGAGAGAGAGAUGGUGGCUUGGCCGAGGUGGGACGCGAAACGAUCGGCGUAGGCGAUGGCCGGGGGCGGCUCGACGACGAGGGGUGACGGCACGGGAAGGGGAGUCGACGGCGACGGCGACGCGUGGCGGAGGCUUGCGGUGACCGAUUGGUGGUAGGGAGAGACUGAGGGAAGAGUAGGGGAUUUUUCAGAGUCCGGAUAUUCUUUUUAAGGAAAAUUCGUCAAAAAAGUGAGGGCAGUUGGGUCAUUUAGGAGGGUAACCGCACCAUGCGCACACGGCGAGUGAACAGAUUUACCGGAGAUUCUCCAUAGGUUUUUUUUUUUAACAUGAGAUUCUCUAUACUUAAGGAGUAAUUUAUCUUAUAUUUUAUUCCUGGAGAAGUUGACACCACAUUUAACAUAUUAAUAAUGUCAUCAUGUCCUGAAUAUGUUAUUUUGUCAUAUUCAAAGUGGGCAUGGAAUUUGAGAUCUAACAUUAUGGGAUUUUAUAAAUGCAAAGCAAACAUAUGUGAAAUAUUUUAUCAGUAUUGACAAUUAACUUCACAUAAAAAAUUGGCUUCUCAUACAUGCACCUCAAAUUGGGAAACAAGAAGGGAGAAGGAAGAGGCAAAUGAAUCCAUUUGUAAUCGUAUUUAUUUAUUUUUUUUACCACAGAUUUACAUUUAAUUAAAUUAUGAAAUGCAAUCAUUGCGUGAAUCACGGGAUCCUAAUAUUGACACUUAUCUUAAUGCCUCCCUAGAUAAAAUUCAGCACAUUAAUAAAUAUGAACACCCACAGAAUCCAAUAGCUAAGAUGAAGUAAGCCCCUAUACAUCAGAUGCAUAUAAGAUUUUGCUCCUUCCACACGCGCAAACUCCUAGGAGGCAACGUGCGCAGAGGCAGACUACUAGAUGUGAAAACGAAAGGCCACCAGUUUAUUAUUCUAUUUGGAUCAAUUAAAUUUGUUUGUAAGCCUAUUUUACUUCUAAAUGGAGAAAUAGUGACUCCUUAAGGCCAAUUGGAAUAAUAGGCCGGUUGUCGAGGCCAUUAGGGAACAUGCGUCGAGGAUCGCUAGAAGUCAACUACUGAGAAAUUAUAUGAUAAGAUGAUUUAAGCAGUCAAAUUCACAAAAGAGAUGAUUUUAUUUGGCGCAUUAGCUCCACAUAAAGCCCAAUCGGACUCAAUUGCCAUUUGGUCUCCCGCCGUUCGCGGAAAUAAUUGUAGGCUUUUAUCAUAAAUAAAGUAUACAUUGGAAAGGUGGCAAUUAUUUACACGGGAGAUGAAAAAGAUCCACAACCCUCACAUUAAUCUUGUGAUGCAAUUAUUUCAUCCAUUACAUAAGCGGUAAAAUGAGUCUACGCAAUUAUGCCAAGAUACACAUGUACGUUUUUCAACAAUUUAUUUCUAUACAUGAGUUCACAGUUUGUUAUAGGUUUGUUAUGUUUAAAAGGAAAAAGAAAGGUGAUUGACUCGUUUCAGUUAAAAAUGAUCUUGUUACAACUAGCUACAUUUUAGGCGGCUAAACAUUCAACAAGGCAAAAUGCCAAAUAAAGCACCUUUGACUUCAGCUAUUUGGCUCUUCAUUAUCAAAUUCAUCGCGCAAAUUUCUUUGCUCAGCUUCACAAAAAUGCCCCCUCAAUUGAUAUUGCAUCUUCAUUUAUUUAUGCUUCCAUUAUGGAACUCCAUCCGGUAAAAACUGAGAAAUUAUACAUGAGCAUACACCAAAGAAUUAAUUCUUCAACAAAAGCAAACGUCGUGUCAUUAUCAACAAAGCUUGGCUUAGAAUUAUCACAACUACCAAUUUCACAGCCCUUUUCAUCAUCAUAUGAUGUCUAAAGAAAAAUAACAGAUAUAUGGAGCAUCAGUUCAUGUAUCAAACACCGUUUGUUUUGCAAAAAAUGAAUAAUUAAAAAAUUAAUUUUCUAAAAAUAAUCAUUUACCAAAAUGAAUGAACGAAAUAUAUAUUUCCCUUGUCCAUGAAAAUAUUAAAACAUAAAUUGUUAUCGAUAACAAAAAUAUUUUCCAUUUACUAAUUAUUUCAUUAAGCUAUUCUUUGCUUCAAAUAUUUUGGAAUAUUUUAUUCAUUCUCCUCCAUAAAUUCAUCAUAUAACUCGUCAUACAAAUAUGCUGGUUUUUUUUUUUUUUUUGCCUCUCCUCCUUUUGCUCCCCCAAUCUAAGGUAAUACACCAAGGAGAUUGUAUAGUUGACAUCAAAUAGUUGAUGUGUUAUAGAACAAUUGAUAUAUUUUAGUUUAUUUGGGCCAAAAUUACUUUAUCUAGUUGACUCAUAACAGGGUAAGCUUUGUGUGAUUGGACCUCACUAAGUUUGUUAACAGGCUUAAGGUUUCAGCUUUAACUUGCAUACUUUCCACGGAUGAUAGAAAUAGUGAUUAAGUGACGAAGUCCUUCAAUUUAAUUUCUCCUGGUGCAUUGACUACCAAUGACAUCUAUAGUACUUAUGUUGACUAGUUAAGAGAAAUGGACUACUAUUCCAAAUUAUAAAAGACCAAUUCGAUCAAAUCAAUUAAAAAGUGGUCUCUCCAAUUCACGUUGCCUCGUUCUUGGGAAGUCUUGAGUUUGAUCCUCGUAACAACUUGAUGACGCAAUGGAGAGAGAUCUCUCACUUUCGCUGCGUUCGCCUGGAAGUUACCUGCGGCCUUCCUUCGCAAGUGAAAAAACCAUUCAGAUCGACAAAAUAAUUGCUUCGAAGAGGAAACACGAAAGGAGAGAGAGAGAGCUGUGCAUCAGUUUUCACCUUCAAGCGAUGAGUGGGGAGUGGAGGACCAUCGCUUCCAAUCUCGCCAAGCCCAGAUACGGGCCUCGUCGGCUUCGGGCGACCUCAGAUCUGGUGUUGCCCACGACCGCGAAUAGACGGAGCGAGGCUGCCUCGAGGAGAGAGAGUCGGGGACAGAGAUGGUGGCUUGGCCGAGACGGGACGCGAAACGAUCGGGGCAGGCGAUGUAAGAAUUAUCGUGGCCCACAUGAUAUGAUUUAUUAUAUGAUUUAACAAUAAUUGAAAUGCUAUAAAAUAAAUAAUGUAUUGGUUAUGAGAAGUUACGACUCUAAUAAAACAAAGAAGUAAGACUUUUAUGAAAAUUGAAAAUGCGCUUUAAUGGAAGGCACCCGUUAAAAGAACAUAUAAAUAGAGUCCGGUCCUCUCUCCGCCUACAACGAACAACAAUAACAAAAAAGCACUUAGUAUUCUCUCCUCCAUCAUUUGAAUAAAUUAAAGUUUAGUGGGUUAAGGGAGAGAAAUCAGAUUUAUUCAUUUGAUUCGAGUUGUUUGGUUUUUCACAACGAUUAUCAUCAAAGGGUAACGCUAUGGACAAAGGUAUGUUUUCAUCCAUUUAUGAAAAUCAUGAAUAUCAAAUAUCACUGUUUUAUUAUGAAUUUCCGCAUUAAAGAAUCAUUUAUAUUAUCUAACAGGCGAUGGCCGGGGGCGGCUCUACGAUGACGACAACGGUGAUGAAGAGGUGGCGGAGGCUUGCGGCGACCGAUUGGUGGAGGGAAGAGACUGAGGGAAGAGUAGGAGAUUUUUCAAAGUCCGGAUAUUUUUUUAAGGAAAUUUGUCAAAAAAGUGAGGGCAGUUGGGUCAUUUAGGAGGGUAACCGCACCAUGUACACGCGGCGGGUGAACAGAUUUACCAGAGUCACGUGUUUGGAGUGCUUUGCAAUAAGAAAGGAUUAAAACUAAAACUAGGUACUUUGCCCAAGCUUUACGCGAUAUCAUAAUAAAUGUACUUUAAAUAUGUUUAUUUUCAUUUUUAUUUUUGUUAAUGUCGAAAAGUUCGGAUUGUGUAUAACACUUGUUUCUUAUCCAUUAGGUAUAAAAUUACCAAGUAAAAUCAUUUGUCAGAUCAAGCAUGAAAAAUACACAUGAAAGUUUUAAGUCAAAUUUAACUUUUCAUAAAGGUAUAAUAAUAAAAUUUAAAAAAUUGAAUAUUGCUACUUUCUAUACCAAUUAUGUAACAACCUGAAUUCUCAGAUUUCAUUUUCAAUUAAAUAAAUUGAGCAUUUUGUCGACGCGCCUAUAGUGCUAUUAUCUGAGUUGAUUACUCACAACAUAAUUGGACUAUCUGGGGAAGCAAUUAAGGAAUCUAAAUGCAAUAAACUUGAGAAUUCGAUCAGGAAUUGAUAUCUCGAUCAUGUUGAUCUGCAAGGGUCAUUACGGCAUUGUCGAAAUCGAUCAGAGACCGGAGAUAGGUCGAUUUAACUAAAAUAUGUGAUUAGAGUGUGGGUGAUUCCACAUAAUUGCAAAAUACUUGUCGAUCGACACUAGACCGAUUUUUCUAUCAUUUUGGUACCCGGUGUUCAUAAUUGAAAUCUUGAGAUUUUCACGACAAUCAAGAUUCGUCAAUGUGUCGAAGAUGUACAUUAUGACUCGAGAUAAAUCGAUCACAGGUCAAUUGCACCAAAAAUUCCUAAAGGUUACCCAGUAGACUAGGUCACGCUAAAAUUGCAUCGGAUUGAAAUUAACCGUGAAUUUGAACCCGAUUUCAGAAAUUGAAAGUUCUGUCGUGUCAUGAUCUAUUUUAGAAUUGUCGACUCAUCAUCCAAAAAGUUUUCGGAGAUUCCGGGAUUUUUACGGAAAAAUCGAUUUGGACGUUGCGGAAAAUAGUGAAAAUUUUGAUGGGCUAAAUUUAAAAAAAAAAAAAUUGGACUUACAAGCAGAGCCUUUGAGCGUUAGGGACUUACAGAAAAUUGUUAGGGAUUUUUCUUCAACGAAAUCGGACAUCGAUCGGAGAAUUUCGGAAAGAAAUUGAACCUAAAGUGGUGAAAUUCGGACCUUAGGAUGGGGGUGUGCAACAUUGGUAGCAAUUUGGAUAAUUGUGGAUUUAUACUUCAAAAAAAUAAUUGGGGGACAAUAAAUGAUAAACAUGAAGACUUUAAAUGCCGAAUUACGAUGAUUUAGAUAUUUUUUAUUGGACUUUUUUGUGCCCCUUUCUCUCCCCUUCGCACGCCUCAUCCAUUCCUUCUUCAUCGUGCGAAACCUCUCUCUCUUUCAUUGCAACCCACCGAACCAGCUUAUCUCACUUUCCUUUCAUUUGCUUUUUUUUUUUUUUCCUCUCUUUCAUUUUACUUCAAGCACCCCACGUGAGUCAACCUUCCAACAACAAACUUUGGUUUGUUGACCGCCCCCAUCAUCUUCGUUUUUGCGCCACCGAAGCAGCUCCGUGUCCCACGCGUCCGAAGCUGCCUCUUCUUCCUUCGCACGCGACUUCCCCCUUCGCAGCUUCUCUUUCUUUUUUUUCUUUUUUUUGUUUCGGCUCUCUUUCACUUUUCCCUUGAAGCAGCCCCUUUCUUCGAACACUGCAGCUCCUUCCUCUGAAAUUUUGAGCCCACGUUCCUCUGCCCACCAGUGGCCGAAGCCCACCGAUCUUCUCUCUCUCGCAUUGCUGUCCCCACACCGGUCAACUCCAGCAAAUCUUCUCCACCUUAGUUGACCCAACAGCUCCCUUUGUGCGCCAGCUGCCAGCGCUACCAGCCUGCUUCCAUUUGCUAGUUCGUGAGUCCAGCGAAGCCGUAGCAGCCCAGCUUCCAUGCCCGUGAGAUCCACCGAAUUAGUAGGCCCAUUCUAUGCAGCCAUCUGAAGCCGAAGUCCAGCCCAUGCAGUUCUUUUCUUCAGCCCAUUUCCAGCAGAAUUUCAACCUGCGAGCUCAGGCCCAAGUUCAGCCUAAGUUUCCAGCUCACUUGAGGCCUGUGCAGUCAAGCCCGCGAUUUUGAGGUCCAUUUGAAGCCCGCGAAGCAGCCCAACUUGGGUCCAGCCCAAAUCAAGAACAAAUCUCAGCUUGGGCGAGAUUUGUUGGGCCGGCUCUAGGCCCGGUCCAAGCCCAUUAAUGCCGCCGCAAACCCAAGUUUCGGCCGUCGUUGCAUCAUCGUCGCGGUGAACCAGUUUCUGAGAUAAACCAGUGAGUUUACGCACUAAACUCUUCUUAGUAGGCUAAUAACGUUUAAUGGGUGUUUAGAUUUAUUUAAGUGCAAUUAGUUUAACUAAUAAGUUAGUUAAAUUAGGAUAGUUAGAUAAAGUGAUUAGGUGGUUAGAAAUUUAUAGUUAAUUAGAUUAGUGUAUUGUUAUAUAGCUAGGGUGCUUAGAAUAAUUUAUUUAGCUCAAUAGGUGGUUAGAUUAAAUUUAUUUAGCCUAAGUUAGAAUUUUAGUAUUUAAUGCAUUUAUUUAAUAAAUUUUAGAAAUUAUUUAAUUAUUAAAUAUUUUUCCAGAAAUUAAGCUGGGAUAGUCGGUGACCGGAAUUUCGUGUUGAUUGCAAUGGUGUGGUUAAUUUUUGCAAUCGAGUGUUAAAUUGUGAAAUUUGAGUGUUGAUUGAAAAUUUGAUCAAUUAUUCCAAAAUUGGUGAAUUUUGACAUUUAUCUAGAAAAUCCUGGGUGUCGGGUUUUAAACACCAAAAAUGGUUUUUAUAUACUAUAUAAACUAGUGGGAUUUUUUUUUUUUUUAAAAAAAGAGGAUUAUGAAUUUUCUGAGUCCAAUCUAACCGUAUACCCACACAUGACUAUUUUCAUCGGGUGUUUUUACUACGAAUGAAAUAAGCAAGGAUCACUAUUUUAAUUGAGGCAUUUGAGUGCAAUGCACGGUGUCCUGGGCCGAAAUUAAGUGGUUGUGUGUUGGUUAAGAGAACUCGUCCCUGAACUGUGUCGAAUGGAUGUUACCUUAUGUGGGAUACCCAUUUAUUGGAUUUUGGGUCGUAGUAGAGGCUAGAUCUAUACUUCUUCGGGAAAGUCGUCUUUGAGAGACGUAACCGUGCUCAAUGGGUUAAGACGAUGCCUGGCUACGCCAGCAGACCGCCAAACUUCUACUAGGUCGUACCCUAGAGUGGGCGAAAUUAUCAAUUGGAACGCAUGUUGAGUGGAGUAAAUGCGCUGGAUUAUGGGACAAAAUUAUGUGACAUAGUAUGGGACGUGUCAUAAUAAUUUAGCCUUAUAAUGUGGACCCCUGUGAUUUAUUGAGUUGAGUAAUGCGUUUCAAUUGUUGUGUGCAUUGAUUUUAUGCAUAAUGUGUAUAAACUAUGCUGGCCUGCAAGGUGAAACUGAGGCGAGGUAAGUCAUCUAUACUAAAUGCGUGAUUGAGUGGUUAGGACACCCUUGGGUGUAUUUCCCUCCUAAUCGGGGUAUAAAGCGUGAACUCGCUAAGAUUUAUAUCUCACCCCGUCGUGGGAUAAAUUUUCAGAGUUGUCGAGUGGAAGACUUGAAGCCGAGAGGAGGUGAUUAGAAGUGUAGGUUACUUAGGACUGUUUCUUUUUGGAAAGCCAGUCUGUGUAGUCUUUUGGUCAUAGACCUUGUACAUGACUCAAUGUGUAUAUAAAAGUGUGUUUUGUUUGUGAAAUUGUUGUCCUGCUUUUUUAUCAGGGGAUUUAUUUUUACUUCCGCAUAUAUAAUAAAAUGAAAAGGGUCGGCGACUCACCUAGGAAGUCGCAAAAUUUUAUUGACCAGAGAGGGAUGGGCAUACGUUCGGGGUUCGGGGCAUGACAAAUUGGAUUCUAUUUUCAAUUUAGAAUAUGUGGAUUUUUUUUUAUUCAGUACCAUAUCUCCAAAGGACAUUUUAAUUUGAUCUCAAUUGUUGAGUUAAACCUCAAGACCAUCUCAACUUGUUCCUUGUAUAAAAAUUCCUAUGUGACAUCUAAGAUUGAAAGGAAACCCCAUUAGAAUAAGUCAAUUUUGGAUAGUUGAUCGUCAAGACUAAAAAGCAUCUAGCAUCGAGUCUUUAUCCCAUGCUCACAAUCACAUUACAUCUAUUGCUUGCUAUUAAAUGGUUGUUUUGUAGAAAAGAAAAAAGAAAGGGUAAAAGUCAUCCAAAAUCCUAAAUUAUAUUUAUUGUGAUACAUUUACUCUAAUUUUUUUUUGUGACACUAGGAACCUAAACUUGUAUCUAUGUAACACAUUUAUCUCAAAUUUGUAUAGUGAGACACAUUUAUCCAAAACUUCUUUUUGUGAUACCAAAAAUCCUAAAUUUGUAUUCGUGUGACAUGUUCACCCUUAAAAUUUGGCAUCGAUUUUAAUGUUACAAAAAACAAUCUAGAAUAAAUAUGUCACACAGAUAUAAGUUUGGGAUUUUUAGUGUUGCGGAAAAAAUUUGUGGUAAAUGUAUCACACGGGUAAAGUUUGGGAUUUUUUUUUUUUUUGACUUUUUACCUUUUAUUUAUUUUUUUCUUCUCUAUAUGGGCUAAAGAACGUAGAUCUUUAUACAUUGACAAGCAGUGAUUCACCUUUUCUCUCACCACGAUGAAAAAGGUUUCUUUCUGUCAUGCCCUAAAUCUUAAGUGUGCGCACAUCCCUCGGUGGUCGAUAAAAUUGCAACGUCCCGGGACGUGUUGCUGACCCAUUCAUUUUAUUGUACAUGCGGAAGCGAAUAAACAAAUCCUCAUACAACACAAAUAUGGGAUUGAAGAGCAGGACCGCAAUUUCACCAAAACCCAAAUUUUCAUAAACAAACUAGUCUGUCUACAAAAAGAUCGACUUUAAAAAAGAAGCUGUCCUACGAACUACUAGUCGGACACGUUUGCCGAUCCUUCGGACUCCACCUCCACAGCUUCGGAGGCUUCGGGUCCUCCACAACCCCAUCAAGAGGGUCAAUUGCACCCUUGCCUAGAGCAGUGUUGACCGCAAUGAUGGGGAUAUCAAAACCCUGAACGGGACCUUUCUUAUAUCCAUUGAGCCCAUGGUGAAACCACACCCUGAAUCGAUGAGGUACCCUUUGAGGUAAGCCCUCAUCAACCCAGAUAGUGGUCACAACAAGCUCAUGGAUCCAGUGACUCUCGAGGAUAGGGACAUCUAUACUCCACUCAAUAACCCCCCAAGGCUAUCUAAAAGAACCAGAGGGACUGCCAUCUAAGGACCUGAAAAGGUUAAGCCCAUGACCAAGGUGAGACAACGUCUCAGCAAGUCUCCCUAAACCCCAAUUUAGAAAGAAAAUACGCCUAGAGGUAAUCUAACCACACAUCACAGAAGACUUACCUUGCCUGUGUUCCUUCAUGCACGUUAGUACAAUUCAUAUCACAUAUAAUUGCAUUAAAAGCACUCAUCAAUCGGGAUGUCUCAACUUAUAACCCGAACAAUUAGGGAUGUCUCAACUUAUAACCCAAACAAUUACAGGGGUCUCGAUUAUAAGGCCAAAUCAUUAUGACACGUCCCAUUCUGUGCUACACAAUUUUGUCUCAUAAUCAGUUGCGUCAAUUUCAAUCAAUCAUGUGUCCCAAUUGAUUACGACCCAACGGCCACAGUCAACUCAACAGUUAGUAGUCCUUCGGCAUAGUUGGGCGUCGUCCGGCACCAUCGAGCACGGUAACGUCUAUAUCUAGACAGCAUUCCAUAUAGGAGCAUUGGCCUAGCCUCCAUUGCGAUGGGCAUUAGUUGACUUGGGGCAUUCCCGAAGGAGCAUUGUCUAGCCCCAAAGGCUCGUGACGGGUUCUCAUAUCAUUCAUGCACCCAUCCAAUCCCAGCCAAGACAUAGUGCUUUGCACUCAAAUAUCCCAAUUAAAAUAAUGUAUUUGGCCCACUUUCUUCGUAUUAAAAACACACGGUAAAAUAAUCAUAUGUGAGUACAUGGUCAAUUUAAACAAGAAAAAUUAAUAUCCUUCUUUUUAAAAUCCCACUGUUUGAUAUAGUCUUUAAAAAUAUUUUAGGUGUCAAAACCCGACACUCGGUAUUUUCUAAUUACAUACCAAAAUUUCAUAAUUUUAAAAUAAAUACUCAAAAUCGCAAUCAUCACUCAAUUUGCACAAAUUAACAAUUAAUUGCAUAAACUAAGCACACAAUUGCAAUCAGCACGAAAUUCCGGUCACCAGCUAUCCCAGGACAAUUUUUGGAAAAUAUUAAAUAAUUAAAUAAAUAGCAAAAAUAAUUAAAUAAAUGCAAUUUAAUCCAAUUAAUGCAAACCUAGGUCGGAAACGCUAAUUUAACCACCUAAACGGGCCAAGAAAAUUAAUGCACUUAUCUACAUAAAUAGUACAAUCUAUUUAGCCCUUAAUCAAUCUAUUCUAACCACCUAACCAUCAUAAUUAAGCAAUUAAAUCAUUAAUCAAAACUAACUAACCACCUAAGCCAUACUUAGCCUAAUCUAAUUACAUACUAAACAUCAUUAACUCCCUAGAUUGGUGAGUCCAAGGUGACGAUGAUGCAGAGGUGGGCGACACACAAGCCUGCAGCGACACCAAGCGUGUCACGCCCCAAUCCUCGACACACGCACAUCCUUCACACUUGGUCGAUUUUAUAAUGCGAUAUCCCAGGACAAUGUAUCGCCGACCCUUUCAUUUAUUAAGCACAUGCGGAAGCAGUUAAAAUCCCCAGACAAUAAAACGAUGGGAUAGAAAAGCAAGGCCAUAUUUUUCAUAUUGAAAUUUAUAACUAAACUUUUAUACAAACACAAACCAGAGCACUUCAGAACUUUUUACUUUAAACUCUAUUCACAUCAAAAUGAAGAUCUCAAAAGAAGAUAGAACUUCAGUUCACCCGGGCCGUACUCAAGGCCCCUCUCGGGAUUAUCUUCUUCUCCCAAAAAUCCUUCUUAGACUCCUCCUCCUCAUCUCCUCAGCGGGGUCCUGAAAUGAUUUCCCCAAACCGGGAUGAGACUACGUCUCGGCGAGUUCUACCCAACUAAGGCCAGAUUAGUAAACUAUUAUACUACAGGCUGCCUAAACACGCACAGGGCAGAGGACUUACCUUGGCCUCAGAUCUCACCUGCAAGUCAGUACAAUUCACAAUAGGCACCCAUUUACUCAAAACAAAUCGAACCAGUCGAUUACAUGUCACACAAAUCACUCUCCACGGAGGAGUAUUUAAAAGCGAGGCCAGGUGCAUUCUCUAGGACGACAUUCCAAGUCUCCGAGUCCACGUGCCUCGAACCUUGGGCCCACGUGCAUUCUCUCAGGCGACCUCUUCGCCAAAGUGAUACAUCAAGUCACCGAGCCCACGUGCCUUUUUAGAUGCCUGGGCCCACGUGCAUUCUCUUAGGUGCUAUCUCACCAAAGUGAUGCAUCAAUUCAUCGAGCCCACGUGCCCUUUUUACGAUGCCCGGGUCCACGUGCAUUCUCUUAGGUGCUAUCUCAUCAAAGUGAUGCAUCAAUUCACCGAGCCCACGUGCCCUUUUUACGAUGCCCGGGUCCACGUGCAUUCUCUUAGGUGCUAUCUCAUCAAAGUGAUGCAUCAAUUCACCGAGCCCACGUGCCCUUUUUACGAUGCCAAACUCUGUCACCGAGCCACGUGCAUUCUCCAGGAUGACAUACCGAGUCUUCGAGCCACGUGCAUUCUCUCAGGCGACCUUUUCGCCAAAGUGACAUAUUCAACCACUGAAUUCACGUGUAUUCUCCAGGUGAUAUUCCAAUUCACCGAGCCCACGUGUUUUCUUUCAAGUGAUUACCAAUCUACUUUCAAUACCGACAACCAAUGCCCAACAAUUUCUCAAUCAAAUAAUUAAAUCAACUCAACAAAGCAUAUAAAUGCUGAAUAACAUACUUGGCCAUUUACCAGUCAACAAUUCAAUCUCAAUCAAUUCCAAUCAAUUUAGGGUAAAUCCCUAAAAUAUCACAAUUUAUUCAAUUCCAUACAACGUGGAGCUCAAAUAAAUAAACGGACUGCGCCACGACGAUCAGCAUGAGAUUUCGGUCUUCGGCCAUCAAAAUCUUAAUUUCCGAAAAAUAAUUAAUUAAUUAAUUAAUUUCGAAAAUUAAUUAAUAAAUAUUAAAAAUUCAAUUUAGCUCAAAAUAAAGCCCGAUUAAAUAAACGGACUUCACCACGGUCAUCAGCAUAAUUUUCCAGUCCCGGGCCAUCUCAGUUGAAUUUUCGGAAAAUAAAUAAUUAUUUAAUUUAAUUCCGAAAAUUAAUAUUUAAAUACUAAAAAUUCCACUUAGGCCCGAAAAGCCUAAUUAGAGCCCACUAAGGGUCGGGAAAAAUCCCGAGGUACUUCCAAUAAUUAGUAGACCACGUCUACUUGUUAAUUGCGCAAUCAAUUUAUCUAAAUCGCAUCACAAUUGACUAAUAAUUGCUAAUUUAUUCUAGAUCUAACAACCUAAACAUAAUUAAUUAAAUCUAANNNNNNNNNNNNNNNNNNNNNNNNNNNNNNNNNNNNNNNNNNNNNNNNNNNNNNNNNNNNNNNNNNNNNNNNNNNNNNNNNNNNNNNNNNNNNNNNNNNNUGGGGAUUCGCACGAGGGGGGGAAAGGGGAGAGGAGAGAGAGAGAAAAGAAAGAAAAGAAAAGAGAGGGGGAGAGAGAAAAAGUAAAAUAAAAAUAACACCAUUUUUCUUAUUUUCUUUUCUUUUCUCUUUCCCUAUUUAUUUCCUUUCGGUCUUCGAUUUUUCCUCCGCUAAUUUCUUUCUUGAAAUUUCGGACUCGGCAAUAAAUUGAUGGACGAUGAGACGGUCCUAAAAAUGAAUUGUGACACGCCCGAAUAUUCGAUUCUCAAAACCGAAUUAAAUUUCAUGAUUAAAAUCGAUCGGAUGCGAUUUUAGUCCAAUCCAACCAAUUAGGUAGCUUUUAGGGAUUUUACCGCGGUUAUAUCCCUUAACGGCUUCACCCAAUAGGUUAGCUAACUCGUGAGUGAUCAACUCAGAGAAAAAGGACCAUAGACGCGCUGACGAUAUGCACAUUUCACUUUAUCGAAACGGGGUCGAAUUUUAGGAUGUCACAAAGCGAGGUCCGGAAGAGACCUAAAACGGGCCACGAAGCCUAACAGCCACUGCUGGCCUUCGGUUCUGUCCAAGGAUCGAAGGGGCUGGGUCGAGUGCUGGAUCGGCUAGAACAACCAAGGCGGGACGGCGGCGACUGUUGUAAUAUCUUGAAAUUUUCAUUUCUACUUUCAAUUAAAUUAAGCGUGCCUUUCGUCAACACGCCUAUAGUGCUAUUCUCAGAGCUGAUCACUUCUGAAAUAAUUUGACUAUCUAGGGAAGUCAUUAAGGGAUUUUAAUGCAUUAGACUUGAGAAUUCGACUAGAAAUCAGCUACUCGAUCGUAUUCAUCGGCAGAGAUCAUUACGGCAUAGUUAAAAGUCAAUUAGAGAUCAAAGAUAGGUUGGUUCGACAGAGAUUUGUGGCUAAACAUGGGUGAUUCCACUAAAUUACAAAAUUCUCGUCGACCGACACUAAACUGAUUUUUCUGUCGUUUUGGUAUCCUGUGUCUGUAUUUGAAAUCUCGAGAUUUUCACAACCACCGAGAGUCACCAAUAUGUCGAAGAGGUUCAUUGUGACUUGAAGAAAAUCGGCCACGGGUCAUUUGCACUAAAAAUUUCUGAAAGCUACCCAAUAACCUAGGUCAUCCUAAAAUCACACCAGAUUGAAAUUAACUGCAAAUUUGAAUCCAAUUUCAUAAAUUGAAAGUUUUGUCAUGUCACGAGUCAUUUUAGGAACGUUGACUCAGUCUCCAAAUAUUUUUCUGCAAACCGAGAUUUUGGCAGAAAAAAUCGAUAUGGGGCCGUUUUCGACCGAAAAAUGUGGAGGACUAUUUUUUUAUCGCGAAAGUGGGAUGCAAGUAGGAUCUAUUGGUGAGGAAAAAUGCCAAGUUGAUUGAGGACUCAACGGUUGAAUUUUUAGAAGCCAAAUGGAGUUGAUUCAAAGAGGAAUUGAAGUCCAAUUUGGGGAAAUUCCAAUCAAAAUUCAUAGCUCCCCCUUGGACCCAACAUUUGGACCACUCCAAGGCUUCUAGAGGAAGAAUUGGUUGCUAGAAAUUGUAGAGGAAUCCAGCUGGGCAUUGGUGGGACACACCAAGGGGACAAAGAGAUGAGAGAGAGGCCAAGGUGGCCCCCCUUAUAGCAGUCGGUUCCCCUCCUUCUCCUUCCUUCGGUCGAGCCUCCAUUUCCAGUAGCUAGAAGACUUCAAAAUUUCUAGCAAAACCAGAGAAACCGCAGCCCCUUCCCCCUUGACCAUUCGAGCAGUCCGCUGGAGCCCAGAGCCACCGUCGCACCGUUUGGCCGUCCGCCGAGCCACCGCAUGCCAGCCUCACGCCUGCACGUCUCUUGCUGUCAUCCCUACCCGUUCCCACUUCCAGUAGCUUGCCGGGCCAGGUCAGGCCACCGUCAGAGCUUCCACCACCGCUGUACGCCAUCGCCUUCGCCCAUCCAAGCCAUAGCAGCCUCAUCGUGCCCGUUUCUAGCUCAACCGACCACCAGAGCAGUCUUCUUUGCCCUUGACCAAAACCGGAGCUAGUGGGUUUUCAACCCGCUGUUUGGCCCAUUUUCGAGCCUUUCCCGGCCCCGCUUGGUGGUCCCGCUUUGGAGUUUGUUGUUCCUCUCCGCGUCCCUGUCGUUGUGGUCUAAGCAGAUCGUUAAUCAAGUGAGUUUAACUCACUAAUCCCUACUUAGUAAGUUAAUGAUGUUUAAGGGUUGAUUAAUUUAGACUAAGUAUGGAUUAUGUGAAUAGUUAGAAUAGAUUAGUGAAUUAAUUUAUUGUUAUUGUAUGUUAGGUGGUUAAAGUAUUGUAAUUAGAGCCUAGACAAGCUCUAGUAUUUAUCUAGAGUGGUUUAGAAAUUUUCCGGGCCCGUCUUGGCUUUUAUUUAGGCUUUUCUAGCUUAAGUGGUAUUUAUCGGUAUUUAAUAAUUAAUUUUCAUAAUUAUUUAAUUAAUUAUUAUUUUUCGAAAAGUAGACCGGGAUAGCCGGUGACCGGAAUUUUGUGAUGAUUGCAAUGGUGUGAUUUUUUUUUUAUUAAUUGACUGCUAAUUUGUGCAAUUGAGUGUGAUUUGUGAUUUUUGGUAUUUAUCCCAAAAUUUUAUUUAAUUUCAGCAAUUAAUUAGAAAAUCACCGGGCGUCGGUUUACAACGCGAAAAAUGAAUUUGAGGACUAUUGAAAUUAGUGGGAUUUUCAAGGAGGAAAAUAUUGUAUUUUGGCUAACGCCGGUACUCACACACGAUUAUUUUUAUCGGAAAUGAUAAAAAUGGUGAAAUGGUUAGAUGAUCAGGAUGGUAUACUAUAUCAACUUGCAGGCUCGAUAUGUCAGCUUAGAGUGAGCAGUAUAUCGAUAUAUUAUAUCAACUUGCGGGCCUUGAUAUGUCAGCUUAGAGCGAGCAAUGUACCUUAACAGCUUCUGGUGAGCAUUAUUAGUAUACUAUAUUAGCCUACGGGCCUUGAUAUAUCAACUUAGAGCGAGCAGUAUAUUAUUUAUCAGCUUAGAGUGAGCUAUACUAUCUAUUUAUUAGCUUAGAGUGAGCAGUCCUGGUUAUGAUUGAACUUUAUAGAUAGUAUGAUUGAGAUGACCGGGGAAUGGUCUUGAUGAUAUGAAAUCGGCUGAGUCGAUUAAUCGAUUGUUCAAUAUGAGUGGAUGAAUUAUUGGUUGAAAUGAUUGAAUGGUUAUAUGAAUUGUAUUGACUUGUAGGAAGAAAUGGAGGCAAAGGUAAGUCAUUUGACCCGUGCUUGUGCUUAGACAGCCCUAAGGGCGUAUUUUCUUCCUAGUUGGGUCUUAGGGGGUGAACUCACUGAGACGUUGUCUCACCCCAUUGUGGGAUAACUUUUCAGGUCCCUAGAUGGCAGCUUCUCCCAAGCAUUAACUUCCGGUAAACUCUGCUAAUCAUAGGGACCAUCGGGUAUCAGAGCUUUGGUCCAAUGGCUCCUCCUAUAGGUGGUAGGGUAGGGUGGGUGGUACUGCUCAAAUUGCGGCCAAUCUUCCUAACCGCGUGACUUUACGUUUAACUGGUAUUGACUAUAACUGCUAUUGAUCUCCCACUACACUGUCAGUAAUAGAAGGAGCAAAGAGUCUACUAUACCUUGGCCCCUCCUUCUCUAAUCUUUAGAUAAUUCUCAUGGAAUGUCUCCAAAAUGAUCGCCCGUGUUGACGCCAUUAACAGAGUCUACAUUCUAACCAGAAAAUCUUGGAAUAGGUGGUUCUCUCUCCAACUUGCUAGGGUGACGAAUUAUCCUCGUUGGCUGAGGAAUGACUCUUCUGAUUUCUUGUUUUUUCCAUUAACAGUUCCUAUGAAUGGAACACAAUGGUCCCAUUGGGUGUGCCAAAAAGAUGUUUGUCGAGGGAAGUUCCCUCGACAAAAUCUUUCAUCAAAGGGGUAAAGUUUCAACUUUAUUAUUUAAAAUGGAUUAUGUGUCACUCCGGAAAGGAAGCAACUGAUCUAAAUUACAGGCAAACAUAGAUGCAGGAAAAAAAGGAGACAAAAUAAAACUACGAUUCAAAUUAAAAGUGUGAUCAAAGAAAUAGAGCGAUUGAAAAGUAGAUGAUCAAUUAUUGAUUUGGGAAAUUGACCUUUCUAUUGAUGCCUCUUCGGCUAUUUAUAGUGGCGAUUUAUGGGUAACUGCUCUUUAGUGGUUAUCAUUUCGAUAUUCAAAAUGUUUCAGAAGCUUUGGCUCCUUAUCGAUAACCACUUUGCCAUAUCGAUAUUUUCAUUGGUAUCGAUUCCCGUAACUACUUCCUUUCUUGUCUCGCUUGCCUUGGCAAGUUCUAAUGUCACACUAUUCGAAAUCUUCGUUGUUGACUAUUGGUGUUUUGGCCCACUACCCAUGAAUUCUUGUGUGCUAGGCCUGCUUUACUCUCUUCUAUUUCCAAAGCCCAACAAGCAAAUUUUGGAUGCCAACAGAAGCACAUGCAAGAAUAUGAGAGGAAGUCGUGGAUCUUUCAAAUGUCCCCUGAAUGUGACUAAUUGACCAAGAUCUAUAAAAAAAUAUAAGGUAGUUUGAUUAAGCUAAUUAUGAGUGAAAAUAGUACUUCAGCAAACAAAAGGUAAGGUUAGUACAUUAAGCCGUUGAAUGCCUAAGCAUAACACAACUCUUAGCCAGAAAUAGUUCGACUGGUAAUAAUUAUUGCUCAUAUAGAUUCCCAACCAUUACACUUGAAGACAUUCAGCAUGAAUAGUUGAUUGCAUUCUGGAACUCUGCAUAAACAGAUGAACAAAGGUAAUGAUUAUUGCCGGAGAAGUAGAAUUUCAACUUUAAUAAUGGGAAUGCUUGAAAUUGCAAUUAUAACCAUUGACAUCAAAAGUGGAGUAAAGAUGGUGGUGAUCUUUGAUUGUGCAUCAUCAGAUAGUCCCUGCUCAAUCUUCAAAACUACAAGAAACAAAGGUGAUACAAAAAGGAGAAAUCUAAGUUAUUGCAUUUGCCAUAAUUAAUUCACUAAAAAGUUGAGUCAUCAAAUUCCCAAACUGAGCUUAAAACAACAAAGGAAAAAGAAAAGGACUUGUCAUCCGCAUAACAAAUAAGAAUUUUAAAAUAUAAAUGUCUUAUCGGGCAAAUUGAAAUAUCUUCCCUAAUUGUAAUUUAAGAUGAGCAGGAACGAACCAAUAGCAAACAAAUAGAGAAGAAAAUUGUAGUUUCACUCUCUUUUGGAGGUGAACAUUAAAGAGAAUUGAUAUAGAGAAAAUUUGAGUUAAUUGAUUGUUCAAAAUACCUCUUGUCAAACCUAAUUUUGUAUGUUGACCAAAAAAAUAAUAAUUUUGUCUAGUAUACCUAACAUUACUUAAAUAUUUUUAUGGAUCAAAGGGACUAAUUAUAUUCAUUCCUUUUCUCACCAUGAUAACCCAUGAGAAGUUUCCAUAUUGACAAUUUCAUGAACUGAGCAAAGUAGGUGAGUCACCUAAAUCUUUUAAUUAAGCAAAGUCUUAGUAAACAAUGAUACAUACCUCAUCCAUCUUUGUUGAACCUCAGGCAGUAACUUACAGUGAGUUCGCAAGAUUUUGGCACUCCCAACAUGCUCUUCAGUGAUUCACACCGAUUGAAAUCCAAUCUUUUUAGAUUUUGUAAAUUAGACAGAUCAUAUUUGUUUAAGCUUUUGAUGGAAUUACAGUUCCAAAUCCAUAGCGUCCGCAAUGAUUUCAAUUCUCCCAAACCCUGAAUCUCAAUUAGGUGAGGGAAUUGACGCAGGUACAAAUGCUGGAUCUUCUUCAGACAAGGCAAAAUGGGCAGAGUCUUAAGUAAUGGACAGUCGAAUAUCAUCAAUUCAUUGAAAUUUUGUAGUUUUCCAAACCCAUCAAAACGAAUCUCGCCUAGCCAAUAUCUUUCAAUAAUCAAUCUUGACAAAUUCUCCAAGUUGGAAAAGAGCGACCAAUCUAUGGGUGAUUGGACAUCGACUAAAGUCAACCGUUGAAGGCUAGAUGGAAGCCUGAUAAGAGAUCGAGGGUUGGCAUAACUUACAGAGAGUUCUUGUAACUGAGAGAGGGAACUCAAAUCAGUUGGAGGCAAGGUCAUUUUUCCAACCCACAGGGUCAACUUUCUUAGAGCACUUGCUCUCAAAAGCCCCUCUAUGUUGGGUUCCUGUACUGUUGUUCCGAUUAUAUCAAGAUGAACUAAAUUGGUUAGAUUGGAGUAGUCAGGGAUUGUAGUCAAUGAGUCCAAUGAAAAGCUUAACGACUUUAGACUCUUAGGAAGCUCUGGCAACUGUUGAAUUGACCUACAGUCCCAUAAAUUAAGUUUUUGGAGAUUUGUAAGCCGAUUGAUGGUUGUUGGCAAUCCACUAAAACAGCCACCUGAUAAAUCUAGAAUUUUCAAUGAGGAUAGUGCCCCAAUUUCACUUGGAGUUUCCCCCUCCAAGUGUUCACAUGAGGCACUCAACUCUUCCAAAUUUUCCAACGUUCCUAUAGUUUUCGGAAGUUCACUUAUGCGGCUAUGAUCUAGAUUUAGUGCCUUCAACUUUUUGAGAUUUCCAAUACAAUCAGGUAAGCUCCUGAUGUGUGAAAGACUCAAAUCCAACUUGACCAAUGAUUGGAGCCUCCCAAAUGAGUUUGGUAGCUUUUUUAAAUAGCCAUUUGGGAUCAUAAAAAUUUCCAACCUUCCUAAGUUCCUAAUGGAAUAAGGUAAUUCUCUCACACUUGUAUGUCUGACAUUCAACUCAAGUAGUGAUUCCAAUUGUCCAAUAGAAUCGGGGAGUUUUUGCAAUUCCCAACAUGACAAGAUUAGAUGCUUCACAUUCACUAGAUUGCCAAUCGAGUGAGGCAACACUAAAAGUUCUUGAGAAAAUAUUUCUAAGUAAUCAAGAUGUUGUAAAACACCGAUGGACUUGUCGAUCUUUCCAAGUUGAUUGCAUCUAAGGAUUAAUCUCUCUAACUUGGAGAUUGCAGAGAACUUUGGUGUCUUUCUAAGUAAUGGACAAUCCAGGAGUUUUAGGACUUUCAACUGUUUUGCUACCUAUAAAACAAUUAAGCUGAAAUUAGAAAAGAAAAAGAGUAAAUGUAAUGCAAAAAUAUGUCAUGAGAUCAUACCAUGAUUUGACGCCAUCCUCCCAGUCUUUAGUAAUAUUAAUCCCAGAAAGCUCAAGAACUGCUAGGUUCUCCAACCUAAAGUUGGCAGCAAGGAAUUUCGAUGGGCAAUUGCGCCAAGAGAGCCAUCUUAACUCGGAGAAAUGAUCCUUAAAGUCUCCUUGGAAGUUUCCAUGGUCCAAUUGAAGGAAUCUAAGAUUGACCAUCCUUGCAAAUUCCUUGUGUUUAAAUCUAUACGUUGCAUCUGGUUCAGGUGUACCGAGAUUAAGUGCCACUAUGUUCUUAGUUCCCUAGAAGAUAAAAGUAGCAACCAAUGAGUACAUGUGUCAAUUUAAGUUGACGUUAGAUUUAAAAGGUAAUGAUAUUGAUGGAUGGAGUGGACAACAUUUAGAGGUAAAACUUACCUUUUUUCUUUGCACCAAAUGGAAGGCAUCCUUGGGUAACCAUAGUCUACUACCCCUUAAACGUAUGUUGCAACUUUCCCGGUGGAUAAUAUCUCGCCCGAGGUCUCUAAGUUGGUCAUGCAUCCACAAUUCAUCGUAGUCUAUGAUCUUUAUCAGAGACAUACGUGUGAGGAUAUUGACUUCGAUUUCGGUGGGAUACCCAAAAACCGCAUCCCAAUAUUUAAUUGCAGUUGUUUUCUCUUGAUUAAUGAAGAAACAUGCAAUAUCAAGAUAUAUUUGUUGCUGAUUAGGGUCCAAUGCUUCAUAGCUUAUCAUCAACUUCUUCUUGACAUCCUCGUUCAUCACCUUCUUUAACUUAGAUAGAACAUUUUUCCAUGUAAUUUGGCAUUUUCCACGGAGUGUGGAACCUACGACGUCGAGAGCCAAUGGAAGUCUUCCAAGUGCAUUGAUUACCUUUUCUGAAAUAUCGAUGUAAUCAGCCGGAGGCUUGGCACAUCCCAAGGCACGCUCACAAAAAAGUUGAAGAGCAUCAUCCCAAUUCAUCUCAGGCAUAGUAUAGAAUGAAAAAUGUGUAGUAUCUGAGAUUGGGGCAUUGUGGUCUUCACCUUCCUUUACUAGGAAUUCAAUAUUCCUUGUUGUUAUGAUGAUUCUAGUACCCUCACUAUACCAGUUUGGCUUACCAACAAGUCUCAUGAUCUGGUCUUGGUUGUCGAUGUCAUCAAGAACAAUGAGGACUUUCUUCCCAUGGAACCUCGUCUUGAUCAAGUGAGCCCCUUCAUCGAUGAAGGAGAGGUUUAUACAAUUGAGUUUGAGGACAUCAGACAACAAUUUUUUUUGUAAAUUUAUUAUAUCUUGAGUCCGGACAUCUUUAAGAAAACAGCAAUGACCUGAAAACUGAGGGGAGAUUUGCCUAAAGACAACCUUGGCCAAUGUUGUCUUUCCAAUGCCACCCAUACCAUGAAUCGCGAUGAAUCUCACAUCAAAUGCUACUAGAUCUAACUGCUCCAUAAUUUCAUCCAUCUGAUCCUUAAUUCCCACCGAAUGAUCAGACAUGUCUGUUUGUCUUGUCCAUAACAAAUUAGAAACCUCCUUGAUUGUGAGAUUCUUAAGUUCAUCUAGGCUGUCACAUAAUAUGCAACCAUCUCAGAUUCAAAAACCACAUAUAUGGAAACUUUGCACGCAUUUCAUGGCACNNNNNNNNNNNNNNNNNNNNNNNNNNNNNNNNNNNNNNNNNNNNNNNNNNNNNNNNNNNNNNNNNNNNNNNNNNNNNNNNNNNNNNNNNNNNNNNNNNNNNNNNNNNNNNNNNNNNNNNNNNNNNNNNNNNNNNNNNNNNNNNNNNNNNNNNNNNNNNNNNNNNNNNNNNNNNNNNNNNNNNNNNNNNNNNNNNNNNNNNNNNNNNNNNNNNNNNNNNNNNNNNNNNNNNNNNNNNNNNNNNNNNNNNNNNNNNNNNNNNNNNNNNNNNNNNNNNNNNNNNNNNNNNNNNNNNNNNNNNNNNNNNNNNNNNNNNNNNNNNNNNNNNNNNNNNNNNNNNNNNNNNNNNNNNNNNNNNNNNNNNNNNNNNNNNNNNNNNNNNNNNNNNNNNNNNNNNNNNNNNNNNNNNNNNNNNNNNNNNNNNNNNNNNNNNNNNNNNNNNNNNNNNNNNNNNNNNNNNNNNNNNNNNNNNNNNNNNNNNNNNNNNNNNNNNNNNNUAUUGACAAAAUUGUAUAUGUCAGCAAAGAUAUUACAUUGUACAAUUUUGGAUAGAUUGAUAAUAUCCUCCAUUCAUUUUAUACUUUUUACACCAGUUAGUUUCUUCUUGUCGCACAGAGCUGAUAUCAAGACCUCCAGAAGUUUGGCUAAAUAUCAAGUCCUUGGUAAACCAGUCUUGAUCAACUCUUCAAGCAUUUGGGAUGAGUUUGAAGGUUAACGUAAAUAUUUAAAAAAAAAAACAAAAAACAAAAAACUCACAAAGCAGUUACCUUUUAGUAUUAAAGUUAGUAAUUUGGUACAAGACUUGGUAAUUUUGAAAUGUGGAGUAAACAAUGUGGUAAGUUGCAAAAAUAUUGUAAAUCGACAAACGAUCUAAUAAACUUAAUAAAUAAUUCACAUUAAAGCCGGUAUGCAAGAACUGGUCAGUAAAUUAAUGUUAAAAAAAAAAGUUGGUAAGAUACGAGUUAAAGUUUCGUAAUUUCAUAUGAAAACUGACAACUAUAAAACUAGGGAUGGGCAUGGGGUAUGGGAAAUCUGCACCCCGCGGUGGCCUUUUUGGACGAGGCAAAAUUCUGUCUUGAAAAUUGCCUCACAGGGAAUUUUACUCUCGGCACGGUUGGGCAUGGGCACUAAUAGGCCAGCCCUUCCUGUUCUCGAGGAUUGAAACUAUUACCGUGUUUAAUGAAGGACGGAAACAAGGGUUUAAUGAAGAAAGAUGAAAGUAAGCAUAGAAUAACGACUAGGGUUCUUUACCAAAAAAAAAAAAAAAAGCGACUAGGGUUUAUAGAAAAACUAUCACAAACUAGGGUAGAGAGUAGUUACAUAUCUCAAGGUAAUUAAAAUGAUUAAAUUUCUUAUCCAUUUUCUAGAGGUUCCUAGAUUUCUCUAUCCGUAACUACAACUACCUAGAAGUCCCUUAAUUGAAUUUUUGGUUUAUUAAGAUCUGGGGCCAUGAAUAGGUCCAUGGUUAAAGCAAGGGCAAUAACCAAUUUUUUUUUCACUUUUUACUGGACAGAAAUGGGUCCAAUAUUGGCAAACUUUAGAUCACUCGUAGAAGAAUGUUCAGUUUAAGGCUGUAGAUUUUGUCUAUGAACAAUUGGCCACUAGAGACGCCAAUGACCCCUACCCCGCUAUGAUGAAAGUAAAAGCCCAAGAUUGAUAAUACACCUAAAUCUAAGUCAGUUCUUCACAAACUAAUUAAGAUGCGAUAAGAUGUGUACUAGAAGAUUGAACAUCUAAUACAUGCAGAAAUCUUUUUUUUUUCUUUUUGCUCUUUUGGAUAAUGGCAUGCAAAGAUCUUUUUAGUGUUCGGUCUUGUAUAUUCAGACCAAAUAGGAAAACCAUGACCUAUAGCUUCCUCUUAUGGGUAUGUAAAACUAUCAUUAUGAAGAAGCUCUAUUAUUUUUGUGUAACUCAGGGGUGUGACCAUAAUUAGCCGGUUACCUCAAGUAAAACAGUAGCAAGGCAUAUGAAUUCCCUAAGGCCGAAAAGGAAUCCACAAGGAUCACUUUCUUCCUCUUGGCCGUGGAUUUUUGGAUAUUGCAAAGACUUAGUCUAUGCUAUAAUUUCCUUUUAUUCCUGCACAUUUUUACGUCUCCCUAAAGCACAUCAAACACUAACAACUAUUAACUAACACCGACCAUUAAUGGCUCGGAACACAUAAAGAAGCUCGUUAUGAGCCCUCUUAUUUUGGGCCGAUUCUUCUUCAGCUUUCAUUAGCAUAACAAAAGGAAGAAAUUUACAGGAAAACAUUGCAGGCAUAGGGUUGGGAAAAUUGCACCCAAAGUCCUUAACUUUAGCAAAUAAGUCUACUAGAAGUCCUAAAACUUGUUGUGAAAAGGGAAUCGAGUCAUAAAACUUGCAAAAACCGUAAUCAAGCCUUAAAACUUAUCAAAUUAGUUGAAUCGAGUCAUUCCGUUAACUCCGUUCAAUUAAGCUAACUGAAAAUGCUGGCGUGUCUUAUUUUAUUAUUUUCUUAAGACAUGUGGCGAUGAUGUAGCGCCCACCAAGUGCCACAUCAGAAAUAAAAUUUAAAGAAUACAAACAAAAUUAAAUUAAAAAAUAAAAAAGCUAAAAAUUUUAAAAAAGAAAAAAAAUCAAGUCGUGGCUAAGCCUCGCCCUAGCCUUCUCGAAGCCUGGGGACCCUCGUCUGGGCAUGCCAAGGCUCGCCAGGGCCGGCAAAGGCCUAGGCGACCUCACUAACCCCUCUCGGUGGCUGUGGCAACGGCCACCAGCAAGGGCUUGGCCAAGCCGUGGGGUGAGUUUUUCUUUUAAAAAAAUUUAUAGCUUUUUAUAUUUUAAUCUAAUUUUGCUUGUAAUUUUUAAAUUUUUUCUAAUGUGGCACUUGGUGAGCACCACGUCAUCGGCACUUGUCUAAUAAAAAAUAAAAUAAGACAUGUUCACAUUUUCCGUUAGCUAAUUGGACGGAAUUAACCAAAGGAUUCAAUUGAACCAAUUCGACAGGUUUUAAAACUUGAUGGCAUUUUUUGCAAAUUUUAAGAUUCGAUUGUACUUUCAUGAUAAGUUUUAGGAUUUUCAAUGCACAUAUCCUUAACUUUAUGUACGGAAUGCAAUUGAAGUUAAGAAACUUAAUUUAUUUUUUUCACACUUAUAUGGUCUUACUAUUUUAUCGAAUCUUAGAUCUUCAUGGAUAUCUUGGUUUUUUGGCAUUAUAGAUUAAUUAAUUAAGUUGAUAUACCUUAACACUAAUUGUUAUCAAAACUUAGUAUUAAAAUUGAAAAUUCAAUUUGUGCAAGAAACCUCUCCAUCUGAGCAAAAUUUCUAGCUCCCCAUUGCGUCAAAUCCAACCAUGCAUUACAUAAGGUUGGACAGCAGCAACCUGAAUCUAAUUAUUCUUUAGAGGAAAAAAAAUCGAAGAUGUCAAUAAGAAAAUAAAGUUAUGGAGAAGCAAAUGAUACCCAUGAUCUUUUAGAUUCCUUCCUUUAAUUCUGGCAACUGCUUUCAAAGCCUUCUUCCACUUCUUUACUAAAUCCUUCUCUGAGUCACUCUUGUGCUUUUGGAGGGCUUUCCAAUAUAAAUUAGUCUUAAGCUUGACAUCAUUCACAUCCACAUCAUAGAAGAUAGGGAGAAUCACUUUCUCAUCGUUAUCUUUCGAUAACUCCACUAUGCGUGCCAGCUCAUGGAGACACCAGCGUAGUUUUUGGAGAAAAUUGGGAUGUAAAUUCUGGAUUCAUUGAUCGCUUGCAAGAGGCUGCCUUCAAUCUCUUCACCAAAUCGAAGCUCUUCAUUGUCUUUGAAAGUGCAGAUCCCCGCGCGGAUCAUGUCAUUGUAGAGAGAAUCAAUGAUGGUUAAGCGGGUGUCAGGCCCUCUGAAGUUGAGGAACACCUCAUAGCCCCUCCUUGAUCUGUCAUCACGGCUGCUGCUCAUUGGAGCUGCCAUUUCUGUUUCUUUUCCCACCCUCUUUCUCUUCAUUCCGUGAGGACAAUGGCUAUUGAUCUCUGAAUUGAGUCCGAUCCUUGUAGCAACCUGACAAAAAGCAACAGAGUGAGAUCGCUCGCUUACUUCCACUACGUUCGCCUGUAAAAAAGACCAUUUAGACUCGCACAAAAUAGGAGGUUGAGGCAACAAUUGAUCAAAGACUUCGAAGAGGAAGAGGUCGUCCCGGGGAUGUUUAUUUUAGCUGAAGUGCAACAUGAUUGAGAGUAUAUGGAAGCAUGUAAUUGAUCAUAUGGAAACAGAUAGCUCAUAUGUAAUUAUCACACAUAAACACAAGUUGUCCUGUGUAAGUCACAAUUCUAUAUAGUCAAGCUAUCACUGACCAUGUCUUCAUCUUCUAACAACUUGAUAAACAAACAGAGUGAGAUCACUCACUUCCACUGCGUUUGCCUGGAAAUUGUUGGGAAAAUAUGGCUUCGAAUUGGGUAGAACAAUGAAGUCGGAUCUUUAGAGUACUCAAGUCGGACUUUGAGGCGUGAUAUUACUUUCUUUAAGGAUUUAUUUGCCCCACUACGUUGCUAAUGGUUACCGGCAAAUUUCCUCCAGGAUACAACAAAGUCUCAAGUGAGAAUACUAGAUAGCAAUUCUAGUAUUUCUCCAGGGUCUCUCAUGGGAAACAAUUAGAAACAAUGGCUGUAAUUUCUUUUGAAAGAAGACGAAAAUUGAAAGAUGAUUAUUAUUUGAUCUCAAAACAAACGUACUUAUAUAUGUCUUUCGAAUAGAGGCAACUCUUCAAAAGAUUACAAAUGAACAAAGGCAACCUUUCGGGAAAGAUUACAAAAUGAAUAAGUAUGUCUCAAAAGUUACGUUGAAAAGACAUAAGAAAUUCGAAAUUAAAUAAAUAAAAAAUAAAUGUAACUUUUCGUGAACAGUCGCACUGUUUCAACAAAACUUUAUAAUUAUUUUUUUUAUAAAAUUAAAUCCGAAUUUUCAAUAAAUAAAAUUAACGAUUGUUGGUUAGUGCCAAAUCUCGUCCACGUGCGCACUCACAUCUUUUCGAUGUGGGACAAGGCACUUCUUCAUUUGUUUUAUAAACAAAUUACCAACAAUCCCCCACUUUUGUUUAUAAAACAAAAAACAAAAAAAUAAAACGUUAAAGAUAUACAGCCAAAAUUUCCGUGAGAUUAAUAUACAUACAUAAAGGUCUCUUUCGAGUUAAACCUUUACUUAGUGCAAGCAUCUCAAAGCUCCAUCAAAGUGACAAGUAGCUCGGCUUUAAACUUGUACUUUUAUAUAAUAAAACCGGACAUACCGCACAUACACUAACCUCUUGUUUCAGCGAGAAGUUCUAUAUUACUCCGCACUAUUAUGGCCUUGUGCUUGAUCCUGUUUCAUGAGCUCUCUAGAAAGCAACCCUAACUUUCGUAAGAAGCGGCACCACUUCUAAGCUCAUAUAGGUGAAGUAUCUACCAUGUGUUUUUGUUACUAUCAACACAUUACAUGUUUGUAUUAUACUUCAUUAAGAAUUUAAUUCAACCUACAAAACGUAACGGACGAUACUGACUUCUCAUAUCAGGGCCAUGUCAGUAUCAAACAAUCACAUUCAAUAACUUGUUCUUACCCAUUAAACCUUGUAACUAGUGAUAUUCUAGAAAAAGGUCGGGUUACCAUUAUUGGUGAUUUCAAUUAAAGGAUUUUAGCCCCGUUUCUUAUGAGGUCAUUAUUACCAUGUCUCUUGGUAAAGCCUUUAUCAAAUGAUCGGCAAGAUUAUUACUUAACCUCACAUAGACAAUUGUUAUGGUACCAUCUUUAGUCAAUUGUCUCACAUAUUCAUGUCUUAGACUAAUAUGUCUAGACUUUCCAUUGUAGGUUCUACUAUAUGCUCUUACCAAAGUAGCUUAACUAUCACAGUGGAUAGAAAUAGGAGGGAUUGGGCCAUAAUUUGAUAUCCAACAACAGAUUUCUAAUACAUUCGGCCUCUUUCCCAGUUGCUACCAAGUAAUGAUUCAAAUGUCAUAGUUGAGUGAAUUAUGCACAUUUGUUUCUUGCUCGCCCAAGAAACAACACAUUCACGUAAUGUGAAAAUCCAUUCAGAAGUUUCAUCUCCCACACUUGUAAUCCAAGUAGCAUCGGUGUAUCUUUCUAAUACAUCCGAAUAAUUAUUAUAGAACAAUCACAAUUUUUUAAAAAAAAAUAAAUAACCAAAACUCUAAUAAUAGCCUUUCAAUGUUCUAUAUUUGGAUUACUAAUGUACUCACUCAACUUGCACAAAAUUAGAUCUAGUUUAAUGCAUCGCAUACAUUAAAGAUCUUAUAGCACUAACAUAUUUAAAUUGUGCUAUUGCUCUACUAGUAUUUUAAUAACCAAAACUCUAAUAAUAACCCCCACUAUUUUUUUUAAUUUAAUAUUUAAGAUAGUAUUGUUUCACCCAAAUCUUUCAUUUUGAAAAUGAAAGUCAGAUACUUCUUAAUCUCAAUGAUUCCAAUCAUAUUAGUUCCAAAGUCCCCUUUAGACAUAACCCCACUUCAAGAAUAUUCCAAGAGGUACUUAAUCGAAAAUAUGCAUCAUCAAAUUUUCAUCAUCGAUGAAAUACAUACAUCAAAAUAGUAAAUCAAUGUAAUUAUACUCUCUUGGCUCAUUUAUGCUAUUCCAUAGAAUCAAAUCUACGAGGGGCGAGGAAAACAAAUAAAACACAUUAGAACCAAGCAAGGGGCACCUGAAAUCCCAUUCAGUAUAUCUAUUUCACCUCCAUAAAUAGAGCGCUACAUAUUAGCCCAUGCAUGUAAUGACAUUCUCUAACAAUCCAAUAAAUGCGAGCAAAUCGAGUAUGGAGGUAUCAAAAGCACAUAAACUAGGAUUGAAAGGGGAAAAACAAUUCUUGGAACGGAAUCAACAACAUCAUAUAAGCCGAAACCUUCCGAAAUAUACAAUAAGAUCCAUACCUUGGCACUGAUCAGCAUCAAGACCAACGUCAUCAAACACAAAUCCAAUAGACCUGCAUGUGUCACGGACAAUUUUCUCAUAGUCUUCAUUGGCCUUGGUGGUAAUUUCUCUGAACACCAUGACCAUGUUGGUCUUGGUGCAUGUUUCACAAGCAACCUUGCUGUCGGGGUUCGGUUUUGUAGAGUUUAAUGUCUCCAUCCCCGGCAAGGCUCUUAUCAAUAAGAUUAGUCUUAUUCCCAAGUAAAAGCCACCGUGGAUAUCAAACAAAGGAAGCGCAUGCCCACUUUCUUCCUGCCAGUGAAUUUGACAAUCCAGUGAACGAGCCUCCCCAAAUAAUUUGGCAUCUUGCUCGGCUUUUGGAGCGGCAACGGAGGAAGCGGGGUCGUUUGGAUUUGCAACCCAUCAUUUUGGAGGAGCAGCUUUUGUUGUUUUAGAGAUCCAUAGCUACCAAAGCGUAUUCCCAAUGACCCUCUAGUCAUUGUUCCUCCAAACCCAUAUUUGGCGUUAUCAUCUCUCUCCUCGUUUUGCCAAACAAAUCAAAAAAUAGAUUCCAUCGAUUCAAUGAAAUCUGAACAAAAAGAAUGAACGUCACCUUUGCUUAAUCAAGCCAAAGACUCAGAGGGUGCCUCCGGUCCAUCUGCUAAACAAUAUCUUUCCCCCGGUAAGUGUUCACGUCACAUGGCAAUUUUUGCUAGACACGCGCCACUGACAAAUUUUCGUGUCUAAUUCAUCGGCCUAUUCCGAUGCGGGUAAUAAUCAUCAUUUAGGCCUUGGAUCCAGCAACAUCAUCUCACCCAUAACCACCAUUAGUAACCACGGGGCAUAAAACAUAAGACAAAGAAAAUGAUGAAUUAGAAAACGCAUUUGAUCAUUGAAAUGACUGAGAAAAUAACUAACAUGACUUAAUUCAAGUCAAAAACAAAACCAACUAGCAUUAGAGAUAUCGUGACAAAAAGUAUUAGCAAAUGGAAAACAUCAUCAGCACAUGAUCAAACACAAAACUUGGCGAUAGUGUUCGACCACACUUGAACUACUUACACAGAAUAAUCAUCAAGAAAAGUUUCUUUUCUAUUGGAAGAAUGAUCGAACGCACCGUGAGUAUGAAUGAUUUCUAUAAUCACCAGAGAACAAUUGCAAUUGUAUGGAAGUAGAGGCGCUGACCAAUUUGCGAGCAGCCUUUGCAAGAAAUAGUUCCAAUCCUCUGGUCAUUGAUAGAAGCAAUCUUCUGCGCCGUCAUUGCUCACCCAGGAGGAACCCGCAUGGGAUGAACCGGCACCUUUGUUCCCGUUACCAUGUUUGUCCCUUAAACAUGUGCCAAACGGCGGGAUCAUCAAAUGGGUUCGGGUUCCGAAUCCCGUUGUCAGACCAAGGAGUGUUGUCAUUGGACUUCUAAAUGAAUUCCGGAUCGAGGAGCAACAGAUCAUCCUCGAGACUAUGGUUGAGGUUUAGGAGGAGAUACUCAAGAUAGUCAUCGCCCUUCAUGAUCCUUGUCUUCUCGUUCAAACAACGGAACUUCGGAUCUUUCCAUCUCCGCGUCUGCAUACGCUUGAUAUAAAAACGAUGGCUUUUACGUGCUCCGCCAGAGAAAGGCGAUUCGCAGAUUUUUCCUUGCCGGUCUGCGAUCACAGCAUUGACAUCGAGCAGUGCCUCAUAUUACUCUGGACCAAAGGAUCGCUGAAUCUCCUCCCGAACAACCAAUUUGCAUCAGAGACGGAGUUGGUGGAAUUCAUGGCGACCUGGUUCUUGGUGGCGUCGUCGAUCAAUUUAUCUCAUUUUUCUGCCAUCGAUUCCUUUGUAUGCACAUCCACACCCUUCGGACAUCUUUCUCGGACGAUCAGCAUGGACGGAUGUGGGAAUACUCCAAGAUACAGAGAGACAAAGAAUGACAAAAAAAAAAAAUGCUCAGAUUUUCAAUCUUAAUGACAAAGAAACGUAGGCAAAAUUAAAGUCUACGCAAUAAUGAGAUUAUUAAACCACAUCCCCUUCUCAGAUUUACACAAAAAUCGCAAAUUACUUUAGCAGGGAUGUCUAAAAGAGCAUUUUGACAAACCAUUCUGUGCGGUUCAUCCACUUGACUCCAUUGUUGCGAAAUAAAUCCUUAAAAUUAUUGGGGAAAAUAUGGCUUCGAAUUGGGUAGAACAAUGAAGUCAGAUCUUUAGAGUACUCAAGUCGGACUUUGAGGCGUGAUAUUACUUUCUUUAAGGAUUUAUUUGCCCCACUACGUUGCUAAUGGUUACCGGCAAAUUUUCUCCAUGAUACAACAAAGUCUCAAGUGAGAAUACUAGAUAGCAAUUCUAGUAUUUCUCCAGGGUCUCUCAUGGGAAACAAUUAGAAACAAUGGCUGUAAUUUCUUUUGAAAGAAGACGAAAAUUGAAAGAUGAUUAUUAUUUGAUCUCAAAACAAACGUACUUAUAUAUGUCUUUCGAAUAGAGGCAACUCUUCAAAAGAUUACAAAUGAACAAAGGCAACCUUUCGGGAAAGAUUACAAAAUGAACAAGUAUGUCUCAAAAGUUACGUUGAAAAGACAUAAGAAAUUCGAAAUUAAAUAAAUAAAAAAUAAAUGUAACUUUUCGUGAACAGUCACACUGUUUCAACAAAACUUUAUAAUUAUUUUUUUUUAUAAAAUUAAAUCCGAAUUUUCAAUAAAUAAAAUUAACGAUUGUCGGUUAGUGCCAAAUCUCGUCCACGUGCGCACUCACAUCUUUUCGAUGUGGGACAAGGCACUUCUUCAUUUGUUUUAUAAACAAAUUACCAACAGAAAUUACUUGCGGCCUUCCUUCACAAGUUAAUAAAAUAAAAUAAAAUAAGCAUUCAGGCUCGCGCCAAAUAGAAGGCCAAGUUGAGGAAAUAAUUGAUGAAAGUCUUCAAAGAGCAGGAGGUUGUCCUGGAAAUAUAUUUUUUAACUGCAUGUUGGUUAAAGUGUUGGAUGUAUUGGACAACUUGCCAUUACUUUGUCAUUAUUCUUCCUUUUGUAUGGAAGUCACCUGCGGCCUUGCUUCAUAAGUUGAAAAAACCAAUUCAGAUUCGCACCAAAUAGGCAGCUAAGGGAAAUGGUCUGACCAACUGGAUGAGUGGAGUCCUCGAACGUGGUCGGUGCAUGACCCGAGACUCCAUGUAUGUGAUAAUUUUUUAAUAUGUAUUGUAAUGUUAAAAAAAAAAAAAUGGCUUUCCGGUGACACCAACUCCACUUUUUGAAAAAUUUGCAUCCAUUCAUUGAAUGCCAUGGAUUCAUUUUCUGAAUGUUGACUUGCGACAUGAAAUUUGAUGAUUGCAUGUCGUUGCAUUAUGAAGGAAAUAUUGUAUUUUAAUCAAGUACAUCAUGAUUAUGCAUGUUGUCGCGGCCCAGCUGAGGUGAAACUUGAGAGAAUUCAAUUAAUUGCUAGGCGGAGACAUAUAACUCUCUUGCAACUCGGCGCUUACGCUUCGUAUGGCUCACCCAAAUCCUAUGGACCACAACUUGAUUUCUCUUUUAAUGUAUGAUUGAAUUUUGAUCAGAGCUGUCACUAAUCUAUUCAAGGCCGGUUGUGAGCUAAGUGAGGAAGAAGAGCUCGUCCUACUUCAGCAAAUCAAAGAUUUUGGACCGAGGAUUUGGUUAAGUUAGUUUUGCCUAAUGCCACCACCAGUAGCUUUUUUUCUUUUAAUAAAAAAUUAUUUCAUUCAAUAUAUUUUCAGUUUCUAUUUCUUACCAUGUAUAAGUACUCUUACAAUAAAUUUAAACAAUCAAUGAUGAAGUCAAAGAAAAAUAAAGAACAUAAUAAAGCAACUCAAGCAGUAUCGGACAAAACAAUACAACGCGCUUUGAACUAUUCAUAGGAAUAGACUUGCACUAUUCUAAUAAAUGAAAAUUUCCUAAUUUAUGCCAUGAGAAAUGAAUUCUGAAUACAAUAUGACAAAACUAGCAAUAAUAAAAAUUAGUCUCAUCCUAUAAUGUACCGCGAAGAAGGCCUAAACUAAUCAAAAUGCUUCUUUUCGUACUCUUUUUAUAAUAUAUAUAUAUAUGAAAAAAUUAAACUAAACUUAAUUAAAGGAAUAUAAUAAACGCGUAAUCAGAAAGAGACGACAUCUAAACUCUAAGCCGGAAGGGAGUAUGGGGGAAAUUGAUACCUAUUUGAACAUCUCUGUUUUCACGUCUGCAGAAAAGACACGUGAAUGCAAACUCAUGUAUAUGAAAAUGCAAUAUGCUGGAAUUUCAUGAAAAGUGACUCGAAAUGUGUAACUAUAUUUUAUGUGAUGCUAAAACGGACUAAUAAACAAAGGGGGAUCCCCGAGUACCGCUUCGGCGAAGAGCAAACCAACCGGGAUUGGGCUGGAUGAACAAUGUUCAGACAGAAGACGGUCUGGACAAUGGACAUUCGACCUAUCCCCGAGUUUAAAAACAGACCCGAAGCGGGCCUUGACAAUCCUAGAGCAAUUACAAACCAAAGGGACCAUCGAGGACCAACCUUGAGAGUCUCAAACAGACCAAAAGUGUUAUUAAGUAUUAUCAAACUCAAGUGAAGUCAGAGUCUGAAUAUUGACAGUAAUAUGAUAAUAUUCACUAGCGUGCAAAAAUAAUAAACGAAAGUUAAGAAAUAGAAGAAAUUGCACAUAAGAUUUACAAUGCUUCGGCUUAGAGUAAACCUAUAUCCACUCUCCCACACUGACAACCUACUAGCUGAAUUUCACAAGAUGUUAUAGAAGGGAGUGAUGAUACUCAGGUUUGUGAUAUACAAUCACUCUUUCAAUGCCUCUCAAGGAUUACAAUUUGUAGCUCACGAAAGGCAAGUACAUAAGAUUGAAGUUCUCUUGGACUUUGAAAUUUUUAAUUCUGACCUCUCUCUUCUCUUUGGUACCUUGGUCUUCUUCUAUACUCCUUCACUUCUAAUCUAAUGUUGGACAAUUUUUAGAGAAAUAUUAUCCAAUCAACCCAUUGGACAAAAAAGAUUGAGUAGCCGUUGAGGGAUAAGAUUUUAAUCUCCAUCUAUUUUGUUGCCCAUACAAGCAAAUAUUGGCUUCCAUAAGUAGAGUUCUUCAAUGAAGGAAAGCAGCUUACCUUUGGAGUGACUAUCAAUCAAUCAAGAUCAUUUGCAUAGAGAUUUUGUUGGCAAACAGUCUUUAAAAUUGAAGAUCAGUCAAUGCAUUCUAUUUUGGAAAUCUAAGCCAGGUCACUAGCUAUGACGAUAUAAGAAGUGGGGUUUGUGUCUAAACAUAUCGUCAUAAAUAGAUUUCGUAAUAUGAUAUUCAAAUUUAGCUAAGAAUCUAAAAACAUCAAGUAAUAUGAUGAUAUCUGUGUAUAAGCUAUUACGUUGAUGAUAUUUCUACAUAAGCUCUGUUGAUAUCCUUACUCUUGCUCUGAUGACAUUUGCAUAUAAGUUUUGCUAAUAUCCUCACUAUUGCUUUGGUGAUAUUCAUGCAAUAAUAUUGAUGAUAUCCAUGAAGUAAUUGUCUUAAACUUCAAAGGCGAUACACAAACAGCAAUAGAUAGAUUCUGAAUGUGAUCAAAAUAUAUAUAGAUUUAUCCUUCAUGAGUAGUUCCUAAAAUAAAACACUUAUGCAUUUACCAAUAUCAAUAUAACCUUUGCUGAUAUCCUUAAUAUUUCCCAUUUCCGACGUGAGGUUGGUACGCUUGUGGGCCCAUAUAGUUAGGCAAUACUUAUUGGCCUUUUGUGCGGGCAUCUUUGAAACGGGGUCAUGUACGGAGGACUCCCCGCCUUGGUGCACUUUCGCUUCCAUCUCUUCGUUUCUUUUUUAUUUUUAAUUUGGUUUUAUUUUGAUAACUAUUUCUCUUUUCUUUUUACUUUGGCUAUAUGAGCUCGCAAGGAAAUGAGAAAUGAGAGAGAACCUUUGUUCCUAGCUCGAUCAUGAUGGCUGGGAGUCUCUUUGAACCCGAGAAUGGCGCUAGUUGAGUAUGUAAUGUAGACACCGAAGAUUUGAGCAAAGUUGACCGAGAGUCAAACUUCAUUAAAAGUUGAGUCGAAGGGCAUAAUUGGGUUGUACUUGUCUAGAGCUUUCCAAAUAUACCCAAUUUUCCCAAAUUGAACGGCUAAUCUUAAGAUAUCAAGAUCAGAAUCACAAAGAUCAGAAUUUUAUGGCAAAAAUAUUAUAAACUUUUUGCUAACUUCAUCCAUUUGACCUGGCUGCCCAAAAUCCACAAUCCGAGGUGGACAACAUUUUAGCUUUCCGCGUGGGGAAGGAGAAGGGGGGGUGUUUUGGGUUCAAUUGUACAUUAUACGGAAAAGUUAUGCUCGCCCAAGUUCAAUCAAAUUUUGGUAAAAAAUGCGUAAACAUUAAUUUUUGAGAUUUAAAAAAAAAAAAACAAUGUUGAUGCUCCGUCGAAGAGGACAAUUACUGGAAUAUGUACUACUUAUUUAUAAAACACAUUUUUAUCCUAUUCGUUGUUUAAUUCAAUUACUUCGGCUAAGUUUAAAUUAAUUGUUCUGCCUAAGCCUACAUCCAGAUAUAAUCAUUUUUAGCUUUAAAUGUUGACACAAUAUAUACAUAGCACAGGGAAAUAACACGUAAGUAGGGGAUGACAUGUAANNNNNNNNNNNNNNNNNNNNNNNNNNNNNNNNNNNNNNNNNNNNNNNNNNNNNNNNNNNNNNNNNNNNNNNNNNNNNNNNNNNNNNNNNNNNNNNNNNNNNNNNNNNNNNNNNNNNNNNNNNNNNNNNNNNNNNNNNNNNNNNNNNNNGAUUUUAGUUGGCUGACCUUCUUCGAAGUUUAUGUACUUUAAUUUAACUUAAUGGUUCAAAAAAUCGAAAGAUAUUGGUUAAAGUUUUCUAUAUUUUUUAAUUUCAAGUCCACGGUAAUGUUAAUCUUUUACCCAAUCUGAGUUUUGCUUUGCAAACAAAAUGUACAAAAAGGAUCCCUUUUGUUGAGCUGAGAGGGUCCUGAGAGAGAAACUUUAGUUCAUUCUUUUUGUGGAAAUUGUGAAGAAAAUGCAGUUCCUCCUACAUAAGGAGAUCAAUAAAGUUGAGAUUUUCAAAAAAAAUUAAUAUUGAAUGAGGGUAUUUAUGCUUUUUGAUGAUAUCAACCUGAUUUUCUUGGUAUUUUCCAGGUCUUGAAAUUGCAAAACACGUCGUGCGUGUGAACACACGAACAGAGGAAUCUAUUUGAUGUGGAAUUUGGCUGUGUGCAAACGAAUUGACUAGACAAACAUACUUAGGUGCUUUUGUUUUUGCUUUUGCUUUCACAAGAGGGUCGGACAAAGACUUGAGGAUGGACUUGCGUAUAUUUUAAGCAAAGAAAACUUAUUUCAUCUUUAUUUCUUAAGGAAGUUCACUCUCUCUCCUAACUCAUAUAGACUUCAUUGGAUUAGUCUUGCUAGUACUCAGAUCCACAUAAAUCAGGUCCAUCACAAAAUUGCUAAUCAAAUAAAUUGUACAUGGAUCACCAAAAAAUAUAUGGAUGUGAUCACAAUGGGUCUACAGACCAUGAUCUAUGCAACUAUUUUCAUGUAAUGGUUAAUUGAUUAACCAAUAUUAGUCAUAAUGCAAACUGUUGCAAUUUGUAAAAACUUGAAAAGCUUUAUUUCACAAUUGACAUCCAUUACUUUGUGAUGUAACAAUUGGGGACCCUCCUAGAAUUCGUUUUGGAAAGAUCGUAGAAACAUCCACGUAAGGACCAAAUAUUUUUUUCUUUUUUCUUUUUUCUUCUUUUUUUAGCAUAAUUUUCUUUCUUAUUGGAGCCAAACCCAGACUUUUGACUUAAUCAUGGUUAAAAUUGACUGCUUUUCGCCAAUGUCAGGAAUUUAAUCUAGGCGAUGACGUCUCUAAUGGAUCAAUGGAUUUGAACCUUUCUCUGGCUCCAUUGAAUGAAGUCUAGAUUUAUUAUUCACACACGCACAUACACAUAAAAUGUUACCAUGUCCUGAACAUGUCAUUAUGUCUUUUUUAAGAUGGGCACCAAGUUUGAAAUCUAAUAUUAUGCAAUUGUAUUGAAUCACUAUCCAUGUGUGCAGACAUCUAAAAUAUUUUAUCAAUGUUGAUUAUUAACUUAAUAGAAAUAUUAGGCUUCUCAUACAAGCAACUCAAUUUAGGAAACAAGAAGUGAGAGGAAAGAGGCUCGCGAAUCAAUUAGAAUUGCAUCCACGAUGGACUAGUGGUGGUCCUACUUACGUUAUGCUAACUUAGCUAGAAAAACCUAUAUUUAUCACCUAAUUUUCUGCAUUUGUUGCAAAUGUUUUGUAUGUGUGAUGUACUUUAGAUCGGUAGUAAAGAGUAGCAUAAAUUCAUCACAUGGAACAACUUUUCAAUGCAAGGAUUCAGCCUCUACCUCUUGUUCUCCCAUUUUUCUUAUCUUUCUCUUGUUCUCUCUGAAUAGAGCAAGAGUUCCCAUUGGCAAGAUAGUAUCUCCUGCAAGGGUUAAUUUCUACACACGACUCGACUGCAAUUGGGAGUAUAAUUUUAAAUGUCAUUUUUUAGUAUCAACUUUUAAAAUAUCAAAGUUGUGACUAUUUGAGCUUUCUACACAGUAGUGGCGUGGGUACUGCAUUGAUUGACUUAAAAUAAACAUCUCAACAACUAGGCUUCUUGCAAAUAUCCAGCUCAAAGCGUGAGAAAUACUUGUCCAGACCUUGACCCUUGGAUCACGUGCAAUCAUAAUCAUUAAAAACUCAAGGGAGUUCUGUAAACCCAGGUCACUCACAGCUAUGGUUGACUCCAGGUCACACUGAUUGUGCUUGAACAAUGUCAAGACAAAAAAUUUAACCCCGAAAUACACGCAUAUGUAUAUGUAUCAGCAUCACAGUGGCUCCUCCUGCACAUAUGACCAGACAAAAAAGUCUCCUCCAAAAUCAAUGUAAAAGGAUCGUUGUCCAAUGACUAAUGAUUCUUGGAAACUACUGGAGACAAGAAAAAGUAGGGCAACUUAGGCUUUGUUCAUUCGUUUCAUGGAAAAUGAACAAGUCAAGAAAAUCAUUCUUUGCUGUUAAAAAAAAACACUUUCAAAAGUGAAGAAAAUAUUUUUUACAUUUCAAAAAGUGCAAAACAUUUUCCAUAAUUUCUUUCACCUCACUUUCUUUCACCAAACACAUUUUCUUUUUCUUUUUAUGUUUUCUUUUUAUUUUUUAUUUUUAAAAAAAGUGAGUUUUUAAUUAUUUUUUCUUUUUCUUUUUCUUUCCUUUUCUUUUUCUUCUUCCUUGGUUGGUCGUUGGCCACAGGCUAGCUCGAGCCUUGCCACAAGUCAGUGAGGCUCAAGCUCACUAGAUACCGGCUAGGCUUGAGCUCGCCAGCUUAUGGCAAGGCGAGUGAGGCUCUAUCUUACCUAAUCCAAUGAGCUCAAGCUCACCCUCACCAAAUUUGGCAAGGCCCAAGCUCGCCUAGCUUGCCGGAUCUGAUAAGGCUCGAGCUCGCCCGACCCACCUUAGGUGAGCUCGAGCUCGCCAACCUUGGCGGAGCUUAGGCUUGCUUGGAUCGACUGAGCCUUGAGCUCGCCGAUCCAUGUCUUGGUUAGUCACCAAGUAGCUAGCCAUCAUCAAGGCACGUGGCGGCAGAGGAAGGAGGAGGAAGAAGGAACAAGGAAGAAGAAUGAAGGAAAAGAAAAAGAAAAACAGAAAAAAUAAUAAAAAUAAUAAAGAAAUCAUUAAAAAUUCAAAAUUAAAAUAUAUAUAUAAAUUAAAAUUAUUUUUCUGGUCAAUUUAGAAAAAUUCAAAUUCAAAUUUUUUGGCAAUAUUUCCAACAAAAUCAAAUCAAAUACCGAACAGUGAAAAUUUCCACUUCAUUUUUAAGUUUCAGUCGAAUACCAAAAAAUAUUGUCAUAUUUUUGGAAAAUACUUUUAGUUUUUGCAAAACAAAUGGAGCCUAGUGAAUGGACAAUGCAAUCAAGGUCAGUGACCGAUGGUUGAUGGUUUUGCAUGGUACUCAUUGUUGUGACUUGUCUGCAGGGAAAAGAAAGUCGUCCUUCGAAAGUGACUUGUCUGCAGAAAAAUCAUUGUUGUGACUUGUCUCCUUUCUCUUGAUUAUUAUUCUAUUCAACUAGAAACCGAUCAAUUAGGUUUUUCUAGCUUCGCUAGCAUACCGUAUUUUAAUUCAAGCUAUGCAAUUCGAACAUGGGAUCUCAGUCUAAACGCUUUUCCUAGUGCCUUUCAUUUAGACAUAUAUAGGAUUAUAAUAACAUAAGAUGAUGUAAAGUGGUUUGGCUCCAAAAACAUACUAUUUUGCGCGACCUCUAAGAUAGCAUUGUGGAUCCCCUCUAUAUUUUUUGUCUGUUUUGGUUUUGGAGAGAAAUCUCUUCAUCGAUUUCUAGGCAAAAAAAUAGCAGACUGUAAUUGCUUUUGUUCUGCUUAUUAACUUGAAAAGGUUUAGCUUUUCUCGGCCGGAGCCACACUUCCAUUCUGCUUUUGCUAAGCCAAACAAAGUAGUUCUUAUAUUUAAUCCAGAUUCGCGCUAAUUGGCAUGAUCGAUUUGCCUUUAUUCCACUUACUACUUCUUUUUUUCCUUUUGUCAAGGCAAAAUUGUGAAAUGUAAAUAUGGCGCCAAGUCGGCUUCUGCCCUUGAGAGUCGUAGAUUGACCGUAAUGCAUGAUGUACAGACAAUUGUUUGUGCAAUCCCGCAAAAUUUUUCCAAAUCUACUGAUGGCCUCUGCACUUUAUGGCCUUGUUAUAUUCAUGAUGUGGGAAAAAUUACCGUAGAUAAGAACUAACAUUCUUUUUUUCAUGGAAAAGAAAAUGUAUCUCGUUGUAACUUUAAUUUACAAUUCCCUAUUAAAUUUUUACCAUAUACUUUUGUCCAUUAUCUGUUCGCGCAAUAACUAGCAUGAGGGAGAGAGAGAGAGAGAGAGAGAGAGAGAGAGAGAGAGAGAGAGAGAGAGAGAGAGAACAAAAAUGGAAAAGAAUAGAAAACAAAGACAAACAACCGUGAAUCCAAGUGCCUACAAGGCCGGAGGCUGUAGAGAGUGAUGGAAGCAGAGCUCGACGACUGGAGACGAUGGCCGAAGGUGAUAGGCAGAGUGGAGUUCGAGGGCGGUAGAUUGUUGUCGAUGAAGAAAGUUAAGCUUUGGAGGUGUGAGUGCAUUCAGGAACAAGAGUACUGCCGGUCCAAUUUUGAGGAUAACGUUUGUGUGCUUGGUGUUUUUUUAAGAUAUAAAGUGGUGUUUUGGAAAAUAGAGGAUGAAAAGUAGUAGUAAUAUGAAUAGUGCGGGCAUAUUCUAGUACUUUCCUAACAGAAGAAUAAGAGAACUUAAUGGAAAUUAGUGCGCACUAGGUUGGUCGUGUAUAUUUUUUACCUUCUUAAAAGAAAUAAAUCUCUUUUACACGCUCUAUGUGUAUAUUCUUUGAUCAAAGAGAUAGAUUAUUAUCUUGUAAAAUAUUUUGAUUGGAAAAAUUCUCUCAAAUGAUGAAAAUUGUCAAUGACAUCAAGCAUUCAAGAUCAAAUGGUUAAGUUAAGAAUAGCAGUUCUAAAAACUCCCUAUGAAAUUAGUUUUAGUCCGAAACAAGUUUUUCCAUCUUUGCGAGAGGACCCAUUUUCCAACUUGAGUGUUCAAUGUCACUUUCACUGAGAUUGACUUAUUUAAUUGAUCAAUUACACUGAAUUUCGUUUACCUUGCAAUUCACUAUAACUAAUCUUCCUGGUAACUUUACACACGGUGAGCUAUGUGGCAUUUUUGGCCAUGUAUGCACAAAAAAUUAAAAAUUAAAAAUAAUAGAAAAUAGAAAAUAAUUAACGCAGAGAGAGAGAGAGAGAGAGAGAGAGAGAGAGAGAGAGAGAGAUGGCAUUUUUUGCCAUGUAGGCAAAAAACUUGAAAAAGGAUAGAAAAUGAGAGCGAGAGAGAGGGGCUUAACAUCACUUUCCACAAGGUGAUUCCACUUAAAAAAUCUCAUUACUAUUUUUUUGAAAUGUCUAAACUUUAAAUUGGCUUCAUCAUUUGAAAAGUCAAAAAGUGUUGGUUAAAGUGUUGUAUAUACUUUAAUUUCAGGUCCAUGUAAUAGAUCCUUUUUAUUGAGUGAAGGAGUCGUGAUAGAGACUUUAGCUAAUUCUUUAUGGAAACCACGUGGACAUUGUGGUUCCUCCUUCACAAUGAUUCCAACAAAGUUGAGAUUUUUGAAACAUUUUAUUCUUGAAUGUGUAUCUUUGUGCUUUUUUUUUUAUGAUAUCAACCUGAGUUUCCUAGUAUUUUCGAGGAACUGAAAUUGCAAAACACAUUGUGCUUGUGUGAAAUUGACUAGACAAAGCAUACUUCAAUGCUUUCUCUUUUGCCUUCACAAGAGGGUCAGACAAAGACUUGACGAUGGACUUGUGUAUGUUCUAAGCAAAGACAAAAGGUCAAAAAUUUGUUCUUAAUUCGAACUAUGCAAUUCAAUUAUGGCGUGAAUCCUACAAUCCCAAUCAAGAUAUUUUUCAUAGUGCAUUUCUAUUUGGACAUACACAGAAUAAUAAUAACAUAAGAUGAUUUAAGGGGAUGAUUCAAAAAAUAGAUUAUUUCAAUUGGCACAUUAGGUCCACUCAAAUUUACAAAGCAAGCAUAAUGGAUCUCUUCCUUCAUUUCUAGGCUAGAAAAAACAUUGAUUUUGUUCUGGUAAUUAAAUUAAAAAGAAAAAGAAAAAGAAUUAACUGUUCUCAGCUGGAGCCAAAUUCCAUUCUACUUUUGCUAAGCCAAACAAAGCAGAUCUUCUAACUUUCAAUCUAGAUUCGCGCUAAUCAGCGUGAUCAAUUGAUUCUUACCUUUAUUUCACUUACUACGCUUGAUGUACAACUAAAAUGCCAAUUGUUUAUGUUUGGUGUUCACACAAUCUUAAAUUUUUCAAUUAGAAUUUUGUUCAUGACCACCCUCCCCCCCCCCCCCCCCCAAAAAAAAAAGAUCUAGCUCAUUAAUAUUCUAUUUGAACGGCCCACAAUACUAAUCAAGUUUUUAUUAUUUUGUUCAGUAAAAUAUUUGAUAGUAACAAAAAAAUAAAGGGUGAGUUAUUUAAGAUUUGUAAUUUACAUAUAUAAUUACAUAAAUGCAAAGGAUAAUAUUUGAACUUAUUGAGCUAAAGCUUGAACUCAUUUUAUAACGGUGAUUGUAUCGAGUCAGACUUGAGCUUGAGCUUGAGCUUGAUAUCUUGAUUUUCUAUUGGUCAAGCUCCAACUAGAAAUUGAUUUCUCUAUAACUUGAGUGGAGUUUUGAGUGAUCUAAUAUUUGAUAGGAGUUGAGCUCGAGCUUCACACUAACGGAGUAUUAUACAUCUGAACAUUGGUAGGUUAGAGUGCGAAGCAAUGGUACUGAAAAGAAUAUCAAUAGUCGUUAAAACCAUAAAUAAAAAUUCAUGUCAUUCUAGAACUAUGUAGGGGUUGAAAGACAAGCCCAUGGAAAGAAAUAUGAACAUGCUGGCGACUCUCGAAUAUUUGUGCUUAAUUGUUUCUACGAGUAAAAAAAAAACAUCUCACUAACAAAAAAUAAAAAAUAAAAACUUUAACUCAGAAUAUACAAGAAGGAUAAUUAUUGCAUGAAAACUCAUUAAGAGGAAGUCCGCUGACAUAAUGCAACUCUGGCUUCACAACGCUAUCUUCUUCUGAACUGAAGCACUUAAACUGUCUUAGAACAUCAACUUUUAACGUAACCCCACUUUGUCCUUCAAAUCUCCACGAGCUCUUCAUAGUAAAAAGGCAUGCUGCCUGAUACCCUCAAUAACAAAUUGAAAGUAAAAUGAUUGCUUACCGGACAGACCAGACCAGUCAUGUAUAAUUGUUUAGGGCUGGGCAAUGGGCCAUGUCAGCCGUGUGGUCCAGACCCGUUGUGCUCCUAGGCCAAAUCAAGCUCAUGGUCCCUAAUUAGCCGAUCCUGGCCCGACAGAUUUUUGAUGGACCAGUUGAGGCCACAUGGGCCAAACCUUAAGGAACUUUGGGGCUCCAAAAAUACAGUCGUUGGACAGUCACUUAUCUAGUGACCCAAUCCGGCCCAACGAUGGGCUACUCACUUGGUCAGGGAAUGGCCGGAAGGCCCCCAAUAGUUGAUUCGGAUUUUCAUUAAUUUUCCUCAAUUACUUUGUUUAUUAUUCACAUUUUUUUUGGUUUAAAAAAAUCAUUAAAUUAAAAACAACCCAAGCUCGAGCCAAUAGUGCCUUGGCCCGACCUAGUGUCUACUCCUACUGGCAAUUGGAGUUCGGGUCAGCAAUUUAAAGGCAAAUCGAGGGAAGACGUGGUGGAUAGUCCUAAAACCCUAUCGGCAACUGUAUUUACUUUUGCGAUAGGUAAGUAAGAAUGUAAAGGAGGAGGUGGUCACAAAUCCUCAAAAUUCUCUCCCAAAAUCCCUCGGGCUUCUCCAUCCAAAUCCUCAGUUUAAAGAAGCAGAAGUUGCAGCAGCAGAAGAAGAAAAUCCAUCGGAAUGUCGGAAUGUCAGCAUCAACAAUGAACAAUAUGGUUUAGCAAUCGUGGGCAUCAAAUUCAGUGCUCCUCGAAUUGGCAGUCAUGGCAACGAGAAACCUCUACGGUCUUUUCUUCUUGAAGUACAAAUCACAGGAUCUCUUUACAACCUCUAGCCAUGGUUCCGAAAGUUUAACAAAGAAAGUCUUUGAUACAAACUUCUCCAUAUUUCCAUAUGGAGAAAGAAUGAAACUUAAGCUUUUUGAAGGAAAUAUAGCUCUUAUGAUAUUUCUUAAGUACUUGAAGUUGUGAAGGACAUAAAAAAGUAAUAAAAUAAAUUUUUUGACUAGGAACUAGCCAGAUUUGUCUCAUCUGCAAAAGUUGGUGCCUUUACUUGUCUCUCUUAAAAGCAGAGGUUAUGAUUGUCCUAAAAUGUAUAGUUAAUACCUCUUAGAAGGAAAAGCAUGUUAUACAUAAGACGUUGUGUAAGUAUAUGUUGUUUAUAGGAUGGAGGGGCCUAUCACCAUCUUCUGUUACCAUCUAAGAAAAUGUUGUCCAUGGUCACCUGCAACUUUAUAAAACUAAAAGAACUAUUUGCUGUUGUAAUUAUGGUUAUAAUUAUGGUUAAUAGAUCAACGAAAGCCAAUAAAUUAAGAUACAUCUUUUUUGUUCAUGUAUCUCUUUUGGAUUCAUGAAUUUCCUAAUCUUUUAUGUUCACGUAUUUAUUGAGUUCAUGAAUUUUCUAGAUUCAUGUAUCUUUUAGUUCAUGUAUUUAUUGAGUUCAUGAAUAUCUUGAAUUCACGUAUCUUUGGAUUCAUGAAUCUCUUGGAUUCAUGUAUCUCUUUAUUAAUGAAUCUCGUGGAUACACUCGUCUAUUUAAUUCAUAUAUCUCUGUAGUACAUAAACUAAAAAGCUCUAUAAAUAGAUAUGAGCAUAGAGCUUCAUUAGAGUUUUUAGUUUUUGGUUUUGGUUUUUUUGAAUCGAUUCCAAAAAGGCUUUGAUAUACUUUUCUACUCUUCUGUUUUAUCUGGAUGUGCUGGUUCAAUUGAACGGUUCGACUGGUUCAAUUGAACGAUUCAACAGAGUCCUGUUUGCAUAGUGCUAAUCCAAAUAGGUUCGAUGCGUUGUAUCUUGGGAGGCAUAGUUCAUGAAUCUACGGGGCACCACUACGGGGCACCUUUGGCAGGAACUAAUCGCCUUAAGGAGAUUCGGUUAUUCGUACAUCACCUCCAAUUUUAUGUUAUUUUUCCAGUGAUAUCUUAUUUUAUUAUUUUCCAAGAUUUGUAAGUUUACAUAAAAAGAAUGAUAUUAUAUAACUGUUAUCAUCUUCUUUAUAUUGAUGUUCUGAUUACAACAAAUAGUGUGUAUUCUCUGGAUAUAAUUUUCAACAUUUGCUCCUUCCUUCCGAGACUCCCAUAGCCCCUAACUUAAUUUUCCAUCACUGUCUUUAGGAAAGCAACUGUUUGCCUAUGCAUGUGACAAUCACAAUCGCCGAUCCUCAUCUCUCUCCUCCUCUUAGUUCUCAUUGUCAUGACUCAUGGAGAGAAAAUGGAUUUAGAAUUAACCAACAGUCCUCAAUCAACAUAAGUUCUCCUAGGCUCUUACUUUGCAAGAUAUUGGGAAGUCACUUCAUUUUAUUAACCUAUCAAAACUGAGUCACUAGUAGCUACUAAGACUAGUUAGAGCCAAGUGAGAUGUAGGAAUAUACCUCACAUCCAACACAAUCAAAGAUCUAAGUACGAAGACUUAAUUACACUAAUUAUCCAAUUAAUAUUAUUUCCGUAUCUAAACUUGAUUAUUUGUCAACCAACUGUCACAUGCAAGUUUUUUUUAUUUAUUUAUAUAUCCAAUUAUGAUUCUAAUGUUCUUAUUUACUAAAUGUACAUGCAACGUUUUUGCAUUUAUUAUGAUCCUAAAAUACAAUCUAACCAUUCAACUAAAAUGAGGAAAUCACCACAUUGAAGCAAUAUAAAAGAAUCAUUUCAUCAAAGAUGGUAAUAAAAGAAAGAGUAAAAGAACAAAAAAAAAAAAAGGCAAUAAAAUAAUCCGAUGCAAGCUGAGUAAAGAAUAUAAUAUGACAUUAUUAUUGAGUAUCCAAAGAACAACCCCAUGAGUUAAAUUCAAAACAAAUCCAAUUUCUUGAGAAAGGGCUAAUCUAUCUAAACCCAAGAUAUCCAUUAAAAUCCCUAAACUAUAUGUAUACCAACUAUGGUCCAGCCUAAGGACCUUAAACAAAAGCCGUGGUUAUCGGAGCCCCCGUUCCACGUAAAUAAAAUGGAAGGGUUAACCGUGGGGGGAUUUGUAACCAAAUUUUGGAAACACCCCUCGGCUUGAUCCUAGCUCUGCUGCAUUGGGCUCUCGACGACUGCCAGUCCAGUAUCUUGGAAAUGAUGGCAGUAGGAUAUGAAACUAAAUAUAAUAUUAAAAUCUACAACCAAAUGAAAGCCUGUUUUUCUAAUCAUUUUCGAAUUCUUUGUAUUAGAAUUUUUUUUAUUGGGCCGGCUUGUACGGAAGCUUGAUCUCUAGGUGGAGUGGGUUAGAAUUUAAGAAAACAUGUAGGCCCUUGUAAACGAAAUGGGCUUACUUGCUAAAGCCCAACCUGCGUAUAGCCUAAACAAAGUCCAGAUCUAUCAGACCAAAUUAGGCUCAUAUUCACCAAACCAAGCAAAGCCCAAUUUCAUUAAGCUAAUAAAACCCAAAGCUCAUUAAGCCUAAUUAAGCCUAUUUUUUUAUUCUCUAUUUUUCUCUUUUCUUCUCCCUUUUUUCAAGUUUAUUUUAUGCACUAUGUCUCCUCACUUUGAAUUCGGUGCUCUAAGCCAAAGAAGCUGUGGAAAUAGCAGUUGCCAAAAUGCCGUGACUGCUCAAAAUUCGUGGUUGGAAAUCGCAAACCCACCUGAUGAAUUGUUCUAUAAAUGCCGCAUCCCCAUAUAUGAGAAUGAGACUAUUGCAAGGAUUAACUACAAUAGCUGGAUGAUAGGCCACUCUCAGAAUCUGCAGUUAAAAUUCUGACUGGAGGUGCACAACCCUAGUCUUGGGGAGAGAUGAUAGAAUUCAACGAAUGAAGAGAAUUUCUAUGGGGUCUAUUCUCGGCAUCAAAGACUGAUGGCCUUGCCUUGGAAGCAACGAACUUUAGAAGCGAGUCAGUUAUAGUUGGCUUUUUCCCAUGCUGACCUCUGCUAUCGAGAAGAUCGUCAACAGCUUGAAGCUGUGCAUCUGAAAGCAAAGCUUGAAGAUCCACUUUGCUGAAUCCUUCUAUCAUAUGAGCUAUAGCAUCAAAGUCCACAUCACUGGCCAAAGGAAGCUGCACAAGGGCAUUAAAGCAUACACUUAGCAAAACUUCAACAUUGCCUGAUGGUUGCCAAUUUCGCUGACUGAUCAUACAGAAACGGAGAAAUAUAAUUAAUUGAAUCCACCCAAUAUCUUCCUAAUUAGUGAAAAGAAAAGAAAAGAAAAGGAGAGGAUGGUGAUGUCUCAGAAAGGUUAUACUAAAUGAUACCCAAAGGUAAGUCUUAGUCCCGUCUCAUGGAUUUUCAGCUAUAAAAGCCUUUCUCAUUUUAUUUUUUUUCUGAGCAUCAUCGGUAGAUGUUAAAGCUACCAGUCUCAAGGUCCGAGGUUGAAAGUGAUUUACUACUGAUCAUCUAAACUUUACCUGAGCCUCACCUGAGCAUGUUGCAGAUUCAACCCACAACGCCUUUUACAAUGUUCUCUUGUAAUUGACAAUGUUUAGGGUGAUUUGGGGUGCAAGGACUUUUAGAGAACUCCACAGAGAAGGGGUUUUAACUUUUAACUCAAUGUGUUUCGCCAAAUGUACUCUGUCAGAUGCCAUAAGUUCUAAACAGGAUCUUAGCUGCUUAAAUCGACUCUGUUUCUAACUCUUUUUGUUUGUUUUAAGCAAUUCCCUGUUCAUAUGAAAUCUCUCCUAUGCAUCUUUCUAGAAAAAAGUAGGAUUGUGGUAAUAUAGUUCUUUAACAAGCAAUCCCAUAAAUUUCAAUAUGUGCAACUUGUUUCAGACCAUGUAAAAAAUGAAAUGCUAAAAGCAAAAAAACUGGCAUAUGGAUGGAAGCUAAGGCCCUGUUUGGUAAAUUUUGUUUCUAUUCCUCGGAAUAACUAUUUCUAUUCUUUUGUUCUAGGGAACAAGAAAAGAACAUAAAACUGUUUAGUAAAAUUUUUGUUCCCAUGAAACAAAAAAUCCAUUUUUUUUUGUUCUCGAGAAUAGAUUUGAAAUAGAAGUAAAAGUAGAAAAAACAAACUUCUUGUUCUCGGGAACAAUUUCUUAAAUUUAUUUUUUUUUCUCUCUUAUCUCUUCUUCUCUUUCUUCUUCUUCUUCUUCUUCUUCUUCAUUUUGGCCGGUUGCUGGCCAUGGCCGGCGACCUCUCUGGAGCGUCGCCGACCCUUGGAGACGUUGAGCCACGGCGAGGCUCGUCGGCCUGAGUUUUGCCAUGGCUGGGCGAGGCUGGCCUUGCUAGGCCACCUCUAGGAUGGUGUCGCUUGGCAGUGGCCCGACAAGGUCGAGCCUCGCUGAUAGCUAGGUGAGCUCGGCCUCGCUAGGUUUGGGUGACGUCUACCUCUGUCAUGCCCCAAUUCUUGGGGACGCGCCCAUCUUUCGACUUGGUCAAUUUUCUCAAUGCGAUAUCCCAGGACUAUGUAUCGCCGACCCUUUCAUUUUUAAUACACAUGCCGAACUAGUUAUAAAUCCCUAGACAAUAAAAUGAUGGGAUAGACAAGCAAGGCCAUAUUUUUCAUAUUGAAAUCCACAACCAUACUUUUAUACAUAGCAUAAUUCGAAGAGCUUCAGAAAACUAAUCACAACUUUUUAGUCUCAGUCUAUCCACAUAUAUACAGGGUUCACAAAAGAGGAUGGGAUUUCAGUCCUCAUCCAGAUAGACAAGAUCAAACUGAUCCUUAUUCAAUUCUUCUCCACUAAGCUCGUUUCUUUUAAACUCUUCAUCAUCUUCUUUAAGCUCAUUCUCGGCUCUAGAUGCUGGCUCAUCCUCACGUGAUCUGGGGGCCUGAAAUAUUAUCCCACAACCGGGAUGAGACUACGUCUCAGCAAGUUCUACCCCACUAAGACUCGAUUAGGAAACCAAUACGCUAUCUAGGCUGCCUAUGCACACACGGGUCAGAGGACUUACCUUGGCCUCAGAUUCCACCUACAUAUUAGUACAGUUCAAUAAGCACCCAAGCAAUCACAUCAUAGAUCGACAUCUCGAUCAAUCGACCUAGUCAAUUACUUCUUAAUUGAACCAUCCCAAGGUCAUUUCCAUUCAAUCAAUCAAUUCACGAAAUUAGAUUAAAGCAAUGAUCAAUCCACUUAGUCGGUUACAUAUCAAACAGACCAUUCUUGGUCAUUUCAAUCAAUACUAUUCAUUCUCUAAAAUAACCCGUCGGGUUAUCAAGCCAAUAAUUUAUACGAUUCAAUCUCCGAGAUGACACACUAAGAUGACACACUAAGUCACCGAGUUAUUAUAACAUACUAUUCAUUCUCCAAGAUAAUGUAUUGAGUUACCGAGCUAGUAUAUUAUAAUAUUCAUUCUCCGAGAUGACAUAUAGAGUCACCAAGUAUAUUCAUCAUAACGUACAUUCUCCAAGAUGACAUGUUGAGCCACCGAGCUGUUAUGGCAUGUCGUCCAUUCUCCAAGAUGAUCUAUAGAAUCACCAAGCCGACAUUUAAUAUAGUCCAUUCUCCAAGAUGACCUAUAGGGUCAUCGAGCCGAUAUACAAGCAAUUCUUUCUCAAAAUGACAUGAGAGUCAUCGAGCUGUAAUAGUAUAACGUCCAUUCUCUAGAUGAAAUACGAAUCAUCGAGCCGUUAUAGUAUUUUUUUGUUCCGAAGACACAAUCAAUUUCACCAUUUUCAUCAUAUUUGAUAAAAGUACACGUGUGUGGGCACACGGUCGGCUUUAGCCAAAAUACAAUAAUUUCAUUUUUAUUCACUCACUCCCUUCAGCAGUACAAAAAUAGAUUUUUGACGCUGUAGACUGACGCCCGGUAAUUUUCCACUCAAUUACCAAGGUUAUUCAAUUUCUGAAAUAAACACCCACAACUACUAUUUGCACUCAAUUUGCACAACCAGGUACUCAAUUAAAUAAACAUAGAGCACCACUGAAAUCAGCACGAAAUUCCGGUCGUCGGCUAUCCCAGCCUAAUUUCCGGUAAUUAAUUAAUUAAUUAAUUAAUUAAUUUCGAAAAUUAAUAAUUAAAUACUAAAAAUCCAAUUUAUGCCCGUAUUGCCUAAUUGAAGCCCAAUAAGGGUCGGGACAAAUCCCGAGAUGCAUUCAAUAAAUAGUAUAGGCAGCUCUCUAGCUAAGUACACUAACCACCUAACUAAUAUGCAACCCUUAAGCAUCUUUAGUCUACUAAGCAAGGAUUAGUGAGAUUACUCACUUGAUUUGCGAAGAACGGAACACCGCGACAGCGGCCGAACUUGGGCCUACGACAAACUUGGGCCGAGCCAAUAAACUUUACAAGCCCACAUAAAUUUCUGGACUUGGUUGUGCUAGAAAUCUUGGGCUGAACUUGAUCUGGGCUUCAAGACUAGGCUGAAAUGGGUUUGAAACAAAGUUGAACUGGGCCUGUCUUCGCUGAAGCUGGGCCGGGCUUCAAGUGGCUGAAUUGCUGGACUUCACUGAAUUGGGCCGAGCUUCAAGACUGAAGACUUGGGCUGCUGUGGAAAUUUUUUUGUGGGUUGAACAUUUUAGGAUGCUGGGCCGAAUCCUUGCAGCCUCGUGACGCUGAGGCAGCUGGGCCGAUAGGCUGAGGAAAUGAAAACGGCUGAAGACACGUGAUGGAGGAAGGUUGGCAGGGGGAAGGACGUUCGCCGGUGGGGACGAACGUUGUAGCAAGCAGCUGGGCUUCGGUCUUCGUAGCUGGGAGUCAACACACGGCCAGGGGAUGAAGCAGAUGAGUGGUAGACGGGCUCGCUGGUGGAGCAGUUUCUGCUGUGGACUGCUUCAAUGGGGCUGAGGGCAGACGGAAGACACACAGAUGGAAGCUCGUUCGGUGGGCGUGUGGGGAAGGCACUGACUGGAGGCUCACGGCCAAAUGGCAGCAAAACAAAGCCGCUCAAUCAACCACUGAGUUUCGGUGGGCUUGCUGUUGUUGACCGAAGGAGUUCGGGCCAUGGAUGCGUGGAGUUGUGCGUGGAUGGAGAGAUCGUGAGCUUCAACGGCAGAGAACGUGGCUUCUUUGGGCUUGCUGCUGGCAAUUCGGCAAAGGGGAAGAACAAUCGUGGGCGUGGGGAAUUGAGCUGGCCAGUUCGCUCGGUGAGGAAGCAGAACCAAGACGAAGUAGCAGUUAAUCUUUGUUGCUGUGGGUGCGCGAAUUCCCGGGAAGAAAGAAUUGGCUGCACGAUCUGAUGGGGGGGAGAGGGGUGAGAGAGAGGAUAGAUAUGAAGGAUGAGGGGCCAUUUGCUUUUAAUUCUCACACAAAUAUCUCCCAAAAACCAUUCUUAGCCAUAUAUAGUUUCCUUGGCUCACAAUGGACCACUCAUGCACUCUUCUAGAAGCCAAAAUGGUCCAAAUGUUGUGGCUUGGUGGGGGUACACGAAUUUAGAGGAGGAUGGACUCAAUUGUACAUCAAUUCUCUCUUGAUUUACUUUCAAUUGAUUCCCAUAAUUUCAGUUGGUACUUCAAUGCCUCAAUUGAUAAUUUUCCUCAUCCAAGAACCCAUCUUGCAUCUCAAUUUUGCCUCCAAAACUAAUCCUCGACUUGUUCUGCACAAAAACGGCCAUGCGAUGACUUUUCCCCAAAAAGUUUCGGUUGUCAGAAAAAUCUUCUCAGACUGAGUCGAUACUUCUAGAAUUUAUUGUGACAUGAUGGAAACUUCGAUUUCCAAAAUCGGACUUGAAUUCGUGGUUAAUUUCCACUUGGCGCUUUUUAGCGUGACCUAAACUAUCAAGUAGUUUUCAGAACUUUUUAGAGCAAAUGACCCAUGGUCGAUUUUCUUUGAGCCAUUAUGAACCCACUCAACUAAAUGGCGACUCUCGAUUGUUGUGAAAAUCUCGAGGAUUCAAUUACGGACACAAGGUACCAAAACGAUAGUAAAAUCAAAUUAGUGUCGGUCGAUGAGAAUUUCCCAAUUUAGUGGAGUCACCCACGAUCGGCCAAACAUCUCAGUCAAACAGAUCUAUCUCUUAUCUCAAAUCGAUUUUUUUAACCGUGCCAUAAUGGCCUCUGAAGACAAUCACGGUCAAGAAGCCGAUUUUUAGUCGAAUUCUCUAGUCUAUUUGCCUUAAAGUCCUUAAUAGCUUCCCCGAAUAGUCUAGUUAUCUCAAGAGUGAUCAGCUCUGAGAACAACUCUAUAGGCGGGUCAAUGAAAUGCCUGAUUAAUUCAAUAGAAAACAGAUCUGAAAAUUCGAGAUGUCACAACUCUUCCCCUCUUAUAAAAAUUUCGUCCUCAAAAUUUAAACCUUACAUACUUUGAUAAAAAAAAAGGUGGGGGUACAAUUCUCUCAUAGACUCUUCAGUUUCCCAGGUCGCGCCUUCUGUACCGUGGUGUUGUCAGACUACUUUGAAAAACGGAAUGGUUUUUGUACACAGAACUUGCUCUUUACGAUCAAUAAUCUGGACUAGGCUUUCAACGUAUGACACACGGUCAUCCACGUCCAAUUCCUUGAAAUUGAGCACGUGGGUCGGGUCAGGGUCGUACUUCCUUAACAUCGACACGUGAAAGACGUCAUGCACUUGCGCCAGUCUUGGCGGCAAUGCAAGACGAUACGUUAGGUUCCCAAUUCUUUCAAGAAUCUCAAACGGACCUACGUACCUCGGACUCAGUUUGCCUUUCUUACCAAAAUGCGAAGUUCCUCCCAUUGGUGACACUCUCAGAAAAAUGUGAUCACCAACUUGGAAUUCCAAAGACCUUCGACGCUUAUCUGCAUAACUUUUCUGCCUGCUUUGCGUUGUCUUUAAUCUGCAUCUGAUCACCGUCACAACAUCUACUGACUGCUGAACCAACUCUAGGCCUGUGAUUUUUCUUUCCUUAACUUCAUCCCAACACACCGGAGUCCUACAUGCUCUGCCAUACAAUCCUUCAAAUGGAGCCAUCUGGAUGCUCUGCUGAUAACUGUUAUUGUAAGCGAAUUCCACUAGAUGAAGUUGAUCUUCUCAACUUCCUUUGAAAUCUAUUACACAAGCUCUCAACAUGUCCUCGAGAGUUGGAAUUGUCCUCUCAGACUGGCCAUCCGUCUGAGGAUGAUACGCCGUACUAUACUGAAGUUUUGUACUUAGUGCACUCUGCAAGCUCUUCCAAAAAGCAGCAGUAAAUUUCGGGUCUCUAUCUGACGUUAUCGUAACCGGCACUCCAUGCAUACGAACCACCUGACGCACAUACAGGUUUGCAUGUCUAUCCAUACUCAGGUCCUUUUGAAUUGCAAUGAAGUGAGCCGACUUCGUCAAUCUAUCGACCACUACCCAAAUUGAAUCAUUCCAUCUUUGACUCCUUGGUAGUCCAGUCACGAAGUCCAUCGUAAUAUGCUCCCACUUCCAUUUUGGGAUCGCGAGAGGUUGCAGAAGUCCUCCUGACUUGUAAUGCUAGGCCUUUACUUGCUGACACGUCAAACCUUUGGCGACAUGCUUGGCAAUGUCCGCCUUCAUACCUGACCACCAAUAGUGUUGACGCAGAUUCUGAUACAUUUUAGUACUUCCAGGAUGAAUGCUGUAACUACUACGAUGUGCUUCAGAUAAAAUUUCUUCUCUAAGCUCCACGAGCCAAACCUUUUUAUACAUAUGGUAUUAAAGUUAUACCUAAGCAAACCCGUCAAGUACAACUAUAGUCAGAGAUUCAUCUUUCUACCACUUUAUUACAACAACAAAAAAUUUUACAACCUUCACUCAAAAUUCUGCUACACUACUCUGAUAAAAACACCUCAAAAGCAUUCUUCCAUUGCUCGGUGCCUAAUUGGUCCAUUCUUGUUUCUUGCGUCAUUCUAGUGGUGUUCUAUCUGCGGUGCUUUCUCUUUGUCCGGUCCUUCGGUGAUGGCGUACACUCUUCCCUGCUUUGGGGAUCUGUUCCGCAUAGCCGUACCUGUAAUCGCGUCAGGCGCAGCUUUUGCCUGACCUUGUGUGAUGGCAUACACCGUGUCUUAAACUGGUGGUCUCAACUGACCUCCCUGUGGCACGUUUUGAGGGGCGUACCCUCUAAUCUGUCCCACUGGUGGCGGUGGCAGCGGCGGUAACUGCAGUUGUCCUCUUAGCUUCCUUGGACAAUCUCUAGCCAGGUGGCCUGGUUAACCACACUCGUAACAAGCACCCAUCAUUCGAAGGCACUGGUUCGGUCCAUGUCACCUUCCACAAGCACGACAUAAAUCAUUCCUGGUUGGCACUGGCUUGCCAACUCCUCCUCUCCUAUCAGGCGAAAUCGGGAAUUUAUUCUCAGGCAUGGGCCUCUUCCCAUGGUGAAUACUCUCUCUGUGCGAGCUAAACCUCGAUCCAGAUGAGGCAGCUUGCUCAUUCAAUCCUCGCUCUAUCAUCUAAGCUCGGCGAUAAACUUCUCUAUAAUCCUUCAAGUCCCAAGGUAACAAAGGUUGUUUCAAUUCAGUACGAAGACCACUUUUGAAUUUCCGAGCUUUCUCUUCAGGGUCUUCUAUAAGUUUAGGAGCAUACUGUGACAGUUCUGCGAACUUGACCCCAUAUUGGUCAACUGUCAUGCUCCCUUGGCGGAGACGGUGGAACUCCUCUAUCUUUUGUUCCUGAGUAGUACUCGAAAAAGUACUGAUCAUUAAAGGCUCUGAGGAAGGUGUCCCACACCUGGACCACACCUUCCGGGAACACUAUAUCCUUGGCAGCUCUCCACCAUAUAUUAGCGCUACCUUGAAGUUGGUACACAGCUAGUAACACCUUUUCCUCAUCAUUGCACAUCAGAAGUGCAAAUGCCUUCUCCAAAUCCUCUACCCAUAGAGACGCGGCCUUAGGGUCUCCGGUACUAAUGAAUCUCGGUGGAUUCAUUUUUAAGAACUGAUCCACUAACUGGUGAAUCGGCCUCCCCGCGGCCACAACUCCUAGUAGUAUUUCAGCAAGGGCGACGACAGGUGCAACUGCAGGUGCAGUGACAGAGGCAGCUUGAGCAGUAGCGGCAGUUGCGGCAGUGGCAGCGGCCUGAGCGGCGGCUUCAACUGUAGCGGCUUGUUGAUCCAUUCUCGCACUAAUCGCUUCCAGAACACACAAGAUCCCAUCCAACCUGGGAUCAUUAGGGGCUGCUACCCUAGCAUCUACGACAAGUGGAAUCACUCCACUCGUGCUAGCCUGUGCUGGCGCUCGACCACGUUCACCUCGGGUCCCGACACGAGUCGGAGCUCUACCCAGAACAACGACCCUACUGGUCCUCUUAAUAGGAGUCCUCGGCUCCUGAUUGCUCGUAGUGUUGUUUUAAAUCUACCAACACAUGCUUUCAAUUCAACAUCGAAUUAGAAACAAAGCAAUCUAAACAACAAGCAAUUUUAGCAUCCAGCUAACACAGACAUGCACAAGCAUCAAUUUAAAGGCCUUUCUUAUUACUAUCCCAAGACUCAUCGCUCCUUAUCACUCCAAUCUUAAACUUCGCUCUGAUACCACAAAAAUGGGAUGUCACGCCCUAAUUCUCGGGGACGCGCCCAUCCUUCUACUUGGUCGAUUUUCUUAGUGCGAUAUCCCAGGAUUAUGUAUUGCCAACCCUUUCAUUUUUAAUACGCAUGCGGAAGCAGUUAUAAAUCCCCAGACAAUAAAACAAUGGGAUAGACAAGCAAGGCCAUAUUUUUCAUAUUGAAUUCCACAACCAUACUUUUAUACAAAGCAUAAUUCGAAGAGCUUCACAAAACUAAUCACAACUUUUUAGUCUCAGUCUAUCCACAUAUAUACAGGGUUCAAAAAAGAGGAUGGGAUCUCAGUCCUCAUCCAGAUAGUCAAGAUCAAACUAAUCCUCCUUAAAUUCUUCUCCACUCAGCUCGUUUUUUUAAACUUUUCAUCAUCUUCUUUAAGCUCAUCCUCGGCUCUAGAUGCCGGCUCAUCCUCACUUGAUCUAGGGGCCUUAAAUAUUAUCCCACAACCGGGAUGAGAUUACGUCUCAGCAAGUUUUACCCCACUAAGACUCGAUUAGGAAACCAAUACGCUAUCCAGGCUGUCUAUGCACACACGGGUCAGAGGACUUACCUUGGCCUCAGAUUCAACCUGCAUAUUAGUAUAGUUCAAUAGGCACCCAAGCAAUCACAUCACAGAUCGACAUCUCGAUCAAUCGACCUAGUCGAUUACUUGUUAAUUAGACCAUCCCAAGGUCAUUUCCAUUCAAUCAUUCAAUUCACGAAAUCAGAUAAAAGCAAUGAUCAAUCCACUUAGUCGGUUACAUAUCAAACGGACCAUUCUUGGUCAUUUCAGUCAAUACUGUCCAUUCUCUAAAAUAACCCAUCGGGUUAUCAAGCCAGUAAUUUAUACGAUUCAAUCUCCGAGAUGACACACUAAGUCAUCGAGUCAUUAUAACAUACUAUUCAUUCUCCAAGAUAACCUAUUGAGUUACCAAGCUAGUAUAUUAUAAUAUUCAUUCUCCGAGAUGACAUUUAGAGUCACCGAGUAUAUUCAUCAUAAUGUACAUUCUCCAAGAUGACAUGUUGAGUCACCGAGCCAUUAUGGCAUGUCGUCCAUUCUCCAAGAUGAUCUAUAGAAUCACCGAGCCGACAUUUAAUACAGUCCAUUCUUCAAGAUGACCUAUAGGGUCAUCAAGCCGGUAUACAAGCAAUUCUUUCUCAAAAUGACAUGAGAGUCAUCGAGCUGUAAUAGUAUAACGUCCAUUCUCCAGAUGAAAUACGAAUCAUCGAGCCGUUAUAGUAUUUUUUUUUUUUGUUCCGAAGACAAUCAAUUUCACCAUUUUCAUCAUAUUUGAUAAAAGUACACGUAUGUUGGCACACGGUCGGCCUUAGCCAAAAUACAAUAAUUUCCUUUUUAUUCACCCACUCCUUUUAGCAGUACAAAAAUAGAUUUUUGACGAUGUAGACCGACGCGCGGUAAUUUUCCACUCAAUUACCAAGGUUAUUCAAUUUCUGAAAUAAACACCCACAACUACUAUUUGCACUCAAUUUGCACAACUAGGUACUCAAUUAAAUAAACAUAGAGCAUCACUGAAAUCAACACGAAAUUCCAGUCGUCGGCUGUCCCAGCCUAAUUUCCGGUAAUUAAAUAAUUAAUUAAUUAAUUUCGAAAAUUAAUAAUUAAAUACUACAAAUCCAAUUUAUGCCCGUAUUGCCUAAUUGAAGCCCAAUAAGGGUCGGGACAAAUCCCGAGAUGCAUUCAAUAAAUAGUAUAGGCAGCUCUCUAGCUAAGUACACUAACCACCUAACUAAUAUGCAAUGCAAUUAACUAAUAAUCACUAAUCCAUUCUAGUCUAACCACCUAAUUGCACUUAAUUAAAUCUAAUCAACCCUUAAGCAUCAUUAGUCUACUAAGCAAGGAUUAGUGAGAUUACUCACUUGAUUUGCGAAGAAUGGAACAUCGCGACAACGGCCGAACUUGGGCCUGUGACAAACUUAGGCUGGGCCAAUAAACUUUACAAGCCCACAUAAAUUUCUGGGCUUGGGCCUGCUAGAAAUCUUGGGCUGAACUUGAUCUGAGCUUUAAGACUGGGCUGAAAUGGGUUUGAAACAAAGCGGAACCGGGCCUGUCUUUGCUGAAGCUGGGCCAGGCUUCAAGUGGCUGAAUUGCUGGACUUCAUUGAAUUGGGCCGGGCUUCAAGACUGAAGACGUGGGCUGCUAUGGGAAUUUUUUUGUGUGUUGAACGUGUGAGGAUGCUGGGCCGAAUCCUUGCGGCCUCGUGGACGCUGAGGAAGCUGGGCCGAUAGGCUGAGGAAAUGAAGACGGCUGAAGACACGUGAUGGAGGAAGGCUGGCAGGGGGAAGGAUGUUCGCUGGUGGGGACGAACGUGGCAGCAAGCGACUGGGCUCCAGUGUUCAUAGCUAGGAGUCAACACACAGCCAGGGGAUGAUGCGGAUGAGUGGCAGACGGGCUCGCUGGUGGAGCAGUUUCUGCUAUGGACUGCUUCAAUCAGGCUGAGGGCAAAUGGAAGACACGCAGAUGGAAGCUCGUUCAGUGGGCAUGUGGGGAAGGCACCGACUUGAGGCUCACGGCCAAAUGGCAACAAAACAAAACUGCUCGAUCAACCACUAAGUUUCGGUGGGCUUGCUGCUAUUGACCAAAGGAGUUUAGGCCAUGGACGCGUGGAGUUGCAUGUGGAUGGAGAGAUCGCGAGCUUCAACGGCAGAGAAUUGGAGGAGCACGUGGCUUCUUUAGGCUUGCUGCUGGCAAUUCGGCAAAGGGGAAGAUCGAUCGUGGGCGUGGGGAAUUGAGCUGGCCAGUUCGCUCGGUGAGGAAGCAGAACUAAGACAAAGCAGCAGUUAAUCUUUGUUGCUAUGGGUGCGCGAAUUCCCGGGAAGAAAGAAUUGGUUGCACGAUCUGAUGGGGGGGAGAGGGGUGAUAGAGAGGAUAAGGAUGAGGGGCCAUUUGCUUUUAAUUCUCACACAAAUAUCUCCCAAAAACCAUUCUUAGCCAUGUAUAGUUUCCUCGGCUCACAAUGGACCACUCAUGCACUCUUCUAGAAGCCAAAAUGGUCCAAAUGUUGUGGCUUGGUGGGGGUACAAUUUAGAGGAUGGACUCAAUUGUACAUCAAUUCUCUCUUGAUUUACUUUCAGUUGAUUCCCAUAAUUUCAAUUGGUACUUCAAUGCCUCAAUUGAUAAUUUUCCUCGUCCAAGAACCCAUCUUGCAUCUCAAUUUUGCCUCCAAAACUAAUCCUUGGCUUGUUCUGCACAAAAACGGCCAUGCGAUGACUUUUCCCCAAAAAGUCUCGGUUGUCAGAAAAAUCUUCUCAGACUGAGUCGAUACUUCUAGAAUUUAUUGUGACAUGAUGGAAACUUCAAUUUCCAAAAUCAGACUUGAAUUCACGGUUAAUUUCCACUUGGCGCUUUUUAGCGUGACCUAAACUAUCGGAUAGUUUUCAGAACUUUUUAGAGCAAAUGACCCAUGGUCGAUUUUCUUCAAGCCACUAAGAACCCACUCGACUCAAUGGCGACUCUUGAUUGUCGUGAAAAUCUCGAGGAUUCAAUUACAGACAUAGGGAAUGAAAACGAUAGUAAAAUCAAAUUUGUGUCGGUCGAUGAGAAUUUCCCAUUUUAGUGGAGUCACCCACGAUCGGCCAAACAUCUCAGUCGAACAGAUCUAUCUUUGAUCUCAAAUCAAUUUUUUUAACUGUGUCGUAAUGGCCUCUGAAGACAAUCACGGUCAAGAAGCCGAUUCUUGGUCGAAUUCUCCAGUCUAUUUGCCUUAAAAGUCCUUAAUAGCUUCUCUGAAUAGUCUAGUUAUCUCGAGAGUGAUCAGCUCUGAGAACAACCCUAUAGGCGUGUCAAUGAAAUGCUCGAUUAAUUCAAUAGAAAACAGAUCUGAAAAUUCAAUAUGUCACAACCUCACCCAGCUAAGGCGAAGCCGAGCCUCGCACAACCACAAUAAGGCUCGGCCUCCCUAGCUGGCGCGAGGCUCGCCUGGCCAUCGGCAAGGCUCGGCCUCACCCAAAUCUGGUUCGGCCGAGGCUCGCCGUGGACAGGCUGGCCUUCAGCGAGCUUGCCGGACCUCACCCAGGCAGUGGUCGGCAACUGGCCAAAGAGAAAAAGAAAAAGGAAAAGACAAGAAAAUAUAAUAAAAGAAUUAAAAAAAAUCUAACAAUCAUGCCAAACGUAUUGUUGUACUGAGACUAGAAAUUUUGGAAAGUUACCAAAUGAGUUCUUUUGCUCAGAAAUUGUUCUUGAGAUGAGAAUAAAAAAAAACAUUUAUGAUAAAAAUUAUUCUCCAGAACAGAAUUGUUACCAAACAUGGCUCUAAGUUUCUACCUUAUGGGAUAAAAGUUGUGAAAAUAUCCAGCCUCUCCUUUAUUGAAGGAAAAUCACAGAACAUAAGUUGAGCCAGCUAGGUCUCAAAAGUGUGAUCUACUGCUUCUCAUCAAAUGCAACACAUAACUAGACAAUGAUAAAAUAAAGAAAAAGCAUCCUUGGAAAGAAAAUUGAAUUAGAAUUAUUAGUAGAUAGAUGAACCCAUGAACCCUGUGCAAAACAAGAGAGCACUUCAUGCAGCAAAUGUCAUGAUGACUGAGAAAUUGCAUGUGCUCAAUGUAACAAGACUCAAAUGAUCAGAAUCAGUUGAUGCCAUUAUAAAGGCUCAAUACCAGCAUAAUACAUGUCUUGCAAGCUACUUCAACAACUGAAAAGUAAUUUAUGGAAUCCCAUCAUUUGUUACCUACUUUUUGAUACAUAUGUAGUCAAUAUUGUGCAUCCAAUGUUAAACAGUUCUAAAUCAAGGAAAAGUCCUGUCUAGCAUUUUAUUGUCUAACUUGAAGGUUAUUACAUAGUAUCCAUACUAAAUGCUUCAUAAAAAAUGUUUGUCGAAGUGUUCAUAAUGGCCAUGCAAUUUGCAGUAGCAAUUGAUAGUUAGUGUGCCAUUAGAAGAGAAUACUUUUUGUUCAUAUUAUACAAAAUUAUUACCUUUUUUCCGCCAACACAAACACACCGGUGCAACACCAUCUAAUUCGGUAAAAAAAUGCACCAACAAAUAACAUACCAGUAGUGACUCAUAAAAUUAGAUAGAUUUUACAUGACCACCUUAUAAUUACUUUUGAAUGCAAGAAACUAAAUUCAUUGAUGACAUGAUCAGUGACCCAAUAUUAUCAUGCCCCCUUUUUGAAGCAAUGAAUCAAAUUCAUCGAAAAAGAGAUGGCAAGGUGUUGCAUCUACUGCCUUCAAGAAUAUAUCAGAACCUGUAGUUUUCUAAUUGUCGUUACUAUCAAAUAUUCAAAAAUCUCUCCAUUUUGCUGACAAAAUCAAGGAUCAUAAUAACAUAAAAUCCUCACGGAUACCCCAGUUACAGGAACGAAUCAACAUUGAAGAUAUCUAGACAAAACAUCAAACAGGUCACGAAGGACUCUCGGCGAGACCCAUUUUUUAACUUCAACCAAUCGAGAUCAAUAAAAUCCCAAGGAUUUUCCCUUCGACUGAAACGAAACUCGCGAACCUACUUCAGACAGCUUCACUCUCCUAUAUCUCGGUUCAAAGGUGGAUGGACACAGAUCCCGAACGAUGGAGCAGAGCGAUGAGGAGACUCUGAACACGUAAUCGACUCUAAAGGUCGAUCGGAAUAGAAACGACCUGGCAGGGGUAGUGCCGAUUCCUAUCCUCCUUGGUUCCCUUCAGCCGAGCUCUUCGAUGGCCAAAUCCUUUUUCAAGCGAGCGUCCAGCAUCCUCUCCUUCUCGCUCUCGGCUGACUCUCUUUCUCCCCCGUGAAUGUCUCUUCAGCCUAUCUCUCUCCAACUUGCCUCUUCAACGGCCGCCCUCUCCGAAGACCGGCGGCAUCUCUCCUCCUCCUGUUAUGCGAACAGGAUCCUCUUGAGGCAAGCAUCCUUUCCGGCGAGCAGCUCCUAUCUCAUCUUUUCCUCCCGGAUCAGCACAAUCCCCUCGCCUCACCGAUCGAAUCUUUCUGUUAUUUCUCUCGCACGACAGCUAGCACGGCUCUAGAAGGUGCUGGCUCAGCUCUCGUCACGGCUUGUCGCGCCUCCUUCGCUCACAGACGCACGCACGCUUGGCCUGUCUUUCUUCCUUGCGUCACGGACGCUGUGCUCGCUGGGGAAGUUGAGGGGGAAGCGCGUGAGGGAAGAGAGAGGAUGGGGCUGGGCUUUCUUUUUGUUUGGUUCUACGACGGGCCAAGAAAAUACAAAAGGAGGUGGGCCGAACGAAUUAAAAGAAAUGGGUUGGACUAAUGGAGGGAGGGGGCUUAGAAGGCUCAAAACUUUGCCAAGGGGCCGGCCCACAUGACUUCAUUUCGAUUUUUUUUAUAUCUUUUUUAUUUUUUUCUUAUUAUCUUUUUCAUAAAUUUUCAGAUUUUUGUAAAAUAAAUGGAUUCCUAAAAUGUCAACAAAAUUUGGGUGUCAACAAUCUUGACCAGAGUCGAUAAUGACGAUGUUGCCUAUAGUGGUAUCAAAAGUCAAGGUGGCGAUGUUGGGUUUCAGAUAUUUAACUGUUCCCAUAUUGCCUAAAUAUGGGCUGUUUUUGUAGAUAAAUCUCACACAACUUUAAGAGUGGGGAUGUUGGUUUUUAUUUACGUCUCCGAUCCCAUAUUACCUAACUAGACUUAUAGCACUUAAAGUAAGCACGGGUGAGUUGUGACCAAAGCAGGCAGUAUUGCGCUCAAGUUUGGACGGGGAUGUCUACGACAAUAAGGUGAAACUUCAAAGAGUAAGACAAUGGUCAAGUCGAGCUUGAUGCAAUGAGACCACUCGUUGAAGAAUAGUCGUUAGAGAGCUUACACAUCUCGUAUGCUAGUUUCAAGAAGGGGUUUUAACCCUUGCAACCGCUGAACUAGGUAAACUACUUAAUCAUCUCAUCUAUUGUCGACAACUUGUCCAAAUUCCAUAGAUACAAAAAGAUGAUUUGAAAUGUAGACACUCACCCAUUGAGAUGCAAUAGUUAUUUCCAAGUAAUUAAUCAUCUUAUUUCUUCCCUUGAUUUUUUCCUCUUAAGCUUACAGAGCCAAACACAUUAAUUCCAAAAGUGGUUAAUUUCUUAGAACCGAUCCAUCGAUAAGAACAUCUCAAAAUUCAGUAAGAAAAAAAAGAUAUCCAAGGAAUUAGCCCUCUUAUUUCUCCUCUCUCUCUCUCUCUCUCUCUCUAAAACUCUAUAUAAACAGUACAAGUUGCCUUCCUAUGGCAGCAAUUUAGCUUCAACAAUUCCAUAGCUAUCAUUAUUUCCUGAUCUCCUCCCAGUUGACUUUACCGCAAGUAGCAUCAUCAAAUUUCAGAAGGUUCAACAAUCCUCUCCCAAGUCUUCUCUUUCGUGAUCGAUCUUCAAGAUUCAAGCGCCGAGAAACUCAUGGGGUACGUGGUCAUCAUGUCGCUCCCAAUGGCGAUCUUCCUCCUCGUCAUGAGCUUCGACUGCUGCUACAUGGGGAAGCAAAAGGGCGGAGAGGAGGCACAAGCCCUCGUCACGCAGGAGCUCGUGGCAGUCAACGGCAUCCCACCCCUGCCUCUGCCAACCAGGUUGGCCAUGCCGCCUUCGCCACCAGGAGUCGCUAUGGCACCGCCUCAGUUCUUCCCUUCUCCAUCUCCUUAUAAUCCAAAUCCUGCCUGUGUCAAGCAAGAAAGUGCUCGUUGAUUUUUUUUUUUAAGCAUCGUGAGUGCCACUUGUUUCAUGCUAUCAAUGAGUUCCAUGAAGUUCUUCCAAGACAUGUAUAAUUUCUUCUUUGCCCGAACAUGUAAAAAGUAAUAGUAUGUAACAAAUAACACAAUUUUCAUUUGCUAUAUAUUUUGCAUUUACCAAUAAUAUUUGAAACUUGAAGAGUGAAAUUGAGAAACAUAAGAAGAAUAAAUCCUCGCAACUGUACUUCAAGAUAUGACCCACCAAUCCACACACGACAUAUCUCCCGGCUUCACCUUCAAGUCCCAAACCGGAUCUCUUGUUACUACAGUUCGAUUGCCGGACUUCAAGAGAAGCUGAAGUUGUGUUGCCUCGGAUGUUUCUAGCUCAACAUUUUCCUCAAUGCACUUCUUUUAAGUGAUUUCUGAGAUAGCUAGUAUAAGCAACUAGAGGGGGGUGAAUAGGUGUAAAAAUAAUUUAUCGUGAUAAGUGAGCAAUACUAAACAGACAAUAGAAAGGAAGUUCUCAUUUUGUUAACAAAACGAAUUAUGAUCAAAGUAAAGGAGAGUAGGGAAGAGAAAAUGAACACAAAAAUUAUAGUGGUUCGGCUUAUUCCAAGCCUACAUCCACUCUUCCACACUGACAUUCCACCGGCUGGAUUUCACUAUGAACAAAAGAGUUGUUAUAGGAAAGCUCUCCUUUGAUUCCACAGUAUAGAUACUCUACCACACUUCCUCAAGGUUUCUCAAAGAUAUAGACUCUCUUUUGCGUACAAGAUUUCGCUCAGUAAAUGAAUUGACUAAGAACAAAGAGCUUCAGACUUUGGAAUUCUUCUAUCGCGCACACACUCGAACAACUGGAACGUCUUCCUUAUAUACUCCUUUAUGCCAUCAUACCCGUUGGCACUUACCAAAGGAAUUCUUCCAAUCUUCCCAUUGGACAUAAUCAAUGAGGAAGAUCAUUCGAGCUAUUUAAGGAACAUGACGAUAGCCCAUCAAUCAUGCUCGCCCAUACAAUCAGGAUCUCGGUUUCCAUAAGUAGAACCUUCUAAGUAUACUUCGCCAAUCAUCGGAUCCUCAAUCUCUGAAUCAAUCUUGAUUCGAAUAAAGGAUUCCAUUAUGUCAUAUCUAGCCAAGAGAUCUUCUCCAGUCGAUAAGGUCAAAUCCUUAACGAAACAUCCAGUCCUGGAUAGGCCUUCUUCAACAAACUAGAAACUGUCAAUGAUAAUAGACUUUGAGUCUUGAGUUUGGCAGUCCGGAGGUCUUCAGGCUUUAAAUAGUAGAGUCUGCAAAUCUUCAGACUAGACUGAUGGAAACGUUUUGUCAGCUUCAAAACACUCCAGGAAGAUUUCUCCAACAAUCUCUCCCUUUUUGAUGGUGACAAAACUUUUCUACAGAUUUGGAUAACUUUGACCUGCAAAACAAUACUCAAGCAAAUAUGGAUAUCUCAUAAAGAUAAAUGGCUUAGUGAUAACACUAGAAUCUGCAACCACAGAAAAUAGGUUAGUCUUUUAGAUGAGUAAAGCCAUAAGAUAUCAAUAGUACUUAAGAUAAACAAAUGUUCAAACAGUCAAACCCAAAAUCCAAUCCACAGCCAGACACAAAAGUCAAGUGAAAACAAACAUCAAAACAAAUCAAGAGUUCAAAAAGUUCAAAGUUCAAAUCUGCAUCACAUCUCUCCUCCUUUUUUGUCAUCAUUAAAAAGGUAGAGAUGGAAAGAGAAUGGAAUUAAGAUUGCUUGGGAACACGAACAAGCUGGAAAUCUCCCAUUGACUGGACAAUGCCUUCCAGCUUUUUCAAUUCCUCCUUCAGUUGAGCCACAUCUUCACCCUUAGCAUUUGCUUAAACCUGAAUAGUAAGGGCUUGCAUUUGAUCAUUCAAAGAAAUUGAAGAAGCUUGACCUGCAGUCUACAAAUUCUGUACUUCGCAUCCCAGAGCAUAUAUUUGACCCCGCAUCUCUAAAAGAACAUCAAGAAUUCUGCGAAAAUCUGCUGAAUUAUCAGUCUGCGUACUGGCUUCUACACGAUCAGAUGGAGUAAAGGCGGACGAUGGCAAAUCAGCAUAGUCACGCAGAUUGGGCGAUGAAACAUCAUGUCCCUCCUCAGGAAAUUGAGAGGCAUAGAUGUCCUCUAGAUCUGCUGGAGAGCGGCUUACUCCUUCACUGGUGGCAGGGUAUGAGGACAUUCCUCUUUUCUCAUGAUCUCCCCCUGUUUCCAUGCCUUCAGGUGGAGAAGAGUGUUCCUCAUGCUCUGCUUCCACUUGAUCUCCUCUCUCCUCCUCUUCUUCUUCUUCUUCAAAAUUUUCUCUUUCUCCAGUCCUCUGUUCUGUUUCAUCUGUGUCUUUCUCUUGUCGUUUCGUUGAUUCUAGAACAGAACGACUCAGGUUCUUCAAUGCCAUUGCAGAAAUGGUGAUGUUAUCCUCAUCUUCUUUAUCCUCAACGAUGAGAGCUCUUCUUUUCUUGGAUGGAACAACCAUGGGCUCCUUCCCUUUUCUUUUUGCUGCCGAAGAGAUUUGAUGAGUCUUAACAGGGGUUUUCUCCUUGAAUUUCUCCAACGCCUUGUUGAGUUCCUUCAAACGCAUUUUAGACACCAUUUUCAGUCCCACUACCAUUUGAUCACAAGUUCUAACACAGAGAAUUCAGGGAGGCUGAACAUUCAAAUGUCUGAAUAACUUGGUCACAAGAGCUGGAUAAGGAAGUUGACCCUUGUCCUUCACCACUGCUCUGUACAUGUGGAACAUAAUAGUGUGAGGAAGAGAGAACUUUUUCCCAGCAUUGAUGGCAUACAUCAGCUUUGCCUAUGAGUUUGAAACAUCAGUCUUUGAAGUAGAUUUUGGUCUGAGGCAAAUAAUCACAAUCUUGUGAAGUAGAAUGUUGAACACACUCAUCCUCAAGUAGGAAAUCUUUCCCUCUGUCCUUUUAUCCUUAACAAGUUCCAACGUAGCACAAGCAAUAGACACAUUGAUAGGUUAAUAUCUCCCUCUUUCAACCCCAAUCAGCCACAAAGUCCUGAUCUUGGACACUAAAAGAGAAUCUAUUCGCAUCCAAGAAACUUAGAUUCGAAUAGAAAUAAGCAGUGAGUUCAGCAUAGGCUUUUGUAGAUUCAGAACAAAACUGUUCAAGUUGAAAAAGACUGAAUUUUUCCCGCAAAUUAACGUUCACAGAGUCAAGAAAAUCAAAAUCCACACUUCUAGAGUUUAUCACCCCACGCUUCAACAACUUAGAGUAUAGAUGCUUAUGUUCCUCUGAUCGAAACAAGUCUGUCCUUUUGCUCCGAAUUUGACCCAUUCUCGGUUUAAACUGACUGUACAACUUGUCAUCAUCAUUCCCAUCUAGCUGAUUCAGCCCUCCAACACGUGGAUCGCUUGGGAUAUUUGCCAUUGCCUCUUCCGCCAACCCAGCAUGGGCAAUUCCCAACCGUUCCAUUGUGCGUAAAAAGAAUAUUUCAUUUUUAUACCCUUUGUCUUUUAGAAAUUCAUCAAUAUAGUUCAAAGGAGUUCCACCCAUUUUCAAAGCACGAUAAAGCUUGUAGGUAAAAGAGGGCUUAAAAGUUCUUACGGGUUAUGCAUCUUUGAUUAUUUCUUCCUCUUCUGGAUGAGCAACAUCCUGUGGUCUAGAUGGAGGAGAUGGACGCUGCUGAGAAUGUUGUGGGCUCUGCUGCUGACUAGGAGACUCUUCUUCCUCGGUGAGAUCAAAGUGCAUAGGCCCCUCACGCAUUUGCUACGGUCCCCUGUUCACGAUCCUCGAAGACUUCCUUUGAGACGACAUCUUUCACAGUCUUUGAAAGAUUCCAAACUUGUUUUUCCCAAGAAAGAUGACAACUUUUCGAAGAUUAAACAAGAGAAGAAGACAGAAGUGGAAGAUCGAUGCUUUUUAGGAUUUUUGGAGUAAAUUGAAGAGGAACCAACAGUAUAUAGGAUAGUCGAAGAGAGGCAUACAAAACAUCGUAAAGGAAAGUACAAAGAUGCCUUUAAAAAAAUAACUGCCUUUUUCAAAAAUUAGAUAACUGUCAUUUAAAAAUAACUCAAUUUUCGAAAAAGAAAGAUUGCAAUAAUCAUGGAAAUUGAAAAUAGCAAAAAUCAAUUAUGGAUAGAUGAUCGUACCUUUUCGAGAUUUAAUCUGAGAGAGAAAAAAAUAACUUACAGUCAAAAAUCUUGAUUGUCUGAGUCUGAGAAUCUCUAGACUUUUACUUCUUCAAACCUCAAGAUGUUGAGUCUGGAACGAAUAACUUCAAAUUGAUUUUUCUCCAAAGGCUUUGUAAAUAUAUCCGCCAGUUGAUUCUUUGAGUCAACAAACUGAAUCGAAACUUCUCCAUUUUGAACAUGAUCUCUAAUGAAGUGAUGUUGAAUCUCUAUAUUUUUUGCUCUUGAGUGAAGAAUUGGAUUCUUGGUGAGAUUGAUUGCACUGGUGUUGUCACACUUAAUCUCCGUGCAUGAAUCUUCAAUUCCAAAGUCUCUUAGUUGUUGUUUUAUCCAUAGAAUUUGUGAACAACAACUUCCAAGAGUUACAUACUCUGCUUCUGCUGUAGAAAGAGCUAUUGUAUUUUGUUUCCUUGAAAACCAAGACACUGUCCUGCUUCCAAGUAGUUGACAGGUACCCGAGGUGCUCUUUCUAUCAACUCUGCAUCCGGCUAGGUCUGCGUCUGAGUAUCCAAGAAGAGUAAAGUCUCCCUUUUUAGGAUACCAAAGUCCAAAGUUUGAAGUUGAUGCUAUGUAUUUGAUAAUAUGCUUUGCAGCACUUAGAUGAGAUUCUUUAGGGUCUGCUUGAAAUCUGGCACAAAUGCAAACACUAAACAAAAUGUCAGGUCUAGAAGCAGUAAGAUAAAGAAGUGAACCAAUGAUACUCCUGUAUAGCUUCUGGUUAACUUUCUUUCCUCCUUCAUCUUUGUCUAUCUUCAAGGAACUUGACAUUGGUAUAUCAGUCUUUUUGCAAUUUUCCAGUCCAAACUUUUUGACAAGAUCAUUAGCAUAUUUUUCUUGAUGAAUAAAAGUUCAUUCCUUCAAUUGUUUCACUUGAAGCCCGAGAAAGAAGGUUAGUUCACCCAUCAUGCUCAUUUCAAAUUCAUCAUGCAUAGACUUAGAGAAUUUCUUGCACGGACUUUCAUUAGAGGAUCCAAAAAUAAUAUCAUCAACAUAUAUUUGAACAAGGAGAAAAAUUUUGCUUUAACUUUUGAUAAACAGUGUAGUGUCUACUUUACCUUUAACAAAGCUGUUUUGAAUUAAAAAUUUACUCAACCUGUCGUACCAAGCUCGAGGUGCUUGCUUUAAACCAUAUAAAGCCUUUUUCAGUCUGAAUACUAAGUCUGGUUUCCUUGGGUCUUCAAACCCAGGUGGUUGUUCCACAUAGACUUCCUCAUGGAUAAAUCCAUUCAGGAAAGCACUUUUGACGUCCAUUUGGAAUAACCUGAAAUUCUUAUAACAAGCAAAAGCAAGUAAUAAUCUAAUUACUUCUAACCUCUCUACUGGUGCGUAAGUCUCAUCAUAGUCUAUCCCUUCUUCUUGCGUAUAUCCCUUGGCCACGAGUCUUGCUUUGUUUCUUACGACCUUUCCUUUCUCAUUCAUCUUGUUCCUGCUUUCCCAAUACACAUGGUGUACAUAGAUUAGUCUUUUGGUAUGACAGAUUGGGUAGAUCACAAAUAAGCUUCUUUGCUAAAAUUUUGGCUAUUUGCUUCAUAUUGAUGUGCCCAAGUUUUCUGUGCCAUAAGUUUGUUUCAUCUUGAAUUGAGAUUAGACAUUGGGUUUCAUCAGGUUUAACAUCCAAGAGGUAGAUGUUUCCAUGUCUUCGACCCAUGAAUGACUGAGUGGAAUCUUUACUGGUUCCUGAACAUAUUCUCUCUUGAAAGUUGAUUUUGAAACCGGUAUCGCACAGCUGACUGAUACUAAGCAAAUUGUAGUUGAGUCCUUCCACUAAGGAAACAUUACUGAUUGUGAGGUUUCCAAUCUUUACAGUUCCGAAUCCCACAAUUCUUCCUUUGCUGUUUCCUCUAAAUGAAACUUUUCCACCAUUUACUUGAACAAGCUUUAUGAAGCAAUUUGAAUCUCCUGUCAUAUGUCUUGAGCAUCCACUAUCAAAAUACCAUUUUACCUUCUUCUUGAUAGUGACCUGCAUUUAAAAAAGAGACUCAAACUUUCUUUGGUACCCAUAUUUUCUUGGGUCCAUUGGUGUUAGUAUGAUAUGCGGUUUUUGCCCAUACUUUCUUAACAGGUUUCCAAACCAUAUGACAUUCUUUCUCAAAAUGAUCUGAACUAUUGCACUUAGAACAUCUGAGAGCAUUUCGACCUACUGGUUUUACAAAAACUUUUUGGAAAUGAUUUUUAUAAGCAUCUCUUGUGGGUCUUUGCUUAAUUCUUUCAUUCACUUUAGGAAAAUCAAUUAAAGAAAUGGUUUCCACAGUCAUUCUCAAACCAGAUUUAUUGAAAUAAGGUCUUUGUGCUGAAAGAAUUUUCUCAAGUUUCUCAGAUCCUAUAGAAAAUCUUUUGGAAAUAUUUGCUAUGUCAUUUUUUAAAAAUGCAUUUUCUUUCGAAAAGUUGUCUUCAUUUACUUUUAGAGUAGAAACAUUCAUGUCUAAACAUUUAACCUUUUCUUUCAAAAUAUUUUCUUGUUGUUUUAGUGCAGAAUUUUCUUUUUUAAGUUUGGAAAUCCUUUUAAGAGAAGUCUUGAGACUAAAACACAACUCAUCAAUGUAUUUAGAAACUUUAGUAGGGAUUUUAAAGUUACUCACAUCAAGUUCACUGUCUGAAUCUGAGUCUGUCUCGGAGUUUGAAUCUGAAUCCGAUUGUGCCAUUAGACAUAUAUUGGCAUAAUCAUCAUCACUUUCUUCACAUUCUGUAUCACUCCAGGUUUCUGCUUUGAGAGCCUUUCGAUAUUUUUCAGCUUUUCCUUUCUUCUUCCUUAGAAGGGGACAGUUGGGUCUGAUGUGUCUCUUUUUCUUACAUUCAAAGCAGACUACAUCUCUAUUAGAUUCAUCAUCCUCAACGGACUUAGUCUGUUGCUUUUGAAAACUCUGUUUCUUUGGAUUGAAUCUUCUUCCUUUUCUAUUCAGCUUUCUGAAUCUUCUUAUCAUGAGAGCAAGUUCCUCAUCAUCCAUAUCGUCUUCAGAAUCUGUAACAUCAGAAUCAUCAUUGGAUUUUAAUGCAAUGGAUUUCUUACCUUUAGGAUCUUCGUCUUCAUUGAUUCGCUCCACUUCAUAAGACUGAAGAGUCCUAACCAACUCAUCGACAGAUAGUGGCAUAAUUCUUUGUGUCUCCCUUAUUGAGGUCUUUAUGUGAUUCCAAUCCUUGGAGAGUCCACGCAAUAGCUUGUUUACUUUCAUGAGAUCAGAAAUUGGUUGACCUUGAUUUUCAAGACCAUUCACGAUUUUUGUAAAACAACUAAACAUGUCAGUUAUAGAUUCUCCUGAUUUCAUUUUGAAGGCUUCGUAUUGACCUAGGAAAAUGUUGAUUCUGGUUUCUUUCACUCGAUCAGUUCCUUCAUAGGUGAUAUGUAAUCUAUCCCAAACUUCUUUGGCUGUAACACAAGAAGAUAUUCUGUUAUAUUCAGUAGGUGAUAAAGCGCAAUAUAAAGAAUAAAUUGCUUUUGCAUCAAGAACUUGUCUCUUGGUUAUCUCUUCCUGAGUCAUUUCACUAGACUCAACAACUUCUUUUCCUCUCUCUGAUGGUCACUCUGUCAAUGACGGGAGUGACGGUCAGCUAAGGACCGCACAUCUAAGAUGGAAACCGGUUGACUUUUUUGACAGGUUUCCAUCUUUUACCCAAUUUCUUCUUUUUCUAAUUUUUAUGUUUUCUAAAUCACUCUGUCAAAGAUGGAGUCACAAUCAGCUAAGCCACACUCAAACUAAAACUUUGCCCAAGCUUUACGCGGACAUAUAUUGAUAAAUGUACUUUAAUUAUGUUUGUUUUCAUUUUUAUUUGUAUUAAUGUCAUUAAUUUGGGAUUGUUUAUGUUUGUUAUCCAUUAGGUAUAAAAUUACCAAGUAAAGCCAUAUGUCAUAUCAAACAUGAAAAAUUGAAAGUUUAUAGUCCAAUUUAACUUUUAACGAAGGCAUGAUGAAAAUUUAAAAAAUAAAUUUGAAAAUCGCUACUUCCUAUACAAAUUGGAUCCUACUUUUCAUUUUAUGAUAUGAGGAUUUCUUUUUUCAGUAUCAUAUCUUCAAAGGAUGUUUUAAUUCAACCUCAAUGGUUGAAUUAAACCUUUAGACCAUCUCAGCUUCUUCCUAGUGUAAAAAUUCCUAUGUGACGUCCAAGAUGAAGGAAAACCCUUUAGAAUAAGUCAAUUUUGGACGGUUGAUCCUUAUGACCAAAAAGCAUCCAGCAUCGAGUCUCUAUCCCGUGCUUGCAAUCACUUGCAUAUGUUGCCCACUAUUAAGUGCUUGUUUUAUCCCAAAAAAAAAAAAAAAAGUCACCAAAAAUCCUAAAUUAUGUUCACUGUGACACAUUGACACCAAUUUUUCUUUUCUUUUUACACUAAGAAUCCCAAAUUUGUAUUUAUGUGACAUAUUUACUCCCAAAUUUAUAUAGUGGGACAUAUCUAUCCUAAACUUCUUCUUAUGAUAUAAAAAAUCAUAAAUUUGUAUCCGUAUGACACAUUCAUCCUUAAAAUUUAGUGUCACAGAAAAAAGUUUGAGAAUUUUGAUAUUACAAAAAAAAAAGUUUGAGGUAAAUAUGUCAUAGAAAUAUAAGUUUAAGAUUUUUGAAGUCACAAAAAAAGUUUGGGUAAAUACAUCACAUGGGUGAAGUUUGGGGUUUUUGUGGAUUUUUCUCCUUUAUUUAUUCUUUCUUCUCUAUAUGGGCUAAAGAACGUAGAUGUUCAUGCUUUGACAAGUAGUGAUUCACCCUUGCUCUCACCAUGACGAAGAGGUAUCCUUUCAUUUGCUUAGCCACGACUAAUAUGGAGCACAAGCUCCUGGUUCAAACUUGUCUUACACACUCUAAUCAAUGUUUCUUAAACAUAUUAUGAUUUUCACCAGCGUUUUUCCUAAGCUGUAGAAAAUCACCAGGAUGGAGACCAAGGAUUUAGAGUGACGAUUCUCGUUCUUUGAUUUUGGAUGCCUCCAUCAUUCCAAGGACAUUAAAUGUGAGAAGUGAUGAGCUAAUGUCGCAAUUUUAUAGCAUCAACAACCCUUUUCCCCACUAAAACACUACUGAUUGAGACAUUUGAUGAUCGAGGGGCGUGAUUACGCUAUUUCCACCCUUUGUCUCCAGAAAAUGACUGAAUAGCUAUAGAAAUUUGCGAUCCUUGCCAUGAUAUUUCUCUCUAAGCAAGGCAGGUAUAGGGAUUUUUCUUUUGAUCAUCAGGUACAUAGACUCUAAUGAGAUUGUGGUUUAAAUUCGUUUUCUUUCACGUGGGGUCUGGUUGUUCCAGUAAAUUCGAAAUGCUGAUAAGAUGAAUUUUGCUGAUAUCGAGAAAGAAAUCAACAGUCUUGUAAAGAAGGCAAAUGCAAUGGAAUGGGAAGCAGCUGAUCUUUCUGUUGAUCGGAUCAUAUUUAUAUUUUGUUCCAAUGUCCCAUCAUCUAUCAUCAAUUCACCGCAUUACACGGAUCGAAAUCAGGUGGAAUUGUUAUUAAAUUCCUUAAGAAUGCAAUUUGCUAGCCAAAUUAAGAUCCGAAUAUUCCAUCCAAAUGUCCGGUGGGUACUGCUGUAGAAAGUCAAUAUCUUGCCUGUACACAACCCGAAAUCUAGCCUAAAUUACUUACUUUAUAUGCACCAUCCAAAAACUUUAAUUCGUAAAUAAAAUACGAGGAACCUUUUCUAUGUCCACCAUAAGUAAAUUUUCCUGAUAGGGAUGGACGUCGGGAAAAAGCUGAUAUUUUUCUGGAUUGGAUCAUAUUCAUAUGUUUGUUCAAAUGUCCCAUCAUUUAUGGUCAAUUCCCCGCAUUACUCGGAUCAAAAUUAGGUGGAAUCCUUAUUAAAUUACUUAAGAUUGCAAUUAAUUAGCCAAAUCAAGAUCCAAACAUCCUUAGAACACGGGGUUAAUUAGACAAUUUCGAGUGACAUUAUUGUUACAUUGAAUUUUAACUUUCCAGGAAUGUGGUGUGAUGUUGUUGUCAUGAGCGUGCUCCAACUACAUUAAAUUAGAAGACGAGGAGAUAUCUUUGGCCACCAUCACGGAAAGUCAAAUAAAAGCGUGGUCUAACAUAUAUAUAUACCAUUCAAAUGUGCGAUGGGUGCUGAUGUAGAAAGUCAACGUCUUGCCUGUACACAGCCCAAAUCUAGCCUAAAUUACUAACAUUAUUGAAUGAUUGUCUAAUUCAAAGGGAAUGAAUAAUGAACGUAAAGUUUGAAAUUCUAGAACUGUGACCCUUAGAUAUUGACUUUUAAUAAUUAAGUAAAGCAAUUUCCGAAUAUGAAAAGUAAAGAAACAACUUAAACUUAGACUUUUUUAUUAGUACGAUAUGCAUACAUGUCACACUACUUUACUUUGAUGGAGAAAAUGUACAUUGUAGCAUUUUAUGUCGGUUAUCGCUAGAUUAAACACUCAAGUUAUAAUUACUUUAGGGCCUUGUUGGCCGUAUUGCCCAAAUCCAUUGUGAGCGUAGGUCGAAUCAAGCCCAUGGGCCCUAAUUGGCCGACUGUGGCCCGACAAACAUUUGAUGGACUGGUUGGCCCCAGCCUUGAGGACUUUUGGUGCUUCAGAAAUAUAGUCAUUGGACAGUCGAUCCGUGUUUUAUUAUUUUUCUGCAAUUACUUUGUUUAUUAUUAAUAAUAUUUUUGUACUUUUUUCUUUAAAAAUUUGAGUUGCAUAGCUCGAGCAGAACUCCGAGCAUCGAAUAUCUAAUAGGAGUUGAGCUUGAGCUUGGCCUUAUUGUAUUGGCUUGACUCGAAAGGUAGUUAUAAAAAUAAUAGUUAUUUAUUUAGUAAUUAUACUAUUGUUUAAUAAUUAGUUCAUUUAUUUUUUUAGUAAUUAUAUUAUGGUUUAAUUAUAUCAAUUAAUAAAAUAAUGGUUACUUACAUUAGAAAUUCAAAUAUUGCAAUUAUUUAGAAAUUAUAGUAGGCUUUCAUUUAUGUCCUAUGAAAAUAUGAUAAUAAAAGAAAUUAGAGUUUGAUAUAUAUCAUCAAAGGGUAUUUUGGGUAUUCUUCACUAUUCCAAACAUAUUCUCCCUACUAUCAUGGCAAAACAAACCAAAUAAUUUUUUGAAUCCAUUAUACAAACCAAACUACAAUUUAGCUAUUCCAUUCCUAGUCCUACUCUCUUCCAAUUUUAUGGAAUAACUUUUCCAUUCCUAUCUUAUUAUAUCCCACAAUCAAAACAUCACAUGACACAUUUGAAAUAGCUUUUUUUAGUGAAGUCACAUUAUCAUGAGGUUAGAUCUCUCACCAUCAUUCAUAAAGAAACGUAGAAAUGUAAUCUCAACCGUCUAACUUUUUCACUUGAUAUAUAGGUUACUAAUUCUUGCAAUAAAAAUAUCUUAUCCUUGGAAUAAAUAUCUUCUACAUGGUAAAUGUCAUUUCUUUGAGGUAAAAAGAUUCAUUUGCGAUAAGGGAGCCCGUGAGUGGUCUCUCCAUGCCACAUUUCCUCAUUUUGUAGUCGAUCACCUAUGAUCUUCUGCCUUGAUAUAUUCAUGAUUUAUUUGAAUUACCCCAAUUAGACAACAGUUCCAAAGAGAUUCUUUCAAGCCAAGAGCAAAAGAAAAAAGCAUAUUCACCAAAAAAGUCACUAUGACUAUACUGAUGAAUUGUGCCAUGAAAUGUCAUAGCACAGUUCAUCGAACCCUUUUAAACAAGACAACAAAUAAGGUGAACAGCAUAGAAUCUUGGGCCCACGAUUUGUAUCCUCACUCAGAAUGCGGUGCUCUAAGCCAAAGAAGCUGUGGAAAUAGCGGCAGCUGCUAAAAUGUCGUGACUGCUCCAAAUUUGUGACUGGAAAUUGCAAACGUACCUGAUGAAUUAUUCUAUAAAUGCUGCGCCCCCAUACGAGAAUGAGAUUGUUGCAAGGAUUAACUACAACAGAUGCAUAAUAAGCCACCAUCAAAAUCUGCAGUUGAAAUUCUGAUAGGGGAUGCAGUUCUAGUUUUGGGGAGAGACGAUAGAAUUUGAUGAACGAAAAGAAUUUGUAUGGAGCCUUUCUCUUUUCAGCAUCUGAGACUGACGGCCUUGCCUUUGAAGCAACAGACUUCAAAAGAGUCGGUUAUAAUUGGCUUUUUCCCAUGCUGAUUGUUCUCGCCCCUGUCAAGAAGAUCAUGAACAGCUUGAAGCUGUGCAUCCGAAAACAGAGCUUCAAGAUCCGCUCCACUAAAUCCUUCUGUCAUAUGAGCUGUAGCAUCCAAGUCCACAUCACUGGCCAAAGGAACUGCACAGGGGCAUUAGAGCAUACACACAGCAAAACUUCAGCAUUGCCCAAUGGUUGCCAAUUUUACUGACUGAUUUGACAGAAUCGGAUUAAUAUAAUUAAAUCUACCAAAGGUAAAGUCUUAGUCCCAUCUCAUGGAGUCAGAUGUCAAGGCCUUUCUCAUUUUUCUUUUCUGAGCAACAUCAGUAUAUGUUAAAUCCACUAGUCUCAAGGUCCGAGGUUGAAAGUGAUUUACUAUUGGACAUUUAGACUUACCUGAGCCCCACCUUAGCAGGUUGCAGAUCCAACCCACGAAUGCCUUUUACAAUCUUCUCUUGUAAUUCACAAUGUUUAGGGUGAUUUGUAGCAGGACUUUUGGAGAACUCCAUGGGAGAAGGGGUUUUAACUUUUAACUUAACAUGUUUCACCAAAUGUACUCUAUCAGAUGCCACAAGUUCUAAACAGGAUCUUUAGCCGCUCAAUUGACUCUGUUUCUAACUCUUUUUGUUAAUUUUUAAGGAAUUUUCUAUUCAUAUGUAAUCUUUCUGAUGAUUUUUCUUGAAAAAGUAGGAUUGCAGUUAUAAAGUUCUUUUAACAAAUAGAACCUGUUUCAGACCAUGUCAAAGAUGAAAUGCUAAAAGAAAAGGCAUUGGUAGAUGGAUGUGAGCUAAGUUUCUACCUUCCUGGAUAAAAGUUUAACAAUAUCUAGCCUCUCCUGUAUAGAAGGAAAAUCACAGAAUUUAUGUUGAGCCAGCCAGGACUCAGAAGUGCAGCAUCAAGUGAGUGCGUUCUACAGCUUCACAUCAAAUGCAACUCAGUUAGCACAAAAAGCCCAUAACCUGACAAUUAUUAAAUAAAGAAAGAGCAUUCUUAGAAAGAAAAGUGAAUUAGAAUUACUAGGAAAUAGAUGAACCCGUGAAUUAGAAUUACUAGGAAAUAGAUGAACCCAUGAACCUUGAGCAAAACAAAAGAGCACCUCACGCAGCAAAGAUGUUAUGAUGACUAAGAAAUUGCAUAUGCUCGCUGUCACUAGACCCAAAUGAUCAACAUCAGUUGAUGCCGUUGUGGAGGCUCAAUACCAGCAUAUACACUUCUUUUAAGCUACUUCAGCAACGAAAAAGUAAUCCAUGCAAUCCCAUCUUUUAUCACCUUCUUUUUUAUACAUAUGUAGUCUAUCCAAUACUGUGCAUCGUAGUUCAUAAUCCUAGUUUAUGGUGAUCUUUGGUUGUGCAGUGUGACAUCCUGAAUUUUUUCAACUUGUUUUCUACUAAAUUUAUCGGGCAUUUCAUUGACGUGUUUCUAGGGCUAUUCUCAAAGCCGAUCACUCUUGAAAAAACUAGACUGUCAGGGUAAGCCAUUAAGAAUUUUAAGGCAAUAGACUCGAAAAUUCAAUCAGGAAUCGGCUUCUCAACCGUGCUUAUCAUUAGAGGCCGUUACGGCACAGUUAAAAAUCGAUUUGAAAUCAAAGAUAGGUCUGUUUGACUGAGAUGUGUGGCCGAUUGUGGGUGACUCCAGUAAAUUGGAAAAUUCUCGUCGAUUGAUACUAAUAUGAUUUUACAGUCAUUUUGGUAUCCUGUGUCCGUAAUUGAAUCCUCGAGAUUUUCAAGACAAUUGAGAGUCGCCGUUGAGUCGAGUGGGUUCAUUGUGGUUCAAAGAAAAUCGACCACGAGUCAUUUGCCUUAAAAAAUUCUGAAAACUACCCGGUAGUCUAGGUCACGCUAAAAACACGCCAAACAGAAAUUAACUGCGAAAUUCGAGGCCGAUUUCAGAAAUUGAAGUUUCUGUCAUGUCACAAUAAAUUUUAGGAGUGUCGACUUAGUCUUUGAAGAUUUUUUAGAGAUUCCGAGAUUUUUAUGGAAAAUUGGUUCGGACGCCGUGGAAAAUCAGCGGAAAUUCGGAUAGGCCAAAUUAAAGGAAAUUUCGACUUCCGAGCCGAGUAUUGAGUGUCAUGGACUUACAGAAAAUUGUUUGGGAUUUUUCUCCAUUGGAAUUGGACCUCAAUUUGGGAAAUUAAGUAAGAAGAUUUAAUUUAGUUGGGCAAAUUCGAAAUUGGAAAAAGGGCAGAAAUUUGAGGCUUCAAAUUGGAUAAUUUGGUGAAGAUUAAUCAGGAAAGAAAUUGGGAACCAUAGAAGAUAAGAUUGAAGAUUGGUGGGGCCAAACAUUCAAUCUAAUGGCUAAGGAUUAUUGACUUUCACCCCCCUCUUUGGCUUCUCCCUCACGCUCGGCACCCCCCAUCCGCUCAUUGUUCCUGCUUUUGUUUUCAUUUUCUCUACCGUGCGAAGCAGUCCCCACCCGGCCUCUCUACAGCUUCGUUGCUUCUCUUCCCCAACCAAAGUUCACAAGCCCCCGCUCACGCCAACCUCGAGAUCUUCAAUCAAGCUGCUCCUCUCCACUAGUUGCUGUCCCCCGCCAGUCAACUCUCCUCACUGAAGCCUGAUCGAAGCCCCGUCUACGGUUUGCUUCUCUCUCGCGCUGCCACCGAAGACCCAAAGUCCAGCAUCUUCGUUCGUGCCUUGCCAACAGCCACGAAGACUUGCAGCCACGCCAAGUAGCUGCUUCCUCGUCCGCGUGAAUUUCCCCGACGCCACGAAGACAGGAGCUGCUACCGCGCCAGCUCUCAAACGAAGCAGCACUGCUCGAAGCCGAGCGAAGCCACCCCCCAUCUUCGGUUUGGCUCCACGAAGCUGCCCCUUCGUCCUCAGUCUCCAACAGCAGCAACCCACGUGUUUCUUCCCUCGUUCCAGCCCGAUUUCCUGCCACCGUUUGAAGCCAGCGAGAUCUGCAAGCUUCGGUCAGCCCAGCAAGCCCAACUUCAAUUUCAGUCUUCAAGCCCAGUCAAAUUGCUUCAGCUGCAGCCCAGUCCAGUCCACGUGAGUUAAUUGGCCAAGCCCAAUUUCCAGCAAAGCAAUUAAAGUCCAGCCCAUAUCUUGAAGCCCAUCUUCAGCAGGUCCAACCCAACUUGGGUCCAGCCCAAAAGCAAAAACAAAUCUCAAUUGGGCUGAGAUUUGUUGGGCCCAAGUUUAAGGCCCGGUCCAAGCCCGCCGGUAUCGUCGAAAGCCUGAUUUCGGCUGCCGUCGCGUCGCCGUCGUGGUAUCCUGAUACCCGCUUUUAAUCAAGUGAGUAAUCUCACUAAUCCUUGCUUAGUAUACUAAUUAUGCUUAAGGAUUGAUUAGAUUUAAUUAAGUGUAAUUAGGUGGUUAAAUUAGAAUGGAUUAGUGAUUAUUAGUUAAUUGCAUUGCAUAUUAGUUAGGUGAUUAGUGUACUUAGCUAGAGAAUUGCCUAUACUAUUUAUUGAAUGCAUCUCGGGAUUUUUCCCGACCCUUAUCGGGCUUCAAUUAGGCAUUACGGGCCUAAAUUGGAUUUUUAAUAUUUAUUGAUUUAAUUUCGAAAUUAAUUAUUUAAUUAUUUAUUUUUCCGGAAAUUCAACCGGGAUGGCUGGUGACCGGAAUUUCAUGUUGAUUGUCGUGGUGCAGUCCAUUUAUUUAUUUGAGCUCUACAUUGUUCUAAAUUGAAUUAAUUGCGUGAAUUAAGGAAUUAUUCCUAAAUUGAUUGAAAUUAAGUGAAAUUGAAUGAUUGGUUGGUAGAUGGCCGAGUAUAGUUAUUGAGCAUUGUUAAUGCCUUAAUGAGUAAUGAGGUGGAGAGAAUCGUGAGAUUUAAUUGGGAAUACUUUUGGCUGAGACCAAUCAGAUACAAGGUAUAGACAGGCGUGGUUCCGUGAUUAAGGAUAUCACUGUGUGAAAAUGGCACAUUAAAGAAUGCACGUAGACUGUCUGUGACUUGUGGCAAGCAUGGUUCGAUGAUUAAUGAUAUCACUGUGCAAAAACGGCGCCUUAAAGAACGCACGUAGACUGUCUGUGAUCUGUGACCUAUGACAGGCGUGGUUCGGUGAUGAAGGACAUCACUGUGCGAAAACAGCGCCUUAAAGAACACAUGUAGACUGUUUGUUACUUACGUCACCUUGGCGAAAACGAUGGCCGAGAGUAUUAAUGGAGCUCUUUGACUAUGUGUACUAUUGGAGGUUAUAUAGUGGGUUGUGAAUGACCUAGAAGAGGUUUGACUGAUGUGUAAUCGACUAAGUCGAUUAAGAAAUGAUUUGAUCUGAUGUCGUAAUUUGAUUGACUGUUCGAUGUGAUAUAUGAAGCAUCUGUAUAUAACCUUAAAUUGCAGGUUGGAACUGAUGCCAAGGUAAGUCUUCUGACUCGUGCUGUGCUUAGGCAACCAUGUGGUGUAUUGGUUUCCUAAUCGAGUCUUAGUGGGGUAGAAUUUGCUGAGACGUAGUCUCAUCCCAGUUGUGGGACAACAUUUCAGGACCCUGAUGAGGAGCCUAAGGAGAAAGAAACUGAAGAGGAGUAUCUGGAGGAGAAUCUAGAGGAUGAUCCUGAGUACGACCAGGAUGAGGAUUGAGAGCCUAUCCGCUUUUUGUAAACCCUGUUUAUGUGUAGAUAGAGUGAGGCUUUAAAUUUGUGAACAGUUGUGAAGUACUCUGUAUUGUGUUAUGUAUAAGAGUUUGGUUAUGAGUUUCAAUAUGAAAAAUAUGGCAUUACUUUUCUAUCCCAUCGUUUUAUUGUCUGGGGAUUUAUAACUGCUUCCGCAUAUGCUAGAAAAAAAAAGAAAAUGUUGGUGAUACAUAGUCCUAGGAUAUUGCAUUAUAAAAUCAAUAAAGUAGAAGGAUGUGUGUGUGCCCGAGGAUUUGGGCGUGACAUCCCUUUUUGUGGUAUCAAAGCAAAGUUCAAGAUUGGAGUGAUAAGGAGCGAUGAGUCUUGGGAUAGUAAUAAGAAUGGCCUUUAAAUUCAUGCCGGUGCAUGUCUGUGUUAGCUAAAUGCUAGAAUUGCUUGUUGUUUGGAUCACUCUGUUUCUAAUUUGGUGUUGAAUUGGAAGUAGGUAUCAGUAGAUUAAAGUGACACCAUGAGCGAUUAGGAGCCUAGAACUCCUGCAAAGAGGACCAGUAAGGUCGUUGUUUGAGGGUAAAGCUCUGACUCGUGUCGGGACUCGAGGCGGAUGUGGUCGAGCGCGAGUGGAGUGAUUCCAUCUGUUGUAGGUGCCGGGGUAGCAGCCCCUAAUGAUCCUAGGUUGGAUGGGAUCUUGCGUGUUCUGGAAGCGAUGGGUACGAGAAUGGAUCAGCAAGCCGCUACAGUUGAAGCCGCCGCUUAGGUCGCCGCCACUGCCGCAGCUGCUGCUACUGCUCAAGCCGCCCUUGUCGCAGCACCUGCAGUUCCACCUGCCGUCGCCCCUACUGAAAUACUACCAGGAGUUGUUGUCACUGGGAGGCCGAUUCACCAGUUAGUGGAAUAGUUCUUAAAGAUGAAUUCGCCGAAAUUCAUUGGUACCGGAGACCUUGAGGCUGCGUCUCUAUGGGUACAGGAUUUGGAGAAGGCAUUUGCACUUCUGAUGUGCAAUGAGGAGGAAAAGGUGUUACUAGCUAUGUACCAACUUCAAGGUAACACCAAUAUAUGGUGGAGAGCCGCCAAGGAUACAGUGUUCCUGGAAGGUGUGGUCCAGGUAUGGGACACCUUCCUCAGAGCCUUUAAUGAUUAGUACUUUUCGAGUACUGCUCGGGAACAAAAGAUAGAGGAGUUCCACCAUCUCCUCCAAGGGAGCAUGACAGUUGACCAAUAUGGGGUCAAGUUUGCAGAACUAUCCCAGUAUGCUCCUAAACUGAUAGAAGACCCUAAAGGGAAAGCUCGGAAGUUCAAAAUCGGUUUUCGUGCUGAAUUGAAACAACCUCUACUACCAUGGGACUUGAAAGAUUAUAGAGAGGUUUAUCGUCGACCCCAGAUGAUAGAGCGAGGAUUGAAUGAACAAGCUGCCUCAUUUGGAUCGAGGUUUACCUCCCAUCGAUAGAAUAUCCGUCACGGGAAGAGACCCAUGUCUGGAGGUAGGCCUAAUGCUCCACCCUUCAAGAGAAGCGGGUUCAAUAGACCGAUGCCCAAUAGGGUUGAUUCUUUUCGCUCAUGUGGAAGACGACACGGGACAGCUCCCUGCCCAGCCAGGAUAGGAGCAUGUUACGAAUGUGGCCAACAGGGCCACAUCGUAAGGUAUUGUCCAAAGAAGCAGAGAGGACAACCUCAAUUGCCACCGCCACCACUAAUUAGACAGAUUAGAUGGUAUGCCCCUCAGAAUGCACCUUAGGGCGGACAGCAGAGACCUCCAGUUCAAGGCACCAUGUAUGCAAUUACGCAAGGCCAGGCAGAAGCUACGCCUGACGUGAUCACAGGUACAGUCUCGCUCAACAACCAACCUGCUUAUGCUUUGUUUAAUUCAGGAGCAACCCAUUCCUUCAUUACCGAGCAAUAUGUUAGGAUGCUAGGGUUGAGUCAUGUAUUAUUGGAGUCGGCAAUUUGCAUAUCUACACCCUUGAAAGAUAAAGUUAUUGUUGCUUUGGGAUGUUCGGGGUGCAAGUUAGAGAUUGGUGAGUGAGUGGGGAAAAUUGACUUGUUAGUCCUAGCCAUGUAUGAUUUUGAUUUAAUAAUUGGCAUGGACUGGCUCACCAAGCACCGAGCUAAAAUGGACUGCUAUCAUAAAGUGAUUCAGUUUGACCCGUUAGGGGGUAAGAGUUUCGAGUUUGUCGGGAAUCGAGGAGGACCCUCGAUUGUCCUGAUCUCGUCGCAAGAGACAACUCGUCUAUUAGACGAGGGUUGUUGAGGGUACCUGGCAACUGUCGUGGAUACGACAGUUGAGGAGCUGAAAAUGGAAGAUAUUUCAGUGGUACAAGAGUUUCCAGAUGUCUUUUCAAAGGAAUUGCCAGGGUUACCGCUAGAAAGAGAGAUUGAAUUUGUAAUUGAAUUAGCACAAGGGACAGAACCGAUUUCAAAGGCACCUUACCGAAUGGCGUUAUUUGAGUUGAAGGAACUGAAGGUGUAGAUGCAAGAGUUACUGGAUAAGGGAUUUAUUCGCCCUAGUGCAUCACCUUGGGGAGCACUAGUUCUGUUUGUAAAGAAGAAAGAUGGUUCGCUACGUCUGUGCAUCGACUAUCGGUAACUCAAUCAGGUAACGAUCAAGAACAAGUAUCCACUGCCAAGAAUUGAUGACUUAUUUGAUCAGUUGCAAGGGGCGUCGAUUUCCUCAAAGAUUGACUUGAGGACAGGGCAUCAUCAACUGAGAAUUAGGAAGGAGGAUAUUCCUAAGUCAGCAUUUCGUACUUAGUAUGGUCACUACGAGUUUACAAUGAUGCCAUUUGGGCUGACGAAUGCUCCAACUGCCUUCAUGGAUAUGAUGAACAGAGUGUUCAAGGAAUACCUGGAUCAGUUUGUAAUCAUAUUCAUUGAUGAUAUCUUGGUGUAUUCGAGAAGUGAUGGAGAGCACGAGAAUCAUUUAAGAUUAGUGCUUCAGACCUUAAGGACUCACCGGCUGUGUGCUAAGUUUAGCAAAUGCGAGUUUUGGUUGACUCGUGUUGCGUUCUUAGGUCAUGUGAUUUCCGGAGAAGGAAUUUCCGUAGAUCCGAGCAAGAUAGAAGCCGUAAUCAAGUGGCGAAGACCGACAACAGUGAUAGAGAUCAGAAGUUUUCUGGGUUUGGCAGGGUAUUACAGACGGUUUGUGGAAGGUUUCUCAUCGUUAGCCUCGUCUCUGACAAAGCUCACGAAGAAAAACGAGAAGUUCAUAUGGAUAGACAAGUGUGAGCGUAGUUUUCAAGAGCUGAAGGAAAAGUUGACUACCACACCGGUACUGACGAUUCCAUCUGGUCCUGGAGGAUUCGAGAUCUAUAGUGAUGCGUUUUUUAGAGGAUUGGGUUGUGUGUUGAUGCAACAUGGUAGAGUGGUUGCAUACGCGUCCUGUCAGUUGAGGCCCCAUGAGCAGAAUUAUCCAACGCAUGACUUAGAGCUCGCAGCGAUUAUCUUUGCCCUGACGAUUUGGAGACAUUAUCUAUGCGGGGAAAAGUUCCAAAUCUUCACGGACCAUCAGAGUCUCAAGUAUCUAUUCUCUCAGAAGGAGUUGAACAUGAGACAGCGCCGAUGGAUGGAGUUAUUGAAGGAUUACGAUCGUGAUAUUCUAUAUCAUCCGAGGAAGGCGAAAAAAGUCGCCGAUGCUUUGAGUCGAAAGUCUUUAGUAGCUCACCUACUAAUCAAGGAGUGGAACUUAAUCGAGAGAGCACGAGAUUUGGUGUUCAAAUUUGAGAUAGGCAACCUUUCGAGUUUUAUGGCCACCCUUAUAAUUAAACCGGAUGUUUAGGUUAGAAUCAAGCUACUUCAACCGACAGAUUCAGAUGUACAGAAGAUAAUUCAAGAGGACCCCAAUAAAAGAAAGGCUAAUUUUCAGGUUUAUGAUGAUGGAGUACUGAGGUUCCAUGGGCGGUUGGUUAUACUUGACGAUGUAGAGCUUAGAGAGGAUAUUUUAUUUGAAGCACAUCGUUCAUCCUGGAAGUACCAAGAUGUAUCAGAACCUGCGUCAACACUAUUGGUGGUUAGGUAUGAAGGCGAACAUCACCAAGCAUGUCGCCAAGUGAAAAUCACAAGCCCCCGCUCACGCCAACCUCGAGAUCUUCAAUCAAGCUACUCCUCUCCACUAAUUGUUGUCCCCCGCCAGUGAACUCUCCUCAUUGAAGACUGACCAAAGCCCCAUCUACUGUUUGCUUCUCUCUCACGCUGCCACUGAAGACCCAAAGUCCAGCAUCUUCGUUCCUGCCUUGCCAACAGCCACGAAGACCUAGAGCCACGCCAAGCAGCUGCUUCCUCAUCCGCGUGAAUUUCCCCGACGCCACGAAGACAGGAGCUGCUGCCGCGCCAACUCUUAAACGAAGCAGCACCGUUUGAAGCCGAGCGAAGCCACCCCGCAUCUUCGGUUUGGCUCCAAGAAGCUGCCCCUUCGUCCUCAGUCUCCAGGAGUAGCAACCCACAUGUUUCUUCCCUCAUUCCAGCCCGAUUUCCUGCCACUGUUUGAAGCCAGCGAGAUCUGCAAGCUUCAGUCAGCCCAGCAAGCCCAACUUCAAUUUCAGUCUUCAAGCCCAGUCGAAUUACUUUAGCUGCAGCCCAGUCCGGUCCACGUGAGUUAAUUGGCCAAGCCCAAUUUCCAGCAAAGCAAUUGAAGUCUAGCCCAUAUCUUGAAGCCCAUCUUUAGUAGGCCCAACCCAACUUGGGUCCAGCCCAAAAGCAAAAACAAAUCUCAAUUGGGCUGAGAUUUGUUGGGCCCAUGUUUAAGGCCCUGUCCAAGCCCGCCGGUGUCGUCGAAAGCCCGAUUUCAGCCGCCGUCGCGUCGCCGUCGUGGUGUCCCGAUACCCGCUUUUAAUCAAGUGAGUAAUCUCACUAAUCCUUGCUUAGUAGACUAAUUAUGCUUAAGGAUUGAUUAGAUUUAAUUAAGUGUAAUUAGGUGGUUAGAUUAGAAUGGAUUAGUGAUUAUUAGUUAAUUGCAUUGCAUAUUAGUUAGGUGGUUAGUGUACUUAGCUAGAGAAUUGCCUAUACUAUUUAUUAAAUGCAUCUCGGGAUUUUUCCCGACCCUUAUCGGGCUUCAAUUAGGCAUUACGAGCCUAAAUUGGAUUUUUAAUAUUUAUUGAUUUAAUUUCGAAAUUAAUUAUUUAAUUAUUUAUUUUUCUGGAAAUUCAACCGGGAUGGCCGGUGACCGAAAUUUUAUGCUGAUUGUCAUAGUGCAGUCCGUUUAUUUAUUUGGGCUCUACAUUGUUCUGAAUUGAAUUAAUUGCGUGAAUUAAGGAAUUAUUCCUAAAUUGAUUGAAAUUGAGUGAAAUUGAAUGAUUGAUUGGUAGACGGCCGAGUAUAGUUAUUGAGCAUUGUUAAUGCCUUAAUGAGUAAUGAGGUGGAGAGAAUCGUGAGAUUUAACUGAGAAUACUUUUGGCUAAGACCGAUCAGAUACAAGGUAUAAACAGGCGUGGUUCGGUGAUUAAGGAUAUCACUGUGCGAAAACGGUGCCUUAAAGAACGCACAUAGACUGUUUAUGACUUGUGGCAGGCGUGGUUCAGUGAUUAAGGAUAUCACUGUGUGAAAAUGACGCCUUAAAGAAUGCACGUAGACUGUCUGUGAUUUGUGAUGUAUGACAGGUGUGGUUCGGUGACGAAGGAUAUCACUGUGCGAAAUCGGCGCCUUAAAGAACACGCGUAGACUGUCUGUUACUUACGUCACCUUGGCGAAAACGACGCCCGAGAGUAUUAAUGGAGCUCUGUGACUAUGUGUACUAUUGGAGGUUAUACAGUGGGAUAUGAAUGACCUAGAAGAGGUUUGACUGACGUGUAAUUGACUAAGUCGAUUGAGAAAUGAUUUGAUCUAAUGUCGUAAUUUGAUUGACUGUUCGAUGUGAUAUAUGAAACAUCUGCAUAUAACCUUAAAUUGCAAGUUGGAACUAAUGCCAAGGUAAGUCUUCUGACUCGUGCUGUGGUUAGACAACCAUGUGGUGUAUUGGUUUCUUAAUCGAGUCUUAGUGGGGUAGAACUUGCUGAGAUGUAGUCUCAUCCCGGUUGUGGAACAACAUUUCAGGACCCUGAUGAGGAGCCUGAGGAGAAAGAAACCGAAGAGGAGUAUCUGGAGGAGAGCCCAGAGGAUGAUCCUGAGUACGACCAAAAUGAGGAUUGAGAGCCUAUCUGCUUUUUGUAAACCCUAUCUAUGUGUAGAUAGAGUGAGGCUUUAAAUUUUUGAACAGUUGCGAAGUACUCUGGAUUGUGUUAUGUAUAAGAGUUUGGUUAUAAGUUUCAAUAUGAAAAAUAUGAUCUUGCUUUUCUAUCCCAUCGCUUUAUUGUCCAGGGAUUUAUAACUGCUUCCGCAUGUGCUAGAAAAAAGAGUAAGGGUCGGCGAUAGAUAGUCCUGGGAUAUCGCAUUAUAAAAUCGACCAAGUAGAAGGAUGUGUGCGUGCCCGAGGAUCGGGGCGUGACAUGCAGCAUCAGAUAAUCCUAGUUCAAUCUCUGGAACCACAGGAAACAAAGAUUAUACAAAAGGGGGCAACCCAGGUUGUUGCAUUUGCCUAAUUGAAUUCAACUAUGAAUGACAAUCAUCAAAUUCCUAGACCUAGCUAACAGCAAAGGAAAAAGAAAAAUACAUAUAAUCUGCACAACAAAUAAGAAUUCAAGGAUGUAAAUGCCUUAUUGGGCGAAAAUACAUCUCUCCAUGUUUUUCCCCAAAUUCAAUUUUAGAUUGGUCCUUUCUAACACGCAUGACCAAGGUGAAAUGAGACAAAACAGAUGGACUAUAUAUCAACUCAAAACUAGCGCACAACAUAAAAAGUGAAAAGUCAAGCCCAAGAGGUUCUCAAUCAAAAUCGUUUUAUAUGGCAAGCUUGCUGUAAUGCAGUAAAUCUUAUGAAACCUAACCGAAAUCACUUGUCAAAAUGGGGAGAACAAAGUCUCUUGAAGUACACAUUGUGCUACCAUGAUUCGAGUUGCAAAACUAAAGAAUACGGUCCUACAACAACUUUUGAAUUUUUCAAGUUCACGUAAGUGCGACAUUACUCCACUCUUGGUUGUCACAAAUUAACAUGUCUUCCCAAUAUAUAGGCUCACGCCAGUUACAAAAAUCACGGCAACAGUAGUUCAACAACAAUAGACCUACCCCCAAACUGAAAUAGUAAACUGCUUGAAACAAACAGGGACCUUCAAGUUCCCAAAAAAUUCUGACGUACCUGUGUGAUCAUCACUUGGUCCCUCAAGAAUUGUAGAUCAGCAACAUGAACUUCUAAACUUGCUUUAGCAAUUUCUAGGUUCUUUUGUAGAAGAGUUGCCGCCUGUAACAUGAAUUAAUGCAAUAAAUAAGAUACUUGACAUCAUUAUUGGAGAUAAAGGGACAUUGCUUCAACUCAAGUACCUCUUCGCAUGAAUACUCCAACAUAACAUUUGCUCUCUGCCAAAAACAUACCGAAUCGGUAUGUUAGAUGUGAGCACAUGAAUAAAAUGCCUUUAGAGACUUCAAAAUCAGCAAGUGCCUGCAUCCACAAUAAAGAGCCAUAAAGGCCGGUCAGUUUGGCACCUAUUAUUAUAUUUUGCGUCUUAGAAGUUUUGAUGGUCUUAGGUUUUAAAGCCCAAUACAGUAAUCCCACCCCAUUUUGCUUUCUAAUAGGACCUUCAGACAUCAAAGCAUAACAUUAUUGGCGAUAUAUUUAGGUGUCCAAAUCUAAAACCACCGCACAAUUAUUGAGAUUAACAUGGGUUCUUUAAAGAACUAACCCAUAUUCUUAGGAACAUUGCUUCUGGAAGUGCAUUUGCGAAGGAAAAAAGAUAGUUGAAUAUUCCAUAUUUAGUCAAGUGCACCAAAAGUAGUUCCUAGUAUGGCAAGAAUAAGGCCACUAUAUCAUCUACCUGCUUUGUUAAGAUAAAAAGGACCGAUAUGAUCAACUAAGAGAACAUCGAGGAGCAAGAAGAUAUUUUAACAUGCAAAUUUUCUAGCAUGAUAAGAUUAUGCAAAAAUUUUAGUUCACAUCACACAUGAAAGAUGAUUGAUAGACUGUCAAGCAUUCCAGAUGAAAAGGAGAAACUGUGAACUAAAAAAUUGGUGUUUCAAUGACAGUACGAAGAACUUCAGGGGAUAAAAUGAGAAAGAACUCUGCAUUGGAAAAAUACUUAGUUAAAAUACAUGCACUGAGAAGCAUUCAGCUUGAAUUUCAAUCUUAAAAUCCAGAUCUGAGGCUAUGGUUCAAUAUUUCAGUAGUAUAGACACAUGCUUGUUGCACACACACAAUGACAUGCAUGCUCGAUCACAAGUCACUUUGCUAUAGCACAUCUAACCAUUCCUCUAGGGCUCAAAGAAAAUUUGGGAUCCAACCAGCGAGCUAUCUAAGUACAGACUUGUAGGUUGGAAAAGUGAAUGUCGAAAAAUGGGAGGGUCACUUUGGUAUAAGGCACCCUUUUCAAUUGGCCAGUUUGCUUCAGUCAUUAUGCAGGUUCCUAGUUGAGUGUCAAUUAAACUAGAGCCUAAAUAAGAGGAUAUCUUUGUGGCCAAAUGGAGUGGUGAGGUGAAGUAAUGGCCCAAUUUGAAAUGAUUGAUCAAUUCAAAUCCUGAAUUUUUCGUAUUGAGAAAGAUAGCACACCUUAUUUAUAUGAUAUCAGAGAGUUGAAGGUUGAAAACUAUUUGAGGUAGAAAACCUUAGUGCAGAGACAGAUGGCGGCAGGGCAUAGUACAACUUCUGCGCUCUGUCUGUGUUUGGCAGAGAGGCAGAGAUGCCCGGCUACCUCAUAGUUGAUUUUUUUAAGGACUAAUGGUGCAAAACAAAUCUAGCAGAUUCUUGUGCACUACAGAGAUAUCCAAAAUAAUAGCACGCGAGCAGGAUACUUCGUUGACGGCAGAAAGUACUGGAAUGUACAAUUUACCACUUGCAAAGAGACUGGUGACCAGAUGAGAACAAGAUUGUCAAACUCUGGUUCUCGCACACAAGUUAGCUGGUGUGAAAGAGAUGGGGAAGGACUUUAUUCAAAGAAGGCAAGGGCUGUUAACUACUUACAAGAUGAAAACCACAUGGACUUUAUUCGAAUGGUUAUCUGGCACCACAGGUUUUCCACAUGAGUCAUUGCCUUGGGAGUGUUUAAAAGUAGCCGAUAUACAAAAAGAAAAAAAGAAGGAUGCAUACAGAUCGUACUAGCUAUAGCAAAGUCGAUGAGAAUCCUCAGGUCACCCAUCUAUUAUGUUGCCGUUGGAUUGAAUCUCCUCAGGACAUGGAUCUGUCAAAGAGCCGAAGAUAAGAUGGUGACCAUGGAAUUGAGUCAUAUCCAAUGCAAACCUUGAGAUUAUGGUUUACUCUUUGUACAAUUAAUUUCUUACUUCCACUUUGUUAGAUUCACUUUGGUUUAAAUAACUCUAUUAAAAGGUUUGCUCCCCUUGGUGUGUUAGCAAGUAAACUAUUGCUUUAUGAAGAAUAUUACAAUAACACAGAAGCAUUGUCCUAUCCGAAUGAAGGGACACAUGAAAGAUAGUACUAGUAGCUCUGAGCUCCCUCAAGUGUUCAGUGAAAAAUUGAAAACAACCAACUAUGAAACAGUUUUAAGAAAGAGAAAACAAAAAAACUCCUGAAUUAGAUACAUCUCCACCUUUCUUUUGUCACUUUUUUGAAACAGUCUUAAAAAAGAGACAACAAAAGAACUCCUGAAUUAGAUUCAUCUCCACCUUUCUUUUGUCACUUUUUUGAAACAGUUUUAAAACACACAAAAAAAUAGAACUCCUGGAUUAGAUACAUCUCCACCUUUCUUUUAUUACUUUUUUGCAAUACUAUUAACUAGGCUCCGAAAUAGAAUAACAAGCAAAAUAAUACCUCGUCCUAUACUCUUGCAUUUUCUCAAAGGACAAGAGAAAGAUCCACAGCAGUGAUUAAUUUUUAAAUAGAACCUAAAUGCAGAUAAGUCCUAACCAUUUUAAGAUAACCGAUUGAAAGCAUCUAAUGCGUGACCGUCAAACACGGGAGGUAAUAUCAACAUUUUUCCAUGACAAAACCGAUGAAUAAGGUAUACCGUGCAAGAUGCAACACCUAAUCAGCAUGUUCCUCAUGCCAUUAAAUGAGAAAAUUUCCUGACGUGGGGAGCAUAAACAAGGCUUACUAUUUAGUGAUAUGCACCAAUAGUUUUUCAAUUCCAUAAUUUGGCUAAGCAAGCAUAUUAGAAGGAAAUUCACUUUCUUAUUCUAUUUCUAUGUGAAUGUUGACGUAAUUUGCUCUGUGGCAACUGC